AAAAAAACAAAAAAUAUAAAUUACAUUUUAGCCCAUGAUCUUUUCAAAAAUUAUAUUUUGACCCCAAACUUUUCUAUAAAUUACAUUUUAACCCCGAAAUUUUUUUAAAUCACACUUUGACCCCUUAACUUUCCAUAAAUUACAUUAUAGCCCUAUAUUUUGCUAAAAUUUCAUUUUUGCCCCAGAAACUUUUCACCCGUUACAAUUUAGUCCUUCUGGGCAUGACAAGACUGCCCCCACCAGCAUUCUUGCGUGCCCCGCUCGCCACGCCUGCCACCCCAAUGCAUGGCCUCCCUCCUCCAUUGCCACCUGAAAACAAGAAGAAGGAGACAAAAUGAAAUGAGAUUAAAAAUAAAAAUUGAAGAGGAGGAGAGGGGGGUUCUAAAAAAAAAACUUCAAAAAAAAAAACAAAAGAGAAUAAGCAAAGAAAUUCCAAAAAAAAAAAAGCUCUCAAUCCGGCCGAUUGCCUCCACCGCCACCAAGUCCGUCGCGCCACCACCAUUGUCAUCUCACCGUCGAGUCCUAAACGCAAAAAACAAAAACAAAGAAAAAGCAAGCAAAAGAGAAAAAGAGAAAGAGCAGAGAAGAAAAAGAAAAAGGAAAAGGGGGGAGAGCAUACCUCCGUGCGCGCCACCGUCGGCCGACGCACCAGGCGGAGAGACAUCACCGGCGACACAAAGGGGCUGCUGCUGAACGGAGAAGGAAGAAAAAAGAAAGAAGAAAGAAAGAAAGAAAAAAGAAGGAAGACAAAGAAAGAAAAAAGAGAAAAAAAAAGGAAAGAAAAAAAAUAAAAAAAUAAAUUAACAGUCGGGUCAAACCGACCGACCCGACCUGACCCACGGUACCCAGCAGCAGCAACAGGCCCGUUCCCAGUGGCCCAAAACAGUAACCAGCAAAAAAAAAAGAAGCAGCAGAUUUGUUUUAAAAAAAGCAGCAGCCCAACAGAAGCAGGCCUCCAGCAGACCCAUUGCGCAGGCCCAACGUAGGCCCAGCAGCAGCAAGCCUCCAGGCUCAGCAGCAGCAGGCCGAGCAGGCCCCUUUCGGCCCAGCGCCCAGGCCCGAAUCCGGCAGCCCAACAUCCAGCAAAAAAAAAAGGAAAGAGAAGAAAAAAAAAAGGAAAAAAGAAAAGGGCCCACAACUUUGGGCUUUUUGGUAAUUUCCUUAAAUCUUUUUUAAUUUAGUUUUAUUUAUUUAAAUAUGGUUUCAUUUAAAUUUAAUUAGCAUUUUUUUAAAAAUAGUUUUUUUUUAGAAAUAUUAGUAUGGUUUUAUUUGCAUGUAAAAAAUGAAAUAAAAAAAAUAUUUUAAUGCAUAAGGCAACGAACCGAUUUAACAUCGAGCCGUUGAUUUCAUCGCUAUGAUGGGUGAAUAUCGAUGGAUCGUGUUAAAUACGAGACGCCCUUCUAAAAAUAAAAAAUGUUCGAAAUUCCUUGUGUUUAAAUAAAAAUUCUCGCGUUUUAAUAGAAUCCCGAUUAAUUUUUAAAUUGAUUUGAUUUAAUACUAAUUCGAUGGUUUCAUCGCCAUAUCGGGGUGAAUAUCACCGAUUCGUGUUAAAUACGGUAUUUUUUUAAAGAAAAAAAUCGUAUUUCAAAAAUUUUCAUUUCUUCAAAAUUCUCGUAUUUCUCAAAUUUUCAAGUUUCAAAAAAAUCGUGUUUUCAAAAAAAAAUUCUCGUGUUCGCAAAAAUAAAAGUUGUUUCAAAAAUGUUCGUGUUUUAAAAAAAUUUCAUAUUUUUAUCGGGUCGCGAUUAACUAUUAAAUUGAACUUGUGUUUUUGAAAAUUAAGACAACGCACGUUUAACAAGAUACCAAUUUUGGGUGUCGCGAGGGUGUUAAUACCUUCCUCGCGCGUAACUGACUCCCGAACUCGAAUUUUCUCUGGAUUUUUACGUGGACCUAAAAUUACCUCUUUUUUAGAAAAGUUUAAAAAUAAAUUUUUCUUCUAAAAAGAGAAUUUAUUAGGUAUCCGAUCACACCUAGAAAAAAAAAGAUCGGUGGCGACUCCUUUUUUCAAAUAAAAUCGAGAUUCGGUUUUCAAGUUUUCAAUAAUUACUUCGAUUAGCGCCCAUCGCCAAAUUUUUAGGUCGCUACAACACUAAUUUAACCAAAAUCUUAAAAAUAGUAUUGAUGCAAAUAUAAAUAUAAUAUAAGUUUGAUAGGAUUAUUAAGGUAAUUUUGGCUACUCAACCUCAAAAAAUUAUAAAAAUAGUCACUUAAUUAUCGAAAGUUUUUAUUUAAGUCACUAGACUAUUAAAUUUUUUUUUCUAAAGAAAGUCUAACUAGUGAGCUCCAAGCAACGAUUUAACGAUUAGUUUUAUGGAUCAGUACCCAUCGACGAGUAGAAGAACAUACCUUAGAUUUAAGUCGAUUUGAUGAUCAAUGUUAGAGAAUGGAAAAGAAAAUUGUUUGGUUUUUAGUUCCCAGAUCCGUGACAUUCAAAUUUGUUUCAUGAAAAAAAGGCUAAACUAUAGAAGAGAAGGUAAUGAAAGCUUUCGAUUGGUGUAAGCGGUGUGAACAAAAAAUGCUAUACAACAACGAUUUUAACAGUCCAAUGAUUUAAAAACUUUUGAAUAGUUCGGAGACUAUUUUAUAACUUUUUGAAAUUAAGUGACCAAAAUAUAAAUUUACUAAUAAUUUAGUGAUGAUGUGAUAAAGAAAUGAGUAUAUUUCAAUUUCAAUUUAAUUUUUUAUUUUGAAAAUAAUAAAAUAUCAAUAACCUUCCAAAUAUAUACAUUUUAUUUUACAGUUUGUAAUGGCCUUAUUAUCAUCUUCCUCCUAUUUCUCUCUCUAUUAGCUUCAACAUUUCUGAAACCUGUUGAAAAAAUAAAGUAAAAAAGAUAAAACAAAAAAGUAAAAAAAAUGAAAAUUGCAAUUAAAUAAAGUAAAAUGUCCAAUCCCUCUCAAAUAUCAAUUCAACCUAUAAUUAAAGGAUUUCACCAAUUUAAUCUUUCAACCCCAUUUUUUUUUAACCUUUGAUUAAAAUUUAAAAUCAAUCGAGCAGGUCAAAGACAAAUUGUUGUAAACAGAGAUGUUCAUGAAUCAAGUCAAAUUAAAUUUAACUAUUCUUUAUCUAAUAUUUUGUUCCAACUCUCUUAAAUAUUUAGUGGGAACUCAUAUUCAGAAGAAUAAUUUAAUUCUUGAAUAGGCAGUAGAAAGACAAAUAAUAUUCAAACAUGCUCAAUUUUUCCUUUUCAAUUAUUUUAAAAGGUCCUUGAAGAGUCACAUCCAUAUACUUAUAUCUUGAUACUUAUCUAAUACGAGUGUUGAAUAUGCAUACUCUUAGAAAAAUGAAAAGUCAAAACAACACAGUUCCGUUUUAAAAAUAUACAUAUUGAAUACGAGUUUUUGAACCUGUGUUACUUAAGUGAUUUACAAAAACAUUAACUACUACUCCAAACAUAUGUCGAUGCCUAAAUCUCAUUUUAUUUUAUUAAAGUCGAUAAUUUUUUUCAUCAAAAAAUUUAAAAAGAUGUGAACAUAACCUUAUCUAAAUCAUUAUCAUCAUUAUUGUUAUUAUUAUUUCUCGGCCAACAUCGUAUCUCAUCAAGUUAAAAUAUGCAUCAAAUCUUUAAACUCUUCGUACAUUUGAUAAAAAAGUUUUAAUGGUAUUAAUAAUUAAUUUUAAAUUUUAAAUUUUAAAAAAUAAAAAUUAAGAGAAUAAAUUUUAAAUAUACGAAAAAAAAAACUUGGAUGUAUUUUAAUUAACCUUUUCAUCAUCAACAUCUUAUAAGGCUAAGGUGGAAAGGUCAGGGAGAGGAGGUGAUUAAGUCCACAGUCGCUCUCAUCAGUGACAAAGUCAUGUCUUUUUGGAUUGUUUCUAUGAUUUCCUCUCCAUUAUAGCAAACAAUAAAAAACCCAUUAUUUUAAUUGGAAAUCACAAAAUAUUUUUCUAUUGAAGCAUUUUUAAAAUAUAUAUAAUGUUAGAUUUAUGGGUGGGGUUAUCCGUUUGAAAUUUGAGAAGAUUUGGGUAAAAAAAUUAAAUCUGUUUAAAAUAUAGGUCGGACUCGGGCUUGAAUAUUCAAGGUCUGAACUUAAGCCCAAGUCUAGUCCAACUCUUUUUUUAAGUUUAUAAUACUUUAUGUCAUGUUAUGUAUAACACAUUAAAAAAUAAACCUAUACUAAAUAUGUAAUACUACUCUAAUGUAAAUAUUAAAAUAAUGUUAAAAUAAUUAUAUAAAAAAUUUUAAUAAAUAAAAAUAUUAAAUUAAAUAAUAUAAAAAUGUAAAAAAUAAUAUGGGGAGCUUUUAGGCCCAUAUUUCGGGUCGAGCUAGGGUUGGGCAAGUAUAAAGUAUAUUAAUAUCAUGCUUAGGCCGAACCUGAACCUCGCCUGACCAAACCCAUGAGUACCUCUAAUUGCAUAUGAAAAAUAUAAAAAAAAAUUUAUCAGUCAAAAUAAAUAAUCCGAUCCUUAAACUUAUUUUAAGGAAAAAUAUAUAUUAAUUUAUAUAUUUUUUUAAAAUUUUGUGUACAGAUGGGAACAAAGAUGAGAUCAACAAUCUUCGAUCAAAGAAUCGCAGAUUCGCUUAAAACUUGGCAUCACACAGCAAAGGAAAAUACUAAACACGACAAGCUUUCGAAGAAUACAACACCAUUUUCAAGCAAGCCCGCAACUCCAAGCCAUGGGAUGUCUCCUGUCCAUCCUCUACAUGGCUAUCCUCGAAAAAGUGAGGAAAGCGGUCAUACGUCUCUAACGCAUUCGAACUUUGAGAACGACCGAUGGGAUCCGGUAGAUAUGUUCACCAACUCUUCGAGUCACCGUGAUAUCGAUGUUCCUGAUGUUAGUCGUGGUGGACUGCAAUCGGAAAGGAGGGAAGUCGCGGACGUGACGGUUCAAGAAUUUAGAGCUUUGGAAAUGGCAUCAACGUCACCUCAUAUGCCUCAAACACAACACGAAAUCGAUCCAUAAGCAUACAGGUCCAGGGAUUUAAAUAGCGGUCCGUUACCAAAAUAGCGGCCGUUAUAUAGCGGUAGCGGCACUGUCCGGAACCGCUACCGCGAAAACCGCUAUUAUAUUUUAUAAUAAGUUGUGUGAAUUUUUUUUAAAAUUCACGACCGCGAUACCCGCAAUGACCGCAAUAGCAUCCGUUAUGUCCGCAACCGCGAUAAACGCAACGCGACCGAAAACACGGCCGCGACCGCAAUUUAAAUCCCUGUACGGGUCCCUCUUAUCUUGAUAAUUAAUAGAUUUAUAUGAUAAAAAAAGUACAUCUAUAAUGUUUUUUUAUAUUAGUUCGUCGAAUUUAUCUUACGAAAAGAUGAUCUAAACCAAGGAUUUAAAUUGAGUUAAACAAUUUUGAAUAUCUAUGACGAAGAGAUUUUUGGGUUAAAUUGGGUUAAAAGGUUUUUGGUCAAAUUAUAAAUGAGUUAGUACCCGAUUGACCGGUGACACUAAUUUAACCAAAAUCUUAAAAAUAGUAUUAAUGUAAAUAUAAAUAUAAAUAUAAAUUUGAUAGGAUUAUUAAGGUUUGGCUACUCAACCUCAAAAAAUUACAAAAUGGGAUCACUUAAUUAUCGAAAUUUUUUAUUUAAGUCACUAGACUAUUAAAGUUUUUUUUUUUCUAAAGAAAGUCUAACUAGUGAGCUCCAAGCAACGAUUUAACAAUUAGUUUUGUGGAUCAGUACCCAUUGACGAGUAGAAGAACAUACCUUAGAUUUAAGUCGAUUUGAUGAUCAAUGUCAGAGAAUGGAUAAGAAAAUUGUUUGGUUUUUAGUUCACAGAUCCGUGACAUUCAAAAUUGUUUCAUAAAAAAAGGCUAAACUAUAGAAGAGAAGGUAAUGAAAGCUUUCGAUUGGUAUUGGUGUAAGCGGUGUGAACAAAAAAUGCUAUACAACAACAAUUUUAACAGUCCAAUGAUUUAAAAACUUUUGAAUAGUUCGGUGACUAUUUUAUAACUUUUUGAAGUUAAGUGACCAAAAUAUAAAUUUACUAAUAAUUUAGUGAUGAUGUGAUCAAGAAAUGAGUACAUUUCAAUUUCAAUUUAAUUUUUUAUUUUGAAAAUAAUAAAAUAUCAAUAACCUUCCAAAUACAUACAUUUUAUUUUACAGUUUGUAAUGGCCUUAUUAUCAUCUUCCUCCUAUUUCUCUCUCUAUUAGCUUUAACAUUUCUGAAACCUGUUGAAAAAAUAAAGUAAAAAAGAUAAAACAAAAAAGUAAAAAAAAAUUGAAAAAUGAAAUUAAAUAAUAAAAAAUUAACCUCAAAAUAGUGGUGCAAAACUGGAGAAUGUUGAUGUAGUUUUGCAUAUAUCUUCUUAAGUAGUUCUGUAAGUUGCUCCACUUGAUCUCCAAGAAGGUCCACCUAUUUCUCAAACAUCAAAUAAAUAAAUAAAAAUCCUUAUUAGAAAAGGUUUUAGGGUAUUAAUGUGCGUUUUCAAUCGAAGUAGAUUUCAUCGAUUUAACUUUCGGUCUAGUUUCUUAAUCAAUGAUUGAAAUUUGAAACGAAUCAAGAUAGUUAUGAACAAAUUGUUCUAAGGUAAGGUAUCCAUAAACUGGACCAAAUUAGGUUCCAUCAAUUUUCGGUUUAGUAUUUUGUUCAAACCCUUUGAAAUAUAACACGGGCACUCGAAUUCUAAAAAAUAACUCGAUUCUUGAACAGAAAAUAAGGAAGAAGAAGAAGAAGUUAAAAGCACCUCAGCUUCAGCCAUUUGUAGAUUCUCACAUCUCCUAAUGAAAGCUUUCCUGUAAAGUGAUUCCUUUUGGAUGAGUGAGGCAAUGAGCUCAGCCACUAAAUUUACCUCACCCUCCAUUUCUUCUAUCCUGCAAAAUCCGAACACAUCCAUGUUAUUGGGAUUUGAAUGUGACAUUUUAAUAUAUGUAUGAGUUUAAUUCGUGUAUGUUUAAUUUUUCUUUUUUCUAAAAUUAUGUAAACUCCGACUUAAAUUCGGAUAACAUAGUAUAUUAAUUCUAAUCUAUUUUUGACCUAAAUCUGUAUAUGGAAAAACUUAAAAAAUUAUUAUAUUAGCCUCGUACUAAAAUUAUAUCAAUAAACAAAAUCAUGAAAGAUAAUGAUCUCAAACUCUUCAUUUUUCGUAAAGUAUUUAUACUCGUAUCUAAUCAGAUGCAUUUUCAUAUGAUAUGAUCCUCAAAGGACCUUCCAAAUACAUAAAAUAAAAUAAAAAUUAAACAUAUCGUAAAAGAUAUAUAUCCGUAUCUGAUACUUAUCGGACUCCAAACAACAUACUAUCUCAGUAUGCAGUGAUCAAUUAAUUAUACUCUAUACUCAAGUGAUAAUAAUCAAAGAUCAGGAAGAUUUUUGGUCUAAAAGAUAGGACACAGCAAAUAAUUGCAGUUCAUAGACAAAUUUAAGUACCUCAAAGAAUACCUUCCUAAUUCCAUACAUGAUUCGAACUCGAAACUCUUCAACAUUUGGGCUAUAUCCUGGAAGGAGGUUUCAAGAUAUUCAUCAAUGGAGGGACUCCUGCAAUUUCUGGUGGUAACAAUUGGAUCUAAAUUAUUUAUUGUUAUGCCUAACUGGGACCCUAACUCAUUCAAUGAUGCCUUGCCAUAAUCCAAUUGUAGUAAAGCUUUCUCAAGCUCGAUAUCUGCUGAAUUAGUACUGUUUCCAUCAUAGGUUAAAAACCCGGGACAAUGCUCGUGUUGGUCUAAAUUGAAUCUGGAGAUGACGUGUUGAAGGCGGAUAAUCUGUUGCUUUGUUUCGGAACAGGCGGUUAGGAUUACAGAUUCUUCGUCUUCGAAAAACUUGACUAGUUUAUCUAAUGUAUGUCUCAAAUUGUUGGUAGAGAUCGAGUUGUUUGGAUUCUGGUCUCGAUUUGUCCGGUCCUCGGUUUCCUUUACAAUGCAACCUUGUUUCACUGCCUCAACAAUGACCAAUUGAAAAACAUCUUCCCUUAUAAAGCUCUCAAAGCUAAAUGCAUAUAUUUUCAUAUGCAAUUCCUUGAUUAUAUCAGCUAGGAAAACCUUCAGAACGUUGUCCUUGAUCGACAUUGCCACGGUUUCGAAGAAGUUAUCAUUGGCUUUGAUCUCUCGUAGUUUGAUUAAUGAGGAACUGGAAGUGUUUAUAAUGUCUCUAAAGAUCUCACCAAACACAAGCAAGCAAAUUUCCUCACUUAAACAACUUACAGACUCGAAAGUUUCUAAAUUUUCAUUCCAUUCUCCAUGUAUUUCCCGUAGGAGGAACGUGUAAAUGUCGUGCCAAAGUUCUCUAAAGAAGUGAUCAGGGUGAAUUAAUUCCUCUAGGUUCAUGUUUUCGGAAUAGAGUAACGGCACAGUACCCUCCGAAUGAUCUAAUCCGCUAUUUGCUUGGUGACUUUCAGGCGACGUUGCCUUGGGGAACAAGGUAUCGUAUUUCACACUUUCUAUUUCCUUGUUCCACUCGAUUUUCAUUUCCUCGAUGAAGUUUUCGUACAUACCUUCUUUGAUUAGGCAAUGCAUGUGAUGAUUAAGCAUCUCAACAUGAAAUUCAUCCACCAAACUUUUGAAAAGAGUUAAUUGAAUGUCUUCCAUUAGCCUGGUUUGAAGAUUUGAAUCCUCCAUUUCUUGUUUCACAAGCUUUAUUUCGCUCCAUGGAGCUUCAUUUCUUGUUUCAGGAACUGAGCUUUUGUUCACUUGUUCCCAUAUUUCUUCCAUACUGUGAGCACCGCAUUUCUUGAUAUUGGUUCGGUCAUCCAUAAACGGCCUUGUCUUGAGAGGCUUUUGCAGUUCACAAUCAUACUUAUUGUCAUAAAAAACAUCAUCUAUUUCAGGACUCGAGUUGAUUAAACUCUCCAAUCUCACCAUAAGUUCUUGAAUCCGUUGUUUCGGAUUGACGGAAUCCUUUUCUUUCCAUGUUGGUGGACUUGAUUUUUCUCCAAGAAGUUCCCGUGUCAACAAAUUGAGCUCCUCACUCUUUCCCCGGAUUAUAGACUCAUGAUUCUUUAUCAUCUUUACAACAUAGCUUCCAUGAUCAUUUCCCGAAUCCUCUUCUCCGUGUUGCUUGAUUAUACCCAAUUUCCCGAGAUCUUGACCCUCUGAAAAACGUCUUCCUUUCAGAAUUUCCUUAGGUUUCUUGACUUGAGCCUCAUCCGGAUUACUAACAAACUGAAGCUCGUGGAUAAGGACAUUAAUCUCUUGAAUCACCUCGGAUAAAUGUUUUCGCAAGCCUAACGAGGCCUGCAACUCUUGUUUCUUCACUUCGUCUUCAAAAUUCUCUCGGAAACCUUUCAACAGAUCUUUAAUCACAACUGCAGAUAUAGAUCUCUCAAUGUUCCACAUCCAUUGAUGCUCAAUCGGCCCGAGUUCGGAUAAAAAAAUUGCAUUCUGCAUCUUACAAAAGGCAAGAUCUAAAGUCCCCUUCAAAAUCCCGAUAUCCGACCCCAUCUGCUCGAUUUUCUUAUUGUCGAUCCCCUGAUUUCUUUCUUCAUCUUGAAUCUGAUAAUUCGGCUCGAGCUGUUGUUGAAUGUUCCAUACCUGCUGAUCAACCGAAUGCUUCAACUCACAAAAUUCGCCUUCUCGAUCCCCGGCUUCGAUGCUUGCUUGACUCCCUAGAAACAACUCAUCAAUGCCCUCAUUUUUCCUAUGUUCUUCAAGAUCAGCAUACAAUGAAUCCCUUUUCUUUUCACUCCUCUCCAAUGCCUUUUUAAGCUUCAAUUCACUCCCUAAUCUCUCCGAUAACUCUUUAUCCUUAUCAGAAAUUGCCGAUUCGACUUCCUUAAGUCGACCUUGAAGCCGAUCCUUGAUCUCUGUCAAGUCGUCAAGCAGUAAUUCCUGGCUAGUUUCUAGAUCGUAGUUACCUCUUUCCUGUUGAACGAAUUUCAAACAACCUUCUAAUUGAAUCACCGCGAGUUGGUAGAAUUUCGAUAUCUCAUUCAAACGUUCGAUGACACCGGUUUUUGAUUUAACUUUCCGGUAUGCUUUGUCCAUUGAUUUGUGAAGAAGCUGCAUCAUUGUUGACUCGGUUAUGGAAACUUUGAUACUACUAUUUGCACUAUCCACUUCGAUCAGAUUCAAAAUAUGCUCCAUUUGAGUAUACAAAAUUUUCCUGGAAAAUUCAAGUAUUCGUUUAUUCUCGGGAAAAUCUAACAGAACUCAGUAGAAUAAGAAGUUAAUCACGGGAUUUGUUAGAUACAUGCAAAAGAUUUUUUUUGAAAGGAAUUAUAUUUCAUUUUUAUACUUCAAUUAUUAAAAAAUAUUUAAAUGUUAGUUCUAAAUUUUAGUUAUUCAGAUAAUCCUUUUCCAUAGGAAGGGGAUUAUAUAAGAUUUUGAUUCAUCAAUUUUAUCAUCUAAUAUAAUAAUAAAAAUUACUUAAAAUUAAACCUCAUGUGCCAGGUGUAGCUUGGAUUCAUGUCGUAAUAGUUGUGUUUCUGGUUCGAGCUUUACUAUGUUAUUAUAAUUCACUAAAAAAUCAUUAAAAAUCCCAAAAAUUAUAAUUUAUUUAAAAAAAUUACAAGGAAUUUUUUUAAUAAAAUUAAAAAAUUGUUUGUUUGGAAUUUUAAAGAAAAUUUUAGAAUUUUAUAAAAAAAUUUAUGAGCUUUAGAUUGGUAAAAUUUUAGAAUUUUAUAAAAAAUUUUAUGAGCUUUAGAUUGGUAUGGUUGUUUUUUUAUUAAGGUAAACUAUACAUAUAGUCACCCAACUAUAAAAAAUUUCAUUUUAGGUACUUAAAAUAAAAAUUUUACUAUUUAAGCACCCACAUUACAUAAUUCAAUCAUUUUGGUUACUCCCGUUAAAAUCAUAAACGGCGAACUGACGUAGUAGUUAAAAAAAUCGGUAUAAUAACAAAUUUAGCCAUCAACUUUUAUAUAUUAUCUCAAUUUAGUCAUAAUUUUAAAAAUUUAACCCUCAAAAUUUACAAAUCGUCUCAAUUUGAUCCUAAUUCUAAAAAAGUUAAAGAAAUAUAUAAAAAUACAUAAAUAUUUAAAAAAUAUAUAAUAAAAAAUUUUAAAAAUAUUAUAAUAAUAAAAUUUAAAAUGUCAAUAUUAAAAAAAAUUAGAAUUCUUAACAAUGGAAUAAACAAGUAAAAAUUGAAAAUUUUUGUGUAUUAUUUUAGUUUCUACCGCUUUUUCACUUUAAUACUUGAUUUUUUUUUACUCCAAUCAAUACUUAAAAAAGAUAUUUUUUGGAUGACCAAAAUGAAAGUGACCUAAAAGUUGGGUGACUAAAACGAAAGUAUAAACAUGAUAUGGCAUGUAUAGUUAACUUUUGUUAGAGAUUUAAUGCUUGAGUGACUAAAAUGAAAUCGCCCUAAAAGUUGGGUGACCAAAUUGCAAGGAUUUCAUUUUAGGUGGCCAAAAUGAAAGCUCUCUAAACGUUGGAUGACCAACUAGGUGUUUUACCCUUUAAAAAAAGAGAUAAAUUAGUAAAAAGAUCAUACGACGUCGUUUAUGCUUUCCAGGGUAAUAUCGCUUUUAACCGGAUUCCCAAAUAAAAUCCCUCCCGCGUUUCGAUUGUCUCACUUUUUCCGAGGUGAGCGAAUUCGUUAAUUAGGGUUUUUCUCUGAAAUAUUAAAAGAAAAAAAAAUCGAAGAUGAUCGAGGUGGUAUUGAACGACCGGCUAGGGAAGAAGGUGCGCGUGAAGUGCAACGACGACGACACGAUCGGAGACCUUAAGAAGCUAGUCGCGGCCCAAACCGGAACUCGGGCCGACAAGAUCCGUAUCCAGAAGUGGUAUACGGUUUACAAGGAUCAUAUUACUCUCAAAGAUUACGAGAUCCACGACGGUAUGGGCCUCGAGCUUUACUACAAUUAAAUUUUUUUUAUGUAAGCUGCGUGGUCUUUGUUUGAACAAGCUUUAAAUUUUAUGUAUGAAUGUAAUAUAAUCGUGGAUGAUGGUAUUUACUUCUUCUUUUUUAAUAUUAAUGGAGGAAAAUAAGUUCUUGGAUUGGUUUGGCUCUUUUUAAUAGUGUUAAAUUCAUGAAUUCUUAUGUUUUAAUAUAUAUGUAUGUGUAUAUAAUACACACCCCUUUGGUUAUGGAUUAUGGAAAAUUGGGCACAAUGUUUGAGGGGGAAAAUUGAAAUCGGUAUUGUUGGCUAAGGUGGAAGCCUUGGGUAUUUGAGUACUUGGGUUUGAAUUUCAUCAUCCAUUAUGUUUUGUAUUAGUUUGAAUUUACCUUGUAUAUUUGUGUUUCUAGUUGUGAGUGUUACUGUAUUUGUAGUAGUAAAACUUUCAUAAAGAAAAUCUGAAAUUCAAAAAGAAAUUUGCAUCAAUUCCAUUCAUAUGAAAGAGUAUCUUAGAAUAUGAUAUGAAGAACGGAAUUUUAUUCUUUAAUGUUUAGAAUUUGGUGCUUGUUCAUGUAUUCUCAGUUAUUUCAUCACUGGGAAAAAAAUUCAAGAAGAAACUGUAUGGAAUGGUUACUUUUAACAUAUAUUACUUUUAUUCAAUUAUAUUAUAUAUAACAUAAUUGUUAAUGAAGUGUUGGCCUGGUUGACAAAAGCAAAAGCUUUGAGUCCAUAUGAAAAUUAUGUUCAGGAAUUAGUUGAGUUAGUUUGAAUCAAGUUAUUUAGUUUUGUGAUUAUAAUUAUUGAUUCUAAUUGAAGCUGUGGAUAUAGUUAGUGGGUUGUAACUUCAAAAAUAUAAACAGUUAUGAUAUUGGAACAUGUUGUUUCAUUCUGUGUUAAUUUUUAUGUUUCUUUCAUGUCUAAAAUUAGCGUACUUAAGUCAAUUGAGUUUAGCUCAAUUGAUAUGGACAUUGUUGCCUAUGUAGGAGGACAUGAGUUUGAGUACACUGAAGUGCAUUAUUCUUCUAUUUAUGAGUUGGGGAGGGACUAUUUGGUAAUUCUAAGCAUUGUGUCCAAAAAAAGCAGAUAUGAUCAGAAUCUCUAAUGAAAUUGUUCAAAAAAAAUUAUCAAGAGUAUAUUUUUGAGCUUGUUUCACAUAAACAUGGACUUUCAAGGUUUGAAGACCAAACGUUAUUAUUCUAUCUAUUAUUUUCAACAGGAUACAAUUAGUAUUAAAAAAGAAAAAAAAAACUAAAAUUCUAUUUAAAAAUUUGAGAGUAUGUGCAAACAAAUUGUUUAUUUCUAAGGUGUUCUUAAAUGAUUCAAAUUCAUAUACAGACAAUGUCUCUUUGUUGAAGUGUUUGCCAUAAUGCAUCUAAUUAGAUACUUUUUUUUUCCUGUCAAAUCGAUACAGUAGUUUUUGACACAAUACAAUUACUUGAUAUACAAGUCAAAUUUAUGUAAAUAUUUGUUUUAAAAUAAGAUUUAAUAUGUAAAAUUUUAUGAAUAGAAUUUUCAAAUCUAAUUGAUUUUGUCGUAAUUUAAUUGACGUUGUUAUUAUUGCAACAUGAAGGCAUUAAUUCGAGUGUGUUUGAGUAUAUAAAAUCGGUUUGAUGGUUUGGAUAAUGUUGACCUGAAUCAAAUAAUAAUGCUUUUCCAAAAUUCUUAAAAGUGUAAAUUAACCAUUAAAUUUUUAGGCAUUUUUGUAAUAAAACAAAAUUACGUUAUGUAGCGCCAGAUAGUGAAAAUAAUAUCUGCAAAUUUAAAUUUUCUUUCAAAGUGAUAAUGCAUAUUUUCUUUUUAAUUUCUACAAUUAAGUUUAAUAUUCAUACAGUUCAUUAUUUUAUCUAUUAUUAUUCACAAUAAACUAAUUUUUUUAUUAGACCAAUAAUUUAUUUUUCUAAAACAUAUUAAAGGAUGGAGUUAGUCAACAAGCUCGAUAAAUCCAGUCCAUGUAGGUCGUAGAACAUUCAAUUUAGGCCUACCCUACCAAAAUGGGCUAAUUGGGUUUCAAAAGUAUUUGGGCUUCGAUAAAAUAUCUAAGCAAACGCUAAACUCCUUGCUCAGCUGAAUUGGGCUUUGAAUUAUUAUUUAAAAUUUAUUUUUAGAAAGAGCAAAUAUUAAUAUAUUUUUAAAAAAAAUACAAACAAAAGGAUUAGAAUUAACUUCUUUUUCUUUUCUUUUUUUUUUGAAAAACAAACAAAAGGAUUAGAAUUAACUUUUUUUUUAUCUUUUGUUUUUUUAACAAUCUCAUUAUAAGUUCUGAUCAUAUUUGCUAUUUUUUAACACAAUGCUUUAAACUACCCCCUCCCUAACCCAUGAAUAAGAAAAUAAUGUGUUUCAGUGCACUCGAACUCAUAUCCUCCUAUAUUGGCAACAAUGUCUUUGCUAAUCGAGUUAAUACUCAAUUGACUUAAAACCAACUAAAUUAAACAAAAAGAAUCCCUCUAAACAAUUGCAAUCCCUCUUCCCUGUCAAACGCUAUUUUGGCUAUUCGGUCAGCUUCUUUAUUUUCUUCUCUAGGGACGUAUUCUAGCAUCCAAUUCCCCACAUUCUCCAGGAGUUGAUGUAUUCAACUAAUUAACACCGAGCUUGAAGUCUUCAAAAUAGAUUCCUGGAUAGCCACAAUAACCGCCAUGUUUUUCGUCUGCACCAACACUCUAUCGCAAUGUCUGCCGUGCAACAAUGUCAAGUCAUCUAAAAUAUCUCAUAAUUUAACAUUGAAAAUUGAACAUUUUCCUGAACAUCAAUUAAAACUAAGAGUCCACUCUUCAUGUCGAUCUCUCAAAAUUCUCCGUACUGCAGCAUACCCUAAAUCCACAUUAACAGCAUUAUCAAAUCUUAUUCGUAUCCAAUUACCUGUCCAAAUGGACUCCCCCUCACAACUUGUGAAUAAAAACCUACUAUUUGGCCCAGCUAUAUGAACCUUUGAUAAUUUAUUCUACACUCCAUGAUACUUUCUAGAAAAUGUAGGUUUUUCUGUUCUUCCAUAUACGCCAUGCAACUAGACAAAAAAAACACGAUAAAUUCACCCCUCUCUAAGAAUUUUUUUAAACGAUUCUCCACUCCUGCAAGCUUCCGGAAAAGAAGCUCCAUGCUCCUCAACCAGAAUGAUACGAGACCUAACAAAAAAAAGGGCAAUUUACCAAUAAAAGCCAUUUUUUUCAAAAAUUACCGAAAUGGGCCCAUUUUUUAAUUAUUUACCGGAAUGGUCCUUUUUCCGGAAAAUCGCGUCCAUGUCAGCGCAAUGUCAGGGUACGCGUCAGCAUCUCGCGCUGACGUGGACGUGAUUUCGGCCCACGCGUGAACAGUACCCAACGGUCAAAAAAAUAAAAUACCGGGUUCAUUUUGAUAAAUUUUAAAAAUAUAGGGCUUUUUUGGUAUUUUGAAAAAAUAAAUUUUGAAUCUUUUUGUACUUGUAUUUAUUUUUUUAAUCAAUUAACUCUUCAAUAUUAGAUCAAUAGAAACAAGUACAAAAAAGAUUCAAAAUUGUUACCAACAAAAAUUGAACCAAGGUACUAAAGGAAAAGAGCAAGCAUCUUAACCAACUAAGCCAAACUAAUUAAUUAACAUAUUAUAGAAAUAUUGUUAUUAUCUUAAUUAUAUUACUUACGUUCUAACGAUUUAUCGGACCUAUUCCAUACACGUGUCAAAUUAGAAAAAAUAAUACAACAAUUCUGUAAAAAAACCGAUGUUUACUUCAAAUAAAUAAGGAAAAUAAUGAUUUGAAUGUUUCAAAAUCCAAUUUUAAACCGAAAAAAUCGAAAUUUAGGGGCAAAAAAGGAUUUUUUUUCGGCGAAAACUGCGGCAAACCGCCUUCGGCUAUUUGUCAGCGCGUAUAUCUUGAAAAUUUAUUCGAAAUAAAAAAAAUCGUCUCAAUCGGACAACCGAGCCAAAAGUUAUGGCCUUUCAAAGUUUUCCAAGCUAAAAAUCAUGAACUGUUCAUCCACGUCAGCAAAUUGCAUCCUCGUAGGCGCGAUUUGUGUCCACGUAAGCAAAGCGCGCUGACGUGGACGCGAUGUUCUGACACGUCCCCUGACAUCGCGCUGACGUGGACGCGAUUUCGAGGAAAAUAGCCCAUUCUGGUAAAUAAUAAAAUACCGGGCCCAUUUCGAUAAAUUUUAAAAAAUAGGGCUUUUUUUAGAAAUUUGCCCAAAAAAAAAACAAAGUAAAAGAAAGACAAACUCUUCCUUUAAUAAUAAAUAAUAAAUAAUAAAUAAUAAAUUUGUUCUUAUUUUAAAAAGGACAAAUUAAUAAAAUUGGUGAUACGACAUCGUUUAAAGAAACUAAAAGGCCAAAGUAGUCAACGGGUAAUAUUUGGCUUUAAAAUAAUUCCACUAUAAAAUCCACCCCCACGCUUCACUUUUCUCUUAUUUCCAGGGUUAACAAAUUUGGGGAUUAGGGUUUUCUCUGAAAUAGUCUUUUAAAAAAAAUCGAAGAUGAUCGAGGUGGUGUUGAACGAUCGGCUAGGGAAGAAAGUGCGCGUGAAGUGCAACGACGACGACACGAUUGGAGACCUUAAGAAGCUGGUCGCGGCCCAAACUGGAACUCGAGCAGACAAGAUCCGUAUCCAGAAGUGGUACACGGUUUACAAGGAUCAUAUUACCCUCAAAGAUUACGAAAUCCACGAUGGUAUGGGUCUCGAACUUUACUACAAUUAAAAAAAAAUAUUUAUGUAAUCCGUGUGGUCUUUGUUUGAACAAGCUCUAGAUUUUAUAUAUAAAUGUAAUAUAAUCGUGGAUGAUGGUAUUUACUUUUCUAAGGAUUAUCAAUAGAAGAAAAUAAGUUUAUAGAUUUGGAUGAUCAAAAUAGUGUUAAAUUCACUUAUGUUGUACCUUAUAUUUUCACCUUUGGUUAUGGAUUAUGGAAAGGUGGGCAUAAUUAGGGAUUAGAGAAGAGCAAACCGUUAAUUGGAUCGGUUCUUUUUAACUUAAUCAAUUUAACCGAUCAUCAUAUGGAAUAAUCAAACCGGUGAACUGAUUUAUUUAAAAUAAUGAAAAAUAUAUUCAACUGUCUUAUAUAUUAUAAAAUAUGAAUAUAUUUAAAGUAAUUAAAAAAUAUUAAAUUGAUGACUACUGAAUUGCUGAAAGAGGAUCUUAGAAUAUGAUAUUUAAAAUGGAAUUUGAUUCUGAGAAUAUGAUCAUUAGAAUAUGAUUUGAUUCUUUAAUGUUUGGAAUUUGAUUCUCAAAUAUGAUAAUUAGAAUAGAAUUUGAUUCUUUGAUAAUUGGAAUUUGAUUCUCAUUUAGAAUGGAACAUGUAUUCUUGGUUUUUUCAUCAACAGAUAAAAUUUUGUAUGGAAUACUUAUUUUUUUUGCAUAUAUUAUUUUCAUUUAAAGAUUAGAUUCUGGAUAAAAAUUCAAUUAUUGGGACAUGUUUGUGUUAUUUUUCAUGAUAUGUUCAAAAUUAUCCUAAUUUAAUGGACAUAUCAGACAUUGGAUUAUAAAUAUAUUAUUAUUAUUAUUAUUAUUAUUAUUAUUAUUAUUAUUAUUAUAAUUUUCAACCCGAUACAAUUGCACGAUAUAAAUAUAAUACUAAAUAAUUAAAAUGUGAUGAUACAAACAAUUUGUUUGUUACUAAGGUGGUAUUAUAUGAUUUUAGUAUUAGUUUGUUACUAAGGUGGUAUUAUAUGAUUUUAGUAUAAAUUUAUACACUACCAUAUUAAAUACGUGAAAAAUUUUCGAGUUAAUCGAGUUCAUGAGUCAUAUUUUAUUAUCUUAAUUUGAUUUGAAAUGUGAAAUUAAAAUAUUGUUACAGUUUCACUAAUUCCGUAUUAGAGCACAUAAAAUUGAAAUUAAGAUACUUUAAUAUGGUAAACUUAAAUUAUUAAUUAAUUAAUUAAUUUAGGUCUUUAAAAUUAUUAUUUUAGAAAAUUUUAAAAAUUUUAACUUUUUUAUAUAUUUUUUUAGAAUUUUUAAAUUUUUUUAAAAAUAUAUAAAUUUUGAAAUUUUUUAUAAGUAUUUUGAUUUUAUUUUAUUUUUUUUUGUAAUUUUUGUUGAGAGAUCAAUUUGUUUAUUUUCAAAGUUGAAAGAGACCAAAAGAGUAUUUACACUAAUUUGUUAAUAAAUUAUUUAAUUUGUAAAUUUCAACUCAACUUGAACUCGAAUCGAAUUAUUCAAGUUGACUCAAAUAAGUCGAAUAACACGAUUCGAUUAACUCGAAAAUAAAUUUUCUUUUAAUAAUUGAAUUGAGUUUUGCUCACGCAAGUUUUGAAUUUUUUCGAAUUAUAUGAUGGUAUAAAUUUACUAUUAUUAAACUUUCACUCUUAUUAAAAAGAAAUAAGAGCAUUAUGGAACACCAAAUAGUAAAAAUAAUAUUUGUAAAAUUUAGAUAUUUUUUCAAAUCGUUUAUUUUUUAUAAGGUCGUUUGUAAAUACAUUGGAUAUGUAUAGGUUGUAGUAGCUACGGAAUAUCCGUUAGUAAGAUGGCCUUCUGUGUGGUAGCCAAAAGAAAUUAUUGUCAAUAAAAAUAUAUAUUUUAGACUCUACAAACAAAGUUAAAAGAUCGACGACAAGUAUUUUAUAAAAAGAUAGUAAAAUGUGUCAAUUUUUUAAAAUUGCUUGUAGAAUAAAAUAUACCAAAUACUCGCCAAUUUUCUUUACAUUAUAAAGGAUGAGAAUUGCAUUGUAGCUUAAUAAUACAUGAAACCCUACCAAACAAUAAAAAAAUGGACUCAUUUUUAAUUUCAUUUUGAUUGCAUGGUAAGGAAAGAAAAUUAACAACAAAAAGGGGACCAAUACAUGAUUUGGUAUUGGAUUCAACCUCUCGAUAGAUCAUGGUAAUGAUAUGUGAACUUUCAAUAGAUCGGGAUGACUAAGCCAGUGUGAUUCGAGGAUUUUCUGGUUUCUUUUCUUGCUCAUGGCAUUGCUACGUGAGCUUUCGAUUGAUCGAGAUGAUUAAGACGGCAUGUUCCUAGGAGGGUUUCCGGUAACUCCUCUUGUGUAUUACCCUGAAGAAGUAGUUUGGAUCAUAACCAAAGUCAUCAAGCAAAUAUAUUGUACUCGGACUUGAGUACAAGUGUUAGAUACGAGUAUGUGUUUAACUCAAGUAUGUUCAACUUUUUUCUAACUUCAUUAAAAAUGAAGAAUCGGAGCAAACAUAGAAGCAACAUACUUAAAAUAAUAACAUGAUGCAAGCUAACUAUCUCGUUUCUCUUUCGUUGCUUGCAACUCAAGGAAAGUUGACAUUUUUGACACUUUAAGAGAAGUUUUACCUGUAUUAUAAAUGCCAUUUCUACGACCAAAUUGUUAAGAUAUCCGAGGACAAGAUUAGCUACACCCUGAGCCACCGUCGAAGACCCAACAUCUAUAUCAGCCUGAAAUUUAAACUCGUUUCAGUGAUCAGCAUAUAGUAACACGAUAAUGAAUCGAAAAAUCACGAAAAUGAAAAUAUCAGAAAGUCAAACAAUAACACAAUCAUCAUUCGCAAUUGUACUUGGUUUUGAGGAUUCAAGAAUCUACCUCCAAGUAAUUUUUUCCACGGAAAUAACGAGUAUUGAGAGCUUGACCGAGUAAGCAAGCUUUCUUUCCAACACUUUGUUUGACUAUCCAUGAUCCCUGAAGAAAUAGAUUAUUUGGUAGAACGUAGUGUAAAUGAGCUUGAGCUCAACAUAAAGUUUGAAAAGCGUUCUAAUGCUCGAGUCGAGUAGUUCUCAAGCCUAAUCAAGUUAAUAUUGAAAGCUUUCAAUUCAAGCUUCAACUUGAGAACACUUAAUCGAGCUCAAAGUCAAGGAUGAGAAUCAAACUCAUCUUUACUAAACAAAUGAGCCUAAUUGAGCAAGGUCAAGCAAUUCGAUCUGUUUCUCGCCUGAGUUUAAGUCGGGAAAGGAGCCUCGAUUUUGAGUAAAGCUUGCGCUUCUUAUAGUUUGAUUUGGGCAGCUCAAUUAUACUUCAAAAAAGAAAAAUGCCUGCUAUAGCUUUGCAUACCUUAGAAAUGUAUGGUAUGAGCUUAAAUCUUGAGUUUCUAUAGGCAUCAUCUCCAUUGACGAACUUGUUCAGCAAUGGGUGAUCUUCAAUGGGAGUUUUUAUCAUGUAGUACAGUGCUAAUGUAUAUGUCGGUGAACCAGGAAUCUGACUCAUAAUAAUUGAGAGUAUCUAAUGUGAUUAUUGACAGGAAAAAAAACCAUAGAAGUAAUAAAAAAAUGUAUAAAACCUAACACACCUGCAUAUUGAUGACAAAGAAAAAUUCUGGUCCACCACGUUCAGCGUAUUUCUGAAUGAAUUUAUAUCAAUGAAGUUUAUUUUUCGAUCAAUGAUUUGUAUCUAAUGCAUAGUUUUUCUUUGUUUUGCAUAGAUGAGUAGUAACAUGGAUCAGAUUUUAUAAAUCGGAACGUAAAGCACAAAAUUACAGUCCAAACCUGAACGAUACCACCAACUCGACUGCCUAAAUCAUCUUCUCGUUUGUCAGAUAUUAGCCAGUCUGCCCCAACCAUUUGCAUCGACGUUCCAUUUGCUUUAAUCUACCACAAAGAAUACAAAUUUAGAACAUAGAUUGAAGCUAAUUUACAUUUCAUGGAUUUGAAAAGCGAGUAACCAUAACUUUCAAAGCCAUUGAAUGUAUUAUGAAUAGCUUUAAAUUCUAACUUUACAAGCUGAGUAAUGCAGGCUGAACGGUUGAGCUAUAUAUUCGUCCGACACGGGUAUGUUGAAUAUUUUCCAAGUUUUUUUUAAUGCAUUUGGAAACUUCAAGAAAAAUGAAGAGUCGGUAACAUGUAUGCAUAUAUGUAUAAAUGCAUGCAUGCUGGCAUAUCAUAUGCAUGUAAAAAUGUAUGCUGUCGAGCAUGGAAAUUUUAAAUAACCUAUAUACAUUUUGAAAAUGAAAUUGAAGUGAAUGAAUACCUUUCUGUUGUCUUUCAGGUAAGUUUUACUGCGUAUCAAAAAUGAAGAAGGGUCUCCGGCUGACCAACUGCAUGGUGAAGUAAAGGUUGGGUCCUUUUGGAGAGAGGUUCCAUAGGAGAAGACUAUGCUGUCUUCCCGAGCCACCUCUUGUAAUUCUGUGUAACCCUUCUUUUGAGCUGCAGCAUGAAUAAUAGAUUAGAAACAGCUAAGAUGCAUUCGAUCCAUCAAUUAUCUCAAUAACUUUGGUUAGCAUAAUCGAACUCACUUGCAAGACCAUGCAAUUUUCUCACUAGACCGGCUGCUGAUGUUAUUUUUGGCUGUGGUAUUUUCUGCAUGUUCGAUUAUGAGAAAACGGUAAAAACACAGUUAAUAAAUUGUAUGAACUCAAUACAAAUCCAAAGAUAGGAAAUAUCUCUUCGAUAUAAAAUUCCUUCGCCACAUGGUUCAUAACAAUUACUUGAAAAACAAAGAUAAAUCGGGGAUCAAAGUACCGGAGAACUUGGUUCAGGUGACCAGUCCCUCUCCAAGCGAUCAUAAUCCAAGAAUUCAUCUGCUUCAGGAACAUCAAAGAACUCAUCCGGUUCUUGAUUCAGACGCAAUAGACUUACACGCCCGGAUGGUGGUUUUGCCGCCUCAACCUCCAUUAGAACAUCUUCCUCAAUCUUUAUCGUCUCUUCGGGGCUUUGAGUAUCAAUCUUAAUAUCCUCUUUUUCUAAUUGAGGCAAGUGUGCAUCACUCGUCCACUCCAUGGACAAGCAUUCAGGAGGAUAAUUUCCUUGUUUUGCUUUGAACAGCUCCCGUAAGGCUGCAAAUCAGUAAGUUCAAUAAAAUAUUUUACAUAAGUGAAAAAGGAAACUAGCUGGAAUGAAGUUGAAUUAUUAUUAAUGAGCAAAGAGGCACCUGCAACUCUCUCAAGCAUACGAAUCGUCAAAGAUCUAGCAGCCGGAGUUCGGAGAUAAAAUUUCCAGAACUUCCAAUCUAUAGCAAGCAUGUGUUUCACAAGUGACUGUUUUCCGUUGUUCACCGGAGUGAUAACAUAUCCCCCACCUAUGUAUUUAUAAGGAACAACUUAAAAUUCGAGUAAAUAUGCAAACCAUAUAAGUAGAGUCAUGUUUUGGAACAAGGAAUUUAGAGAGGAAUAUAAUGAAAUCAGGGCAAUGAGUGGAAAAAUGCAUGUGGAGGUUUAUAUUGUUUUACCAUUGAAAUGGUGAUUCUGUAGGUUCGAUUGGAAAACUUAUUCAAAUGCAUUAAUUAUAGGAGAAUGAACUUCUAAGUUCCUAAUGUAAAACAUGCAUUACUUUUUAGACGAGCACGGACAUAGCCAUUAUGAGGUGGACACUUCUUGUGAGACGCGGAGUGGUAAAGAAUCACUGCAACAAAAAAAAAGAUAUAGGAUGUUAAAGCUUGAGAAUAAUAUUUCCAAAACUUCACGCGUUUUGGUUAGAAUAUAGUACCGUAUGUGCCAUCAUCCUCUCGUCUCCAAUAGCGUUGAAGUAAUAAAUCUCUUCGUUUCAUUCCCCUGUAACAACUCUGAUCAAUGCGAAAUCUAAAAUGUGAAUUAGGUUCAAAGAAGGCAUAGAAUCUAACCAUGGUAGCCAGUCGCUAUAUAACUUCUUGUGAAUGAUAUCCGUAUGACCAUCAACGUGCUCGACCACACUGCCAUGGUAGAGGCAGAAAUCCCAUCUGCAAGACAAUCGAAUAUUUAACAUCUGGUUCAUAUAUAUAUAUAUAUAUGAAUGUAUAUAUUCAUCAUGAUGGAACUUGAAUGGAAAGAAAAUUUGCAGCAAUCAUACUCUGAUCUUGAGGGACCAAGAGACAUGACAACUCGGAAAAUUGCCUCUGAGGUCCCAUCAACCACACCGACAGCCAUUAUUGCUGGAAUAUCAUUCCAAUGCUGAUAACAAGAAGUUUCUUCAGCCAAACAAAAACAAAAAGGGAUUGAGAAUAGCAUUCAUGACUAAUGUCCCAAGAGCAACCUACCCAUCCACGAGUAUUCUUGUCUUUUGAUUCUUUGAAAAGCCGUAACCCUGUGUUAGAAACACAAUGUCAAUGAUGUGUCGCGUUUAUGAACUUGAAACAUGGUUUGAACUUAAUUUCGUACCAUUCUGACAACCAAAUAUUUUCCAAGGUGAAGGUGCAACAACAUCGGAUGUCAUUGCCUCGGCAUGAACAGAUGAGUGGAAUGGCCAAUGGACAGAGUCCUUGCUGUGUGUUCUCUUCGAAUUAGUCAAUCUGUUUGUAGAGGAAUACGCCAUUUAAAAUAUAUACAAACACUAACACCCAAGCCCUAAUAAUAUAGCUAAAUAAGGCAAAUACGAGGUAAUUGCGUACUUCAUACAUGUAUGUGGAGGGUUAUAUAUCCCUAUUCAUAUCUGAAAAUGUAUCUAAUAUAGGUACCUCAAGAAAAAGAAGAGUCGGAACAACAUAGGUUACUAACGACACAAGCAUUUCAGCCUUUUCUUACAACUAAACUAAUAAAACAAAUCGGGAGAGUAUAAACUAUAAUUACCUCAAAGAUGACCAUAUCUUCUUAGGAGGAGCUGAAAAAUUCUUUGCAAGACAUGGAGAUUCCUGAAAAAGAAAAUUAUAAAAUGUAAGGCUUCCAUCACAAGAAUAACCAUUAAACUCACAGAUUUUUAAGUUCAUAGUAUUAAACCUUUAAUGCUGAAUCCUUCAAGCAACGAAUCCACCUUGCUGCAUCCUCUGAGCUAGUUGCACCUAACUGUAAUGUUUCAAUAUUAGAAAGAUUGCUUGCUAAUAAGUUAGGUUACUGGGACUCAAGGAUGAAUGUCGGGUAUAGACUCCAACAUUUGGUAGGUCCUUGGAGGCCCAGAUCCUCAUACCCUCAUCCAGAUAUGUUCCAGACAUGGGUGUUAGUGGAGAUAAAAAAUAAACACAGUUCACAGUAUUAGUAUACACACCUUAAGCUGCUCAUUAUCAACUGAAGUGCUGUAAAUGGUGAAAAUGAAGAAGACCUGCAUGAGGUGAACACUUCAUAAGCAUUAUAUAUUGACAUUGCAGCACCGAAAGGAAACAUCCAAAGUCCCAGAAAAUUAAAAAAAGGGAUUUAAUAAUCAAACCUUCUUGUUAAUGCUUGCCCUUCCAUCGUCUGUGACCCGAAUGCAUGAAUCAAUUAUGGCACUUCUAACAGGCUCCUGAAAAGAUUAUUAUACUUUGAUUCAACUGGUGUUACAAAUUAAACGGGACUGUAAUUGGUAGAUUUCUUGCAUUUCAAUUACAGAAGACCGGUUCACCGAAAAUUUUAAAACUCAUAAACAUAAAAGACAUCACCAAGAUUUUUAAAAACGAAAUCGCGAAUCCUACAAUAACUCUUCAAUCACAGAGCAGAGGAUUUAUUUAAGGCCUUAAGCAGAAUUUCAAAUUAAGUUAUCAAGAAACCAGCCAUAUGGUAUAAAAUCGGAUUCUCUUUUUUUUUUUUCUUCAACUACUAGAAUGGAAAUUUGAUAAUAGCCAGAAACAUUAAUGAAACUAUUGGCUAUCAAUGUAAAAAACCAACCACUUAAACAAGAAUGAAAUCCAGAAAACUAUAUAUGCAAACAUCCACACGCGUAUAUAUAAACAUGAUCAAAUGAACAUAGGGUUUAAAGUAUCACUUAAAGUUGAAAUCCAGAAAGUUAUUUAUGCAUACAUACAAACAUGCAUAUAUAAACAUGAUCAAAUGAACAUGGGGCUUAACUUAGUUGGUUUAUGCAGUCUCAAAGGUGAAUUUUGAAUCUCAGACAUCCCUAACUCAUUGCAUAUAUCUAGGUAAAAAAUUAAAAAAUAAAAUAAAACAAACAUGCAUUUGCCUCAUUAAAUAAAAUGCUUGUCAUCAAAACAAGAACAUAUCAUAAUACCAGCAAGAAAAGAACAUAUCAUUCUCUUUUCCAUUUUCCAAUAUGGGGUUCUUUCUUUCCAAAAACAUAUAAAAGAUCCAUAGUUCAAGUUCAAAAAAAAUCAAAUUAAAAAAAAAAAAGGAAUUAAAAGAAACAAAGGGUUUACCUCUUCUUCAGAAAUGGGGGUGGCUUUAUAGCUUUUGAGAACAUUGUUAUGAAGAAUGAAGUAACAUUUGCGAGAGAACUGUGAGCCAAUACGAUUAGAACGUAUUGUAUAUAGCCAACCUUCCAUUUUAGCGUCAUUUUGAGAAACACCCAUUGCUUUAAAAUCACUCAGAAACCAAAGCUUUAUUUCUUCAACUUCAAUGAAGAACGUUUAUUGCAUGGCACUGGAUUUCAUUUAUUUAUUAAUUUGCUUUGGGUUUUGAAUGAAGAUUUUGAGGGGUUGAUCCUCUGAUCCCAGCUAAUGGAAUCAGAGAAUCAAAUUAGGGAAAACCAGUGAGGCUUUUGAAAUUUGCAGAGCAAUUUAUCCUUCCCUCCUCCUCUUUAUUUUUAAAAUUUUUGUUUCUGUUUUGUUUGUUUUAUUUUGAGUUUUUGCCUUCAACGUUGAAACUCUGUUUUUAGAAUAUAAACAGAAGAUGACGGCUUUUAUCCCACUCAUUUUCCUGUAUUUUAUUUCCUCAUAAUCAUUGGAUUUUGACAUAUUAACACUAAUUAUAACUAAUUAAAUAUUUUUUUUAUAAAAACAACUAAUUAAAAAUAUUUGAAAAUUAAUAGAAAAUCGGUUUAAACUUUUAAAUAGCAUACCUGAUCAUUUUUAUUAGUUAAUUUUUUACAUUCAUAUAAAUUUAAUUAUUUUUACUUUUAAUAAAAUAUAUAAUUAAUGGAAAAUAUAUAAAUAUUUAAAAAUUGUAUUUGUAUAAUAUUUAAAAUAUAAACAUGUUCUACCGACAAGUCGUUGGGUUAUACUUUUAAGGAGAUGAUAGAGCUUUGAAUUUUAAAGAUGACAUUGUUGAAACAGACAAUCAUAAACUUUGAAUAUAGAUCGUAAAAUAGACUGAAGCAUAUCAAUAUAUAUUUUAUUAUUCAACCUUUAUUGUUUUAAUCUCUAAAAAGUCAUUGUAAAUACAUUAAUUAUAUUAUAAAUGCAUUAAAUAAUAUUAUUGUUUUGAGUUAAAAAAUAAAUAAUAUGUAUAUUUAAGUGUUAAGUAAUAUUUUUACUUUGAUAAAAGCAUAUUAAGUAAUUUUUGAUAUAUUGUUUUAAUUAAUAUUAUUCAUAAAAUAAUUACAAUUAUUUUUUAAUUUAAAUAUUGUAUUAAUAAUAUUUUAUUAUAUUUACAGAAUGAAAAAUAUGAAAGUAAUUUUUUUGAACAAUUUCGUUAUAGGUUCUGAUCACAUUUACUCUUUGUGACACAAUGCUUAGAAUUACCUAUAGCUCCUUUCGAACCCAUAAAUAGGAGAAUAAUGCGUUUCAGCGCACUCGAAUCCACGUCCUCUUGCAUUGGCAACAAAUUUCAUACCAAUCGAACUAAGACUCAAUCGAAAUCAAAGUAGAAAAUUAGAUUAUAUGCAAAAUAUUAAUAAUGCUUCAUAAAAAAAUAUUUAUUGUGUAAACACGUUCAGUUAUCUAUUUAGGGAUAAAUCUCAAAAUUAUACAUGAACUUUUAUUUGAUGUGUAAUUCGAUAUAUGAACUUUGAUUUGAUGCAAUUAUACACAUGAAACUACAAUUAUUGUUCAAAUGUAUACAUGAAACUUUAAUUUAAAGUCAAUUAUACAUAUUUAAAGGAAUAAAUACAUUUUUUAUUUUAAAUUAGAUAUAUAUAAUUAUUUUGUAUUACAAAUAUGUAUACUGAAAAUGGUGUUAUCGAUAAUUGUAUUAGUAAUUUGUGAAAUUGAAUUAAAUUAAUAUUUCAUGUAUAAAAUUAUACAAAACUAAAGUUUAUGUAUAGGAUUGUGUCACAGGCGACAUAUUUCUAACCCCGUGACAAUCGCGAGUUCAAUCAAAGUUCAUGUAUAGCAUCGUGUCAUGAGCCACAGAUUUCUAACCCUGUGACAAUUGCACGUUCAAUCAAAGUUUAUGUGCAGUUUUGAGAUUUAUCCUAUAUAUUCAAGACAAUUUUUUUAUUCAAUGAGAAAAUUGUUUAUUUAUUAAUAAUAUUUUUGUUUCGGUACAAUUAUAUCUAAAAUAAAUUAUUAUCUCGUCUCAAUUAAGAUUAUUAAUAAAAUAAAUAUAAUUAUGAUUUUUAGUUUAAACAUUAUAUUAAUAAUAUUUUAUCAUAAUUUCUGAAAAAAAUUGUGGAAAAAAAGUACAAUUAGAUUAUAGGUAUUAAAAUCCAUAAUAAUAAUAUUGAUAAUUAUUAUGUAAACAUGUUGAGUUAUAUAACUUUUUUGUUCAAUAUUCGAUAAAAGAAUUUUUAUUUUUUUUAAUGUUGUAGAAUUAUAUAUAAAGUAAAUUUUCAUAUAUUAUUCUUAUUAAUAUUAUUAAUAAAAUAAUUAUAAUUAUUCUGUACCUUUUAGGUUAAACAUUAUAUUAAUAAUUUUUAUCAUAUUUAUUGAAAAUGAAAUGUGAAAGUAGAAAAAGAUCAAUUGAAAUCAAAUUAAUGGUUGAAAGAAUAUGUUGAUGUCAUUUUUUGGAGAUAAAAAGUUGAAGUUUACUUUUUUAUUAUUUUAAAUUUUUACUAAUUAGUAACAUAAUAAUAUAAUAUUUUAAAGAAAUGUAAAAUUUAUAUGGUAAGAAGUUUAAAUUUAUAUGAUAACAAAACAUGAUAAAUAGUAACAUGCAUAUGUUAAAUUUAUAUAAGUUCCUAAUGAGUCUAGGAUGUAGGUUCACAAAGCGAGAGCAUCUUGCCGAGUCAAAUCGUGCGUGGCACAUGAUCACCUAUCAAAGGAAAUGGUGACCAUUUGCCUAUGGUAGAGUUUGAACUAAUAAACCCUUCAAUAAGUUGGUAUUGUCCCCAGGUUAUGUUGGAGUUUGUCUCUCAACUCUGUAAAGAGCCAAAGUGUUUAAAAAGGCUGCUUGAGAUGCAGGUUCAUAAAGUUAGAGCGUCUUGCCAAGUUGGAUUGUGCGGAGCUCACAAACAUCUACCAAAGGAAAUUGCAGUCAUUUGCAAGUUUGAAGUUGAACCCCAACCUAUAAGAUAUAAGCCACUAUGGUUUGGGUUCAAACCCUACUUCCAUCAACUCUAAAUAGAUAACACUUCAAAAACUUUUUUUUUAGAAAGAGUCUGUCCCUCCCUAACAAUUUAAGUAUUAUAUUCUAUUAUAUUACAGUGAAAUAAAUUAAAUUUAAUUACUAUAUUUUAAAACAACUAUAGAUAGUUGGUUGCUAACUCCAUUUCUUUUGUUGUCUCAGAAGUAGUUAAAUAUUCGGCCUCUGUAGUGGAGUUAGCAAUACAACUCUACUUAACAUUUCUCCACAUUAUGGAUCCUCCACCUAGGACAAAAACACAAUCCGAUGUUGAUUUCCUUAAAUCCAUCAUGUUUGGAAGUCAAAAUCAGUAUAUCUAAUGAAAGUUAAAUCCCCUCUGGAGUAUAUUAGUAUAUAAUCUUUCAUUCUUUGUAAAUAUUUGAGUAUAUGCAUAACUAUUUGCCAGUAUCUAUGAUCAAGACUCGCUGAUAUUGACUCACAAAUCCUACUGCAAAACAAAUAUUUGGACAUGUGCAUAACAUUACAUACAUGAGACUUCCAACUGUCGAAGCAUAAGGAAGUUUUUUCACAUGUUCUUUUUCUUCCACUGUUUUAAGAUAGUCAUCUAAAGAAGAAUUAAAUCCCUAUACAAAAGGUUGUAUACCCUUCUUCAAAUUGGCCAUAGCAAAACGUUCCAGUAUAUUAUCUAUUUAUGAAGCUUGUAUUAAAGUUAUCACUUCAUUUUGUUAUCCCUAAAUAUUCAAAUUCCCAGAACAUUGUUAACUUCACCCAAAUCCUUCAUGAUAAACUAUUGAAUUAGUCACGAUUUAACCAAUGAUAACGUCUCUACAUCAUUCCCAACAAGUAGUAUGUCAUCAACAUAAAAAAAAACUAGAAAAACCACCAUUCCCAUGUCCCCAUUCCUAUGUCUGAAUAGAUAGUAGUGCAAGUGUCAGACAAAGAUACUAUAGGAAAAUGAAGAAUUUGGUAACAUAGGAUAUAUAAGCGUGUGUGUUAAAGGGUUCUAUCUUUUACUUGAAUAAUCACUCAUUUUUACAAAAUUGCAACAAGGAAAAAGGUUUUAGCUUGCCUAUGUUAUUUCAACUCUUUAUUUUUCUCAAGUACUAGUGUCUAACACAUGUAUAUGGGAUAUGAACUUCAAUCUUAUCCGUGUCAAGCACAUACAUGUAUUUAACUUUACAAUGAAUGUUGCAUCAUCAAUAAGGAGUGACAACAAGGUUGCAAAAGGGUGUUUGAAAUGCUUGCAUGUACGCAAAGAAAGAGUAUUAACAAUGUAACACCCUUAUACCCAGUUCAACCCAAGGAACCUGAUAUAGGAAUAUUACAUUUGGUGCUAAAGUAAUUUUGGCAAAUCAUUAAUAUAUUUGAACAUUAAAAAAAAAGUUUUCAUAACUUAUAUUUUAGUCCCUACUACUUGUAACACACUUGAUCUUCCUAGGUACAUGUCAUUCUAUUCAAAAUUUUGAAACAUACCCUCUUGGCACUUGGAGAUGUGAUGAGAUGGAUGCUCACAACCUCAAUUACAACUCUUGAAAAUCACUAUACCUACGAAUUAAAAAUAAACGCGUUAAGUCGAUGAAGACUUAGUAAGUACCUAUGAUAUUUAAAUUCUAUUAAAUUUCUUAAUUUUUAAUAUCUCGUUUCUUUGUUUAUUUAUCAUAUUCAUUUGUAACUUUUUACUUAUUUCACAAUUUAGUCCUUAAGUCCUCAAAUCAACUUAUAAAAAUUACUACUCUUUUUAUACAUGUAUCAUAUUUCACCAUUUAGUGUAAAUUUUCAUGAUUUUCUCACUAUUUCUUUCACAAUUUAUUUUUAAUUCAAUAUUUCAAACAUGAAUCAGAGAUAAACCUUUACCUUGUAACGAAAAUUGUUUACCUUUUUAGUAGAGGCCCAGUAGACUAAAUAGAACACUUAGGAUAUACAGAACUGAUACAGAGGUGCAUUAUUAUGCACUAUUAAAUAGAGAGAACUAAAGUGCUAUACAGAGAACACUAAUGUGCUAAUAAUCAGAGAGCACUAACGUGCUAAUAAUCAGAAAGUGCGCUAAGGUUCCUUAAUGGCAUGCCACUAAUAUCCCAAUAGUACUUAUCUUGUCUACUUGGGCAAGUCAUAAUAUACACGUCACUUUUACACUUUUCGCAUAAUGCUUUUACAUACUUUACAAUUUAAUCCUUGUACCAAUAAUCCGUAUACUUAUAUCUUCACUAUCUUUAAUACAUGUAAUAUAUUUCUAAAUUCAUUAUUCAUCCAUAAUUCACUAAUAAUCCUUAUCAUGUAUUUCACAUAUCACUUCUAUAUAUUUUGUAAUUUAGUCCUUAGCACAAAAUUUCAUGCAGCAAUAUAUUUUACUUUUAAUAACACAUAUAACAUAAUUCAAUACUUAUUAAUAUUCCAAAAUUCACUACAACAUCAAUGUUUCUCAUUCUAAGUGUUAUAAACUUCACUUUUCUAUUUCUAUUAUAAAAUUUUCCAAAUUUACGAUUUAACCCUUAAUUUUCCACAACUUAGGAAAUAUUUAUAGUUUGGAUUACAAAAUUCAUAUAUAUAUAUAUUUUUUUAUUUUCCACCAUAUGCUUUAUUAUCAAUAUUUCCUUGUAAACUUUUAUAACUUACCUAUUUAAUCACUUUUUUUUCCAUUAAAGUUUUUUUAUUCAUUAUUACACAAAUUUUUUUUCACAUCUCACUUAAUUCACAUAAUUAAUUCCACUAUCUCAUUUUCCACAUCAAAUUUCUAUGUAUUUCACUUGUAUUAUUUCCACCACAUAUAUUUCUCAAGUCUUUCAAUUUAGUCCUUGUUUCCAUAAAAUUUCACAUUUUCCCAUAAUUUCACUUAUCUAAUACUUUGUAUAUUUUUACUAACACAUAACCCAACUAUUAUACUUUUAUUAUAAUUUCCUCCUUCACUUAAGAAAUUAUUUCACACUAUAUAUAUAUUACUUAAUUACCACUUACUUUACAAAAAUCACAUUUUAAUCCUCAAAUAACAAGAAAGUUUAUGGGUAUUUACCUCUUUUCUAUCAAAAUCUCUUAGUUUUUCUCUUCUCCUACCAUUUGAUUCAUGUAACACCCCUAACCCAUAUCCGUCGCCGAAACAGGGUUACGGAGUAUUACCGAAGUUUACAGAUCAAGUACAAACAUUUCAUAUUAUUUCUCAUUCAUUUCAUAAAUAAAUCAUAAUCAAUCAUAUUGUCCCUUAUAAGAGCCCUCAAAACCCAAAAUAUGCAUUGGAAAUAAGUCGGGACUAAACUGGGUACUUCAAGAAUUUUUUGCAAAAUGUAAAAAUUUUUCCUAAGUGUAGAGGACACACGUUCGUGUCUCAGGCUGUGUGGAUAUUCGAAAUAGGGACACACAGCUGUGUCCCAGCUCGUGUCCAUACCUGUGUAACUCUCUAACUUGGGUCACACGGCCAAGCCACACGCCCACGUGUGAGUAAUUUGACUUGCAUUAAUUAGGUACAAGGGUCACACGGCCAAGUCACACGCCCGUGUACUAGGCUGUGUGAAAAUUUCUGAGCAUUCUGUUUUGAAAUUUUAAUGAUGUAGGGGACACACGACCAAACCACGCGCCCAUAUGCUAGGCCGUGUGUCACAUAUGGCUGAGACACACACCGUGUCUCUACUUGUGUGGACGAAAUAAGGUCAUUUCCAAGCCAUAUUUCUCACCCAAAUUUGCCUUCCACCUACAUUAACACUUUAACACAUUCACAAACCAAUACAAAACAAUUAAUUCAAACAAAAACUAAGUUUUAUGCAUAUAUAAUAUCUCAAAUCAAUUAUCAAUAUACCUAUAUGUUUUUCAUCUAUCAACCAUACCAAACACUCACAUUGAACAUGAUAUUGCCUCUUAUAUAUACAUCAAAAUAUGUUCAUCACAAGCCAUACCAAUGACUAGUUACAGCCACAACAUUUACAUGCCAACAUUGGCUAUUUAACCUAUACAUGCUAUUAUAACUAAAAUUAGUUUGUUAUUUUUAUCGAGAUGAGCCAGUGGAUAGUGUGAAUGAUCUCCGCCAAGCUUCUAACCCAACAAGCUUUCAAUUACUAUAAAACAGGGUAAAAAUAAAAUAGGGUAAGCUUUAAAGCUUAGCAAGUUCGUAUAACAGAAAUUAACUUACCAUUCAUUUUCAUUAAAAUAAAUAUACAAAAUGCAUCCAAGAAAUUAGGCUAAUAGCCUAAACACACAACUUCAUUAAAUAUGUUAGUCAUUUAUAUUACAUGAAUAUCAAGAAUCAGGUAUGAGCUCAUCUAUAUCAAAUUUUCAUGUAUUUCGUGUAUAAAUGUAAUACCCCGAAAAUUACUACAGUAAGAAAGUAAGAUAAUAUCCUUGAUAUAGUAAAAUAAGGAAAUAAAAUGAUAAAAAGGGUAAUAUUGAGUUAUGUCAACAUUAGGAAGUUUAUUAUGAUAUAUUAAUUCAAGAAAGGAUUAAAUUGCAAAAGUGAGAAAAGUUUUGUUGCCCAAGAGUAAAUACUCAAAAUUUGGGGGGUUAAAGUGUAAAUACAAAAAAGUUGAAGGACCAAUAGUGUAAAUAUUUUAAGGGUGGAAUAAUCUAGAAACUAAGGAAAAGGGAUGAAUUAUGACCAAAUUGAAAAGGUGAAGAAUUUUGAGGGACUAAAUUGCAAUUUUACCAAAUUAAGUGACUCAAGGAUGGAAUUUCAAAAGAUUAUAAAGGGCAAAAUGGUCAAAUAGAGAUAGAAUUCUAGAAGGUAAUGAUGAUGUUUGUGAUAUUUUUAAUUAAUUAAUUAGAUAAAUAUUAUUUAAUUAAUAUUUUAUUAAGAUUUUUAGUUUAUUUUAUUAUUAAAUGAUUAAUAUAAAAGGGAGGAAAGAUGAUGAAAAAAUCAUCAUCUUUCCAUGCAACCAACGUUAGAAGAGAAGAGAAGAAAGAAAAUUUUACUUUCUUUACAAUUUGGUCCUUUCACCAAAAAUUCACUAUUUUCACCUAGAAAUCAAAAGAAUUUCCAUAGCUUCCAAUAGAGAAAAAUAAUAAGGAGACAACGGGGAGCUAGAAUGUCAAGUUAGAUUCAAGAAAUAGAAGCUGGAGGAGAGAUAAAAUCAAGUUAAAGAUUGAAAUCAAUAGCACAAGGUAAGAACAUCAAGAUUUCAAUAUAUUUUUAAGUUUGUUAUUGUUGAAAAAACAUGAAAAUGAUGUUAUAGUAGAGUUUUCUUAAAUAAAGUCUUAUGUUCUUGAUAUAUUAGUGAAGGGAAAUAAGUGAAAAUGAUGGGAAAUAUUAUAGAGAAAGGGAAUUAGGGAGUUAUGAACUUAGUAAUCAACAUCUUGCACUAAAACAGUUUGGACAGCAGCAAUAGGUUAACUUUGAAAAAUCACCAUAAAUUUUGGAAAUCAAAUUAGAGGAUGAAAAAAAUAUGGAAUUAAAUAUUAUUAAGUCUAGUUUCUCAUAUAAGAAACGGUUAAGUAAUGGAAUUUUAAAUCAUGAGAUAUAAUAAAUUUUGUGAGACAAGGUCAGAAUGAAUUUGGGUUCCCCUAUUCUGACUUUGAAAAAUCAUCAAAAAUUGAAUAAAAAUAAUUAGAGGCUUAAAUUUAUAUGUUUAAAAUCCUGGAUGAGUAUAUUUUCAAUAUAAAUAAGUAGAAACAUCAUCCAAAUUCUGUACAAAGAGAUAAUUAAUUUUUAGUGAAGAGGGGUCGGAACUAUUAAAUAGUGAAAUAGGGGAAAUUUGAAGAAUAAAUUGUACUUAUUGGCUAAACCAAAAACUCUAAAAAUCUUAUGGUAAGAAGGUAUGUGAGUCUAGUUUCAUAGGAAUUUAUCGGAUCUUAAUUUGGAGUUUUGUAGCUGAAGAUAUAAAUAAUUUAGUGACUAUGAUUCAAGUGGACAACUUUGAAUUAAUAUAUAAAUAAAUGGUGGAAUUAUAGAUAAUGUUACAUAUAAUCAUAUUAUACAUUAAGGAUGUGGAAUAGAGAGGAGGAGGAGGAAAAUAAAUGAUUAUUCAACUGGCAUGAGUUCUCAUUAAAAAUGGCCAAUUUGCAUGUUUUAAGUUCAAGGACUAAAUUGAAUAAAAGUAAUAUUUUAAGGGUAUAUUGGUAAAAAUGUCAAAAAGUGACCAAAUUGCAUGAAAUGAAUUAUUUUAUUAUUUAAAUUAAUAAAUUGAAUGAAAUAUUAAUUUAUAUCAAGAUUGGGUGGAAAUUCGAUGAAAAUAGAAAAUUACCAAAAUGUCCCUGAAUUUUAGUAUUUCUUCAAUUUAGCCUGGUAAGUUUGUGUAACUUGAAUUAUAUUCUUAGAUGAUUGAAAUAUAUAUAUUGUAUUGAGAAAUUAAUUUGAAUUGUGAACAUGAGAAUUUGUGAAUUGAAUGAAAUGGAAAUGAAGCUUUGUAUUACAUGAGUAAAUAUCGGGUCUCGUAGGCCCUAUUUGUUAUGAAUAUAAUAUUUCUAGGAUAUGUUGUAAAGAAUUUUAAAAGCACAUUAAUAAUUUAAAAGUUUUAAUUCUGAUGAAAUUUUGUAACUCAGUUUAAUACGUAUGCAAAUGUAUGUCUUCUAGUAAUGCCUCGUACCCUAUUCCGGCGUCGAAUACGGGUAAGGGGUGUUACAAUGUGACAUCGCCAGAUUCGGUCAUAAAAUUUAGACCAGGUUUGGGGUGUUACAAUACAGGUAAUGAUUCACUUUGAAUUCAUUUAUUUUCUCAUAUCAAGAUUUUGCCCAUUGAGUCAUUUAGAAUAUCGAUGGAUACACGGGUAGUAAACACAAAGUGUACAAAUCUAAAAUCUGUCAAUUCAUAUCCGAGAAUACUCAUACGAUCACAUAAAUGAGAAACUCUCUCUCGAGCUAUAUAACAGGAAGCUCAUGUGAGCCAUGUAACGGGAAGCUUAUCUGGGUUGUAUAAUAGGAAGCUCAUAAGAGCCAUAAUCAAGAAGCUCAUAUGAGCCAAUAACGGGUAGCUCCGAAGAGCCAUUAAUCAGGAAGUUCCGAAUAGUCAUAUAUCGGGAAGUUUAAAUGAGCCAAUAUCGGGAAGCUCCGGAGAGCCAUUAAUUAGGAAGUUCACAAAAAGCCUUUAAUCGGGAAGCUCACGAAGAGCCAUAUAUCGGGACGCUCAUAAAAGUUGUGGUGUGUCUACAACACAUGCAGAAUCACAACCAAUCGGGAUGCUCCAAAGAGUUAUUAACGAAAGCUCGCAAGAACCAUAUAACGGAAAGCUCGAUAGGGCUAAUAACGGGAUGCUCUUUUGAGCUGUGGUGUGUCCGCAACAUAUGCAGGACCACAACCAAUUCGGGAACCCUGUAUCCAUCGAAAUUUCAUCUAUUCAAACGGAACUUAACAUUUAUCAGGAUUUGUCAGAUAUGUAAUUAAUUUCAUAUAAAUAGCAAUUACACAAUUCAAAUAUAGAACAUUUAAUUCAAACAUAUAAAUAUACACAAUUUAGUUACACGAACUUACCUCGACAAUGUUCGUGAACUUGUAAGCUACUAAUCCGUUACUUUUUUUUACCUCGAUCUAGCUCCGUAUUUGGUCUAUCCGGAUCUAAUUGAGCUAAAUAAGUUUGCUUAAAACCUAAUUUCCAUGGCUAGGGUUUCCAUGUUUUAAUUUUGGGAAAGAUGAUGAAAUAAGAUGAUAUUAGAUUUUUAUCAUCUUUAAUUAUUUCUAUUUCCAAUUUAGUCUUUUUCUUUAUUUAAUUUUCCAUGGAUGACUAAGCAUACUUAACUACUCCUCUAAAUGGUCUAUUUUCCAUAUAAGGACCUCCAAUUUUGAAUUCCAUAGCUAUUUGAUCUCUUUAGCUAUUAGAUUCCAACUUUUGUACUUUAUGCAAUUUGGUCAUUUUCAUCAAAUUAGACAUGUAACUGGUAAAAUUUUCUUAAUGAAAUUUUUAUACGACAUUCCUAUCAUUAUGCAGACCAUGCAAUAAUAUUAAAAUAAUUUUCCUUCCAAACUUGGAUUUGUGGUCCCGAAACCACUAUUCCGAUUUCACUGAAAAUGGGCUGUUACAAUUCACUUACGUAACUUCUCUCUUCAUCAACAUGUCAAAAACAAAAUAUUUCCUCAUGAGAAAUCUUUACUUUAACACCAUUUUUAUGCUUUUCUAUCACAACUAAACUUAAAAAUAACAUAAAACCUUAACAUCCAUACAUUAUUCUCGUGAAACCAAACUUUAACUUGACUUUCUCUCUCCUCCAACUUUUAUUUUCUUGAAUCUAACUUAAUAUUCUAGCUCCCCAUAGUCUUCUUAUUAUUUUUCUCUCUUGGUAGCUAUAGAAAUUCUUUUGAUUUCUAAGCAAAAAUGGUGGAUUUUUUUGUAAAAGAACCAAAUUGUAAAAAAAAGAAAAUUUUCUUUCUUUCUUCUUCUUCUCACGUUGAGAACAUGGAAAGAUGAAGAGAAUUCUUCAUCUUUCUUUCCUUAUAUACUAAAUAAAAUAAUAAUUAAAUAUAAUUAAAUGUCAAAUCAAAAUAUUAAUAAACUAAUAUUUAUUUAUUUAAUUAAUCUAAAAUAUCACCAACAUCAUCAUUACUCUUCAAAAUUAUCUUCCUUGCUAAAUGACCAUUUUGACCCCUUCAAAAUUCCUCCAUUGAAUCAUCACUUAUUUUAGUAAAAUUAUGAUUUAACCCCUCAUACUUUUUCCACUUAUUCAAUUUGGUCUUAAUUCAUCCAUUUUCCUUAGUUUCUAGAUCCUUCCACCCUUAAAAUAUUUGCACUAUUGGUCCUUCAACUUUUUCAUGUUUACACUUUAACCCCUCAAAUUUUGAGUAUUUAUUCUUGGGUCACAAAACUUUUCUCACUUUUGCGGUUUAGUCUUUUCUUGAAUUAAUACAUCAUAAUAGACUUCCUAAACAGAUUUUGUUGACAUAACUCAAACUUUUCCCCCCUUUUUUUUUCCACUUUAUUUCCUUAUUUUACUAUAUCAAAGAUGAUAUCUCACUUUCUUACUGUAGCAACUUUCGAGGUGUUACAAACAAGGUUGUAAAAUAGUGUUUAGAAUGCUCGUAUGCUUUAUUUCAAGGUUUAUGCUAUGUACAAGAGUAGGGUGGAUUGACCCCUAUUUAUAGUGUUAAAAUAGAUGCCGAUAAUGGCAAUAUAAAAUGAUCGUAAAACAAUAAGAAAAGAAAAAUAAAACACAUAGAUUUUACGUGGAAACCCUUUUGGGAAAAAAACCAUGGGCUGAGUAGAAGAAAUUCACUAAUGUUGAAAACUGAAUGAUAAACAAUAAGAAAAGAAAAAUAAAACAUAUAGAUUUUACGUGGAAACCCUUUUGGGAAAAACCAUAGGCAAUGGAGAAGAAAUUCACUAAUGUUGAAAUCUGAAUGAUAUAAUAUGAGUUUUGACUACAUCUAUUUAAAUGUUGAAAAGCUUUACAUAGAUCCCCUUAUUUUACCAUUUAUUUUCUUUAACAAGGGUUCGGGUCACACAACUUUAACAAUCUCCACCUUGACACGAAUUCUCAAAUUUGAACUGUUACGAGCUUAGAUUAGCAUGGACUGGCUUUCAGACUUGGACCUGUUUUGCUAGCUUUAGGUGCAUAUGAGCUUGAAAUACAACAUUGAGAAUUAUCGGGAGUGAAAUUGAAUGAUUACAAGAAGGCCCGAAGGAGGACAAGUGGGCCGUGGCCCAAAACACCCUCACCUUAGCCUAGAUUCGGCGCUUCAACCUCAACUACUCGUACACUUUGACGCCUUAGACCAUGCCUUAGCAUGACGACCCUGCGAGCCCUAGCAUUGUGCUACUGAGUUGCGGCACUAAGCUUGCUCGACAUGAGAUUCCUUUGCCAAUUUGACUCGAUGCUAGAGGCUAUUUUUAUAUUUUUCAAAUACUAAAGCCUAAGCAAGUAUCGUAGCUCUAAUUUAGGUCAAUAAACUUUAUAAAUACAAUAUUUUUUAAGAGGGUUAGAUAACUUUUGAUUGCAUUGAACUUUUAGCUUAUUGCGAACUUAUUGUUUUUGCGUUCUUAUUUUAUGGAUUGAUAAAUCCACUUUUCUAUUCAAAAGAAUUUCGAAGUUUGAUUCAGAUAGUUACUGAGAUCUAAUUGUUCUUAAUAUUUUAUUUGUUAUUUAGUAUUUGCAUGUCUUCUGAUUUAAUUACAGUAUUCAGGUUUAUUUAAUAUAAGGUUUGUAUUCAAUUGCUUAGAAUAAUUGCCUUCUCAAUUAGAAUUACUAAAUUCGUAAUUGUUUAAUUGAUUCUAAUACUUAUGAUGAACAUCAUAGGUGGGUAAGAUGAAUAUAUGCAUCCUAUGUUGUGUAGACAUGCGAUCUAAUUUAAAUGGACUCCACUAGUGUGUGUUUGUUGGUUAGGAUUAGGUUUGUCUCGAUCUUAAUGCUAUUGGUAAGUUAAACCCUAAGUGAAAAUUAUAAGAUUAUUUAUUGAUAAGGAAAAUAAUUUCAAUCGGGCCACCCCUUGGUUAUCGAAACAAUACGGAGAGAUUGGUUACUAGACCCGACAUCGACAACUAUAACCAGUUUAUUAAAGAACAUUAAAAAUAAUCUUUUUAUCAAUGAUCAAACUCAUGAAUUAAACGAGAAUUUUAGCUUUAACUACAACUUUAUCAUAUUGAUUUUCCCCCAACUUUUUAUUACUUUUUUUUAAUUUGACUUUAAUUUUAAGUUUUUUUUAAAACUCCAUUAAUCUUUAUUUUAUUUAUUUUUGUUAAAAAAAUAAAAAUAUCAUUGUCAUUGUAAAUUCGACUCUACUCACUAUUAUUUAAAAGAAAUUUAUUUUUGACAGUCGAGAAAAUUAUAAAAUAUAUUUGAAAAAUAUUGUCAACCAUUUCAAUUAUACACUUAAAAUAUAAAAAAGUAAAAACCUAUAAAACUUAAAUUUUACUUUUGAAUAGCUGAGAUAUAAACCGACCUGGGUAUUGAAUUUUGGGCUUGGAUUUUACCCAUGAAUACCUAAGAUAUGAACCGACCUGGGUAUUGAAUUCUGGGCUUCUACUUUUAAAUUUAACUUGCUGUCCCUGCCCAAUCAUUCCUUCCUUCCUUUUCCUCCUUGUGUUUCUCUCAACUCAAACUUUUCAAAUUUUAAUUUUUGUUUUCAAGCAGAUUCAGAACAUUACCCGUCUCAAGAAGGUAUGUAGAUUGAUUUCUAUACCUUUAUUUUGUUUUACUUUACUAUGUUUAAAUUUUGCCCUUUUCCUCUUUAAACUGCAAUUUUAGCUAUCAAUUUGUGUGUAGCUUGAAAAGGUUAUGCUGGAAAUUUGUUUAAUAAAUUUUCUGGAAAAAAAUAAUUUUUUGAGAUUAGUUGAAUAAAAUAAAUUUGUUUUUAUUUUUAAUUAUUUGGGUUUUUACUGGAAAAUAAGAAUUUAUGGUUAUUAAGCUGUAAUUUUAGUCGAGCAAAACAAUGGGUUCAAUUCAACAUUAUUAUUUAAAACAUAAAAGAAACUUAAAUUUGUUUGAAUUUGGAAAAUUUGUUAUAUUGCGUUAAUAGAUAGCGAAAAAUGUCAAACAAAAAUUCUGUAGGAAAAUGAAGAGUUCGAGCUUCAUAGGAUAUAUAUGUUAAAGGCUUUUAUCUUUUACUUGAAUAAGUCACUCAUCUGUACAAAUUGCAAAGGGUUUUAACUUAUCUAUGUUAUUUCGAAACUUCAUAUUUCUUGAGUACCGAUAUCGGACACUUGGAUAUGGGAUAUGACCUUCAAUCAUAUCCAGUUUCAAGCACAUACCCGUAUCUAACACUUAAGUAACAGACUGAUUUGCAAUGAAUAGUGCAUUUGAGUUCUUUUUGGCUAUCAGAACUCAAUAGAUAAGUAAAUAUAGCCUGAAUUCUAUUGAAACUGACAUUCUUAUACAGUUUGUUUCAUGAUUUGCUGAAAAUGACAUCUGUUGAGGGAAAUACGGCUGAGCCUCGGAAAACUAGUAAUCCAGCUGCUAACACUGCUAAGAUUCAGAGUUCAUCAUCAUCAUUCCGAAGGUGGGGUAGGAAGUAUCCUUUUAUCAGAUAUGGGCUUCCAAUGAUUUCGUUGACUGUGUUUGGGGCAGUCGGCCUUGGUCACCUCUUGCAGGGCAGGUUAGUUUCGGUACACUUGAUUUGCAAAUUGAUUUUCCAAACUACUUUAGUGGAUGAGAUCUAUGUUUCGUCUGGCAGUGAAUAUAUCUGCUGUGCAGAGAACAGCAGAUGUCAUGUUAACUUUGAGGGGCAAACCAUGUUAUACCGUAGAUAAUUGCUCAGUUCUGUUCACGGUGUAUUUCUCAUGAUCGGAGUUGGACCUAUGGUAUUAGGUCGUCAGUUCUGAUGGUGGUAUAUGGUUGUAAAUUUUUAAAGUUGGAGAAAAGAAUUCCAAUGACAAUAGGAUGUAAUCAUAUGAUUGGAAAUAGAAGGCUAUUUUUGCCUUCUUGUUUGACUUGAAUUAAUCUAGCACUCUAUGAUUCUUACACACACACUCACUUGUAUGCACAUAUCUUACUGCGGUUUUCAGGUAGAUAACCAAAUUAGUAGUUAAAGGAAAAUGUUUUAGUAUGAUUCUUGUUUGGGCUCUUUAUCGAUUGAAUGUCAAGCAUAAGGUUCAAGCUCGGUCAUCUAUUAGUUUGGUUUGGUUGAUUUAGUUGGUCGAGUUAGACGACCUUCUAUCUGAUUUUCUAACUGAAAAUUCGAGGGCUUGAUCAAUGUCCAUGAAAGGUGCCACUGCUUAAACUAAGAGUACAUAUCACUGCUGCAUUUUUGUCUAUCUAGAGUUCACAAGACUUUCAGUUUUCAUGUUCCAAUCGAAAACUGCUGAUCAUUAUGUGAACUUCUAUUUUCAAUAUGAUUAUCUGUUUCAAUCACUGUUGCAACACCUCUAAUCCAUAGUUAGUACUUAUCAUCAUCAUUUUGUUCGAUCUUCUAAAAUUUUAGAGUAUUUCGUAGUUCAGCAAGGAUAUAGCAAAGGUGAAAGAUGAUCAAGAAUGGGAAAUUAUCGAGACGAGGAAAGCAUUAUCAAGAACAGGACCCAUUGAUGCAUAUAAGCCAAAAAAGAUUUCAUUAGAGGAAGAAUUAAAGGUAUACAAGAUUUUUAUUCUUAUGUUAUUCAAACUUGGCUCUGAUCAUCGGAUAUAUCUCCAUACCCAUGUUUAAAUGUGCGUUGGACAUGAAUAUCAAACAUAAGUACUUCGAGAAAAUAAAGAGUCUUUGUGGGACGGUUUUUCUUUUGUUUUGUAGGCUUUGCAACAGAAGGUUGAUAUAAACAACUAUGAUUACAAAAGAAUUCCGAAGCCGAAUGAAGGCAACUCAGGCUAGUAUAUUUUGUGCUCUCAAUCCAAAAGGUUUCUUUCAUACUUGCAGUAAUAUUAGGAUUUUGGUGCUUUUUUUUUUGUGGUCGUUGCAUAUUUAUAAAUACCCACUUUUAAUCCAAAUUCGUUAAGAAUAUGUUGCUCAUGUUGUAAUAGAUUGUUGUGAAAACUUAAAACACAAUUUUGGUAGUUGAGAUUAAUGUAUGUAGCACAUGGUUUAAUAUUCCAUUUGAGAAUUUUUGAAAACAUUGAUCGUUAUUUGGAAUUAAGUGUGAGUGUCGGAUAUAAGGAUAAAGGUAUAUAUAUUUUGUAAUGGCCUAAUUUCUUCUGGUCCAAACAAAAACAAAAAUACAUUAAUAAUCAAAAGUCCAUUUUACAAAUGAAUAAAAUAUAAAAGCCCAAAUCCAGACCCUAAACUAUCCAAGACCUAUUUGUUAACCCAAAAGUUUAAAACCUUAAACUACCUAAAUGACACAAUACCCAAAGGCUUAUACAAGUCCAAACCCUAAACUAUCCUAAGUUAUCAGAAAGCUUAAAACCCUUUAGCAGUUGUUGCCCUCGCCAUGUUAGCAGGCACUUCAUCCGAAGGCUUCUUGUUACCCACGCCCCUAGGAUUGCCUUUUGCCAUGGUUACACCGGAAGGGCAAGGAGCACGUCCCUUAUUGUCGUUGACUUGGCCUCCUUUACCACCACCAUGCAAAAACCUAUAAAAAGAUAGAAAAAAGAACAAAGAAAAGGAAAAAACAAAAAUGAAAUAUUGUAAUUAAUUUGGCUAUAAAAGCUUGAACUCUGUAAUUUUUUAUCAACAAUAAAAUAGAGAACAAAAACAAAAAGAACAAAAAAAAUCAUUAAAAGAUUUAUUUUUUAUAUUUUUGAAAUUUCGAGAAGAAAAAAACAAAAAAGAUUUAUUUAUUUUUUUGUUUUACCUGUUGACGUUUCACUUCACCGCCAUCAUGGGUGGCCCUCUCCGAUUUGAAUGGUCUCCGAAUCCAUUAGGAUUCGUCGAGGGCCUUGUCGGGAAAGGGUGAAGUCGAAAGCCUUCUUUGCUUGUUGAGUUUUGACUGGGUUUUUUGGGAUUUUAACCCUAGAUUUACGUUUUAUGCAUAAAAGGGCUCAAAAGGGGGAUUUUUGAGAAUUUUAGUCACCGGAGGUGGCAGUCUCUAUCGCUAAUGACCGGCGGCUACAGCGGAGACCUACCAUCCCUAUGGUCGGAUAAGGGGGGAGGGUUGAGAGAAAAAAAGAGCAAAGAGUUUUUUUUUUAAAUUAAAGGAAAUAAUUUUUUUUAAUUAUUAUUUUUACUUAUUUUAGGUCCCUUGAAUCAGUGUCAUUUUGGGCUUGGCUUCAUAUGCCCUAAACGACGUCGUUUUGACGCAACAGGAAGACUAGACCCGAAUACCUUUAGGAUACAUGUGUUUUCAAAUGGAGGGUCUAAUUGCUGUUUAGGCCAUUUUGUUUUUUUUUGCUAUUUUUUAAUUUCGUCCCAUAUUGUUUUUUUUGUUUCAUUUUAUUUCUAUCCCUUUUAUUUUGUUCUUGUGCAAUUUAGUUCCCUAACUUAGACAACUUCUUUGGAAGUGACAUGCGUAGUGGUGGGCAUAAUAACCUUUUUGGUCCUUGUGCAUUUUCACAUAUAUUAAUUUAAUCCUUUAUUUGUUUUUUUUUGUUUUGUUACAAUUCAUACUUUAAGGUUUUUUUUUUAGUUUCAAUUUAGCCCUUUUAGAAGAUGGAGAAAUUCUCCUAUCGAGUAUUCUCUGAAGACUAUUCUCCAUUGAAGGAAUUUCUGGCUAUCCAAAGACAAGAAAACAUCUCUGAAGAAAAAUAGAUGGCAAUUUUUUGAAGUCUCUGAAAUGAAGAUGUUGAGUGGCGGGCCCCUUGAAUGAUUCCCAAUGAAAUCCUCUAUCGAUGUGGAGACUUUGACUGGGUUGUUUUACUUGGGAUAUGGAUAGCUGUCAAAUAUGCCCCUUUACUAGUAUUAAGGUAGUACAGAUCGAUGCAGUUUAUUCCAGCAACACGAGGGUUGACCCAACGUGAGUUUGCAUACGAUGGUGACAAUUAUAAAAAGGUUAGUGAAAUCUAAUAUAUGGAACCGAACUCAUAAGAUGAAGAAAUUUAUCGCAUAUCUUAUAACAACCCUAGAAUACGAUUAGUGGUGGAAUAAAAGAAUCAACGAUAAUAUCCUUUCGUUAAGUCAAGAAAAUAUCUUGCCAAUAAAAGAGCACUUGCAAGUGAUCCCGUCAGAAUUAGGUAUUGUGAGCAAGACUUUGAAAAGAGAAGUUUAGAGCUGGGAAAAAGGAUAGAGAAGUUGGAAGAAGAGUAAAUUCAGCUAGGGUUAGACAUUGAUUUCCAAAGAUUAGAAACCGAAAAAAUGAGAAAGGGAAAGAAUAAAGCUGAAGAGGACUUGAACAGUUUAAAAACGGAUUACAAACUUUGCUUAUAAAUAAGGACUGUCUGGUUGGGCAAAAUGUCGGCACAGUAGCGAUAGAAAAUCCAAAAAAAAAGAAUAGAGCCGAUAAGUGGGAGGGAAAGUUUCAAGAUGCUCGAGUCCUUGAGGAUGCUAUAAAAUGAGAAUUGUUAGAAUGUUAAGUUGAAAAAUUUGGAUUGAAAGCUUAGGUAGCGGAGUUAAAAAGCUCUUUGCAUCGACACUGUAGUCGUAACUCUUUGACUGAGUUGAAAGCAAGUCGGGUUAAGAAUGAGGAGUUGAAAAAAAAGGUAGAACUUGAUACCUCAUUACGAAAUUGUGAACUAUAAAUUGAGCUUCUCGUAGAAACUAGGGAAACAAAAAUUGGAAAGAGCCAUUCCAAUACUCCUAGGGGCAGGUCAGAGAUAGGAACCAUGUUACGAGCAAAGCUUUGGCCCAAAUACGAGAAGUGACUAACCAUUUGCAAGCCUAGCUGUUCAAGCUGACGUUCUGAGCCUGAAAUAUAAAUCAGAGUUGGAUUGGGGCAAAGAAUUAGCUUGACUUCUUAGGAAAGUUAAGGUUUUGAGCGUUAAGGCAAUGCCAUAUAUGUAAAAUGUAUUUGCCUUAUAUAAAGAAACUUAUUUUCUAAUAAAAUUGUUCUAAUGGAAUUAAACUAGAAUUAAUGUCUUCUUGCAUGCAUAUUUACCAUUCAUUAGAAUUGCAUUUCAUUUCAUACAUUAAAUUUCAAGAAGAUUUCUUUAAUUAAUUAUAGAAUUGUGACAUUUACUCUUGAAAUUAUCAAAAAUCUGCAAACGUGACAUCGCUAUGGUACUCAAGGUAAAAUUAAGGUUAUGGAUCGAAGACUAGAAAUGCUGGAACAAACCCAAAAGUAUAUGCAUGACCAAUUAGCUAAGGUGCAACAAGAUAUGUAAAAUUGGAUAUAGGAAUAUCAGAGAAACAUAAUAAGUCAGUUAACUCAGUUGUUGGCUGAAGGAGUUGACAAAUGGAAGAGUAUUGUGAUAAGCUUUAGAGAUGAGAACGAAGACCUUGCUUACCCCUCAGGUUUUACCCUAUUGCACAUUUAAGCUCAACAGGAGAUGUGUUUACGAGGAGUACUUGGCAUUAUAAGACCGUAACAGUAUUAGGCUGACACUUUUAGACUAGUAAAUUAUCUUGUGGCUUUAGGUUCCAACCCCGGAGACGACCUAACCAACCUUGUUCUAGAUUUGAAUGAUAUGAUGGAAACGGAAAAGGUAAAAGUAGAACUUCCAAAAUAGCUGAAAGAUCAUUUUAAAUGGUUAGAGGAAAAGUUCAGAGCAAUAGAGGGAGUUGACAUCUUUUGUGGAGUUGAUGUCAAUGAGUUAAGUUUGGUCCCGAACCUAGUACUUCUGUUGAAAUUUAAAACCCCAGAAUUUGAGAAGUAUAAUGGGACCAGUUACUUUGAAGCUCAUAUUACAGUGUUUAUCAAAAGAAUGAUAGGUUAUGUCAAUAAUGAUCAGUUGUUAAUAUAUUGUUUUCAAGAUAGUUUAAUCGGACUGGUUGUAAAACGGUAAAAUUGGCUGAAUCGUGCCCGAAUCAAUUCAUGGUGUAGGCCUUCAUGAAGUAGUACAACCACGUGACUGAUAUGAUGCAUGAUAGAAUUACGCUAUAGAAUAUGGAUAAAAAAAUCAAAUGAGAGUUUCAGGUAAUACGCCUAAAGGUGGAAGGAUGUGGCAGCACAAGUGCAACCACCUUUAUUGGAAAAGGAAACAACAAUGCCCUUUGUUAAUACUUUGAAGGCCCUGUUCAUCAAUCAUAUGUUAGAUAGUGCUAUUAAGAGCUUAUCAGAUAUAGUUAUACCUGGGGAGAUGAUCGAUAACGUGAUAAAAAGUGAAAAGAUAGAUAUAAGAGAAAAUGUCAAAAUGUCUGCCUUGAAAAAGGAGAACGAGGUAGUAUACAAUAUGAAUUAUUUAGAGCCAGCCGCAAUAGCGUAGCCUAAGACCAUGACGGCCAACCAUUAGGGCUUUUCGAGUCGCUUAUCUCAAUGACGUAUGGAGAACUAUAGUAGAACUUAUUCGAUAGUAAUGUAGUAUUGUCGUUUUACCUAAAGCUUAUGCAGCCUCCAUUUCCAAAAUGGUAUGACACAAAUGCUCAGUGCGAAUAUCAUGCAGGGAUAAAAGGACACUCGAUUAAAAAUUACAUCACCUUCAAGAAGAUCAAAAGAAUUAUCAAAAUGGGAAUAGUAAGGUUUGAUGAUCCAUUGACGCUUAAUGUGGUUGAAAAUUUGCUACCCAGUCAUCCCUAUAAAAGGGUAAACACAAUAAUCUAAUAUCAGGGCAAAAAAAUUAAAACCAACGUUGAGGAGGUGAAGUCUCCAUUAAAAUGGGUUUGGCAGAAAAUGGUAAGUAUAGACUUGAUCAUUCAAGAUUCAGAGGACAUACCAAAAGGAGUAAAAAGCUAUUGCGAGUUUUACGUUACAAAAGGAUAUGAAAUUCAAAAGUGUGUCGAAUUUACAACUCUAGCACAGAGUUUGAUGGACAACAAAAAAUUAAAUUUUUUUGAAGAUAUUGAAUUCAAAAGGGGUAGAUAUUUGUGCCUUGAAGAUAGAGUAUAAAAAAAAACUUGUAAGGUCAACCACCCAGUAGUUAUCUCCCGUCCAAAAGGCAAUGAAGUCGUGAAACAAGCCACACCAAGAAUCAUAAUCCAAAAACCCGUGACCUUUUCUUACAAGGAUAACAAUAGGGUCUCAUGGAGGUAUGAUUGCAAUGUGAUGAGUUUGGGAGGAGAAAACUCAAAAGUCACUUUAGGAGGGGUCUAGGAUGUUAGUUUUUUUCACACAAUGGCAAAUGUUACAACCAUGUGAAUGUAAAAACUAAACCCCUCAAGAGAGAGGCCCUAGUAGUCGAGCUUAAGAAGCGAAAAAUCACUAGACCUGAGUCACCAGUCAAUAAGCCAGUGACCAAGAACGAAGCUAAAGAGUUCUUGAAAUUUUGAAGUACAGCAUGUACAGUGUAAUAGAGCAACUACAUAAACUGUCAACUCGAAUAUCAAUUUUACCCUUUUAAGCUUAGAGACACAUCGUAAUGCAUUAAUGAAGGUGCUAAAUAGGAGUUACGGCAUCAAUAACAAUUCCACGAAUAAGCUGGAUCGUUUGGUCAACAACUUGAGUGUUUGACAAUUUUAUUUUCUUUAACGAUGACAAAGUACCUCUAAGAGGUAUGAGAUCAACAAAAGCUCUGCAUAUCACUAUUUGUUGUAAGGGAAAUAUAUUGCUUGGAAUAUUAAUUAAUAAUGGGUUUGUCCUAAAUGUUUUACCUCUAUCCACAUUAAAUAGGUUGUUAGUCGAUAACUUUCACAUGAAGGCCUACAUAACAUAGUAAGGGUGUUUGAUGGGCACAAAAAGAAAAGUAAUGGGGAGGAUCGAAAUACACUUCUAAUCGGUCAAAAUACAUAUGAGGUGGACUUUUUGGUAAUGGACAUUAAGCUCACUUACAAAUAUUUUUUAGGAAGGCUUUGUAUUUAUUUAAUAGGGGUAGUGCCAUCAUCGCUGCAUCAAAAGUUAAAGUUGGUGACAGAAGGUUGGUUGGUCACGUUAAACGUUAAAAAAGUACAUAUUGCAUUUGUGACUAGUGACGUGUCCUACAUAGGACAGAUGAAGAUGCUGUAGAAUGCUCAUUUUAAUCAUUGAAAUUUGUUAAUACAAAUUUUUUAAUGAAGGAAGCAAGAUUCUCGCACCAAAAAUAUCUAAAACCAUGAGGAUGAGUCUAUAAUGGAUGGUCGGGAAGGGAGUUUUGCUAGGAAGAAGACUUGAAAAUGAUCUCCAAGGAAGGGUUAAUGCACCAAUGUUGAUGGUUAAACAGGAUCGUUUUAGCUUAAGGUACAAGUUAAAAGAUGAAUGAACUAGAAAAGAAGCAAGAGAGAAAGGAGGCGCGACUGAGUGGGGAAGAGAUUAAAUGGGAACCAAUAAUCUUUCCCCAUAUAUUUGAAACAUUCGUGUUAGAAGAAGUCAUCUACGCUAAACGAAAAAUAAUAGAAAAAAAACUAGAUAGCCAAGACUGUAGGAAGAAUGUUAGAAAAUUUAAACAUCAACGCUAUAUCUGAAGUGGACUUUCUGGUAAUGAACAUCAAGUCCACCUGUAACUAUUUAUUGGAAUGAAGGCUUUGUAUCUAUUCAGCAGGGGCAGUGUCAUCGUCGUUGCAUCAAAAGUUGAAAGUGACAAAAGGUUAGUUGGUCACGUUAAACGCCUAAGUAUAUCAUUACAUCUGUGACUAUUGACGUGCCCUACAUAGGGACAAAUGAAGCUAAUGCAUACUCUUUUCGAUCAUUGAAAUUUAUUAGUACAACUUUUAUUGCUGAAGGAAACAAGAUCCUCGCGUCAAAAAAUCUAAAGCCACAAGGAUAGGUUACAAUUAAUAGUCAAAAAUAGAAUUUUACCGGGAAGAAAACUUGGAAAACACCUCUAAUGAGAGGUUAAUGCAUCAAUGCUAACGAAUAAAUAGGAUCAUUUUUCGCUUAAGCUACAAGCUAGAUACAAGACAGAAGAUGAAUGAAUUAGAAAAGAAGCAAGAAAGAAGGAAAGUGCGACUAAGUGAGGAACAAAUUAAGUGAGAACUAAUGAUCUUUUCCCAUAUAUAUGGAGCAUUCAUGUUAGGAGAAGUCAUCUACCUUGAAUAAAAAAUAAUUGGAAAAGAAAGCCAGAUAACUAAGACUGUAGGAAGAAUAUUAGAAAAUUUAAACGUCAACGCUGUAUCUGAACAAUUGGAUCGUAGAGGAGAUUCUUGUAGUUUUUAGGACUAUUUUAGAGUAAUGUUCAAAAUAUGAUUGUUUUAAAAUUGGGAGCAAUAGGGAUCCUUUUGUGAAAAAGGCACAUAACUAUUAUCUUUAUUUUAAUGAAAAUAAUUUGUUUUUUGUGUCCUGUUUAGCAAAUAUUUAACUACUCCUUUUAUUCAUAUUCAUACAAUAAUGAAUCAUUCUAAAAUUCAUUUUUUUCAUUAGGUUUCCUUGUUAGAGCCUUGUUAUAGGAAUAUAAUGAGACCAAAGGAAAAAAAUGAAUUUAAAAAUGAUAAAUUGUGUGAGAUAAGUAUGAAUAAAAUGAGUAGUAAAAUAUUUGUCAAAUGGGACACAAAUGCAUUAUUUUCAUUGAAAUAAAGAUAGUGGUCAUGUGUCUUUUCACGAAAGGAUCUCUAUUACUCCUAGGCUUAGAUCAAUAGGCAUGUUCUAAAUAUUACUCUAAAAUAGUCUUAAAAAUUACAAGAAUCUCAUCCACAAUUUAGCUGUUCAGAAUAUUUUCGGAGGUGUAAGGACGAAUUUUUAAUAAGUUCCCUUCCUCGGUUUCCUUUUUAGAUAUAUCGUUGACUCUUAAAUUUUAUCACAUUCUUCCCACAGUCUUGGUUAUUUGGCUUUUUUUUCUAUAAUUUUUCAUUCAAGGUAGAUGACUUCUCUUGACAUGAAUGUUUCAUAUAUAUGGGGAAAGAUUAUUGGUUUCAACUUUAUCUUUUCCCCACUUAGUCGCGUAUUCUUUCUUUCAUGCUUCUUUUUUUGUUCCUUCCUUUUUUGUCUUGCAUCUGGCUUGUAGCUUAAGCAAAAAAUGAUCCUGUUUAUUCCUUAGCAUUUGUGCAUUAACCUUUCAUUGGAGGUAUUUUUCAAGUUUUCUUCUUGACAGAACUCCUUUUUUGACUAUUAAUUGUAAACCAAUUCUUGUGGCUUUAGAUAUUUUUGGUGCAAGAGUUUUGUUUCCUUCAGCAAUAAAAGUUGCAUUAAUAAAUUUCAAUGAUCGGAAAGAGUAUUCUAUAGCUUCAUUUGUCCGUAUAUAAGGCACGUCAGUAGUCAUAGAUGCAAUGAUAUACUUAGGCGUUUAACGUGACCAACUGACCUUUUGUCACAUUCAACUUUUGAUGCAACGAUGACGGCACUGCCCUUGCUGAAUAGAUACAAAGCCUUCUUCUCAAUAAACAGUUUUAAGUGGGCUUGAUGUUCAUUAUCAGAAAGUCCACUUCAUAUGUAUUUGGAUCGAUUAUGAGUGGUAUUUUGAUCCUCUCCAUUACUUUUCUUUUUGUGUCAUCAAAUGUCCUUACUAUAUUAUGCAGGCCUACAUGUGAGAGCUAUCAACCGACAACCUACUUAGUGUGGGUAGAGGUAGAACAUUCAGGGUAGACCCAUUAUUAAUUAAUAGUCUAGGUAGUGUAUAUCCCUUAAAUGAGUAGUGAUGUGCAGAGCUUUUGUUGGUCUCAUACCUCUUAGAGGUAUUUCGUCGAAGUUGAAGAAAAUAAAAUUGUUAGCAUUCAAGUUGUUAACCAAAUGAUCUAACUUAUUCACGAAAAUGUUAUCGACGACGUAACUCUCAUUUAGCACCUUUAAUAAUCCAUUGCAAUGCGUCUUUGAGCUUAGAAGCGAUGUUAAAAUAGAUAUAAGAACUAGCUGUUUGUGUAGUUGUUUUACUACAUUGUAUUUGAUGAGUUUCAAAAAUUUUAAGAAUUUUUUAGCUUCGUUCUCGGUCAUUGGCAACUCAGGUUUAACAUUUUUCCCUUUUUUAGGCUCGGCUACUAGGGUCUUUCGUUAAGGGGUUCAGUUUAUGCAUUUACAGGGCAGUAGCGUUUCCAACUGCAUGUGGAGAAAUCGACACCCUCGACCCCUUUUGAAGUAACUUUUGAGUUUUCCCCUCUUGGAAUCAUCACAUUGCAAUUAUAAUUUCAUAAGACCUUCUUGCUAUCUUGUAAGGAAAGGCCACGAGUUUUUAGUCUCGGUCUGGCUUGUUUUUUGACUUCACUGCCUAUUGUCUGGAAUAUUAUCACUACUGAGUGGUUGACCUUGUAAGUUUUUUUUAUACUACCUAUUUUAGAGGCACAAACAACUACCCCUUUUGAAUCCUUAAUAUCUUUAAAAACUUUAAAGUUUUUUAUUGCUCAUUAAGUUCUGAAUUCGACGCACAUUUGGAUUUCAUGUCCUUCCGCAAUGUGAAACUUGCAGUAAUUUUUUACUUUUGAUAUGUCCUCUAAAUCGUGAGUGAUCAAGCCUACAUUUACCAUUUUCUGCCAAACCCAUUUUAAUGGAGAUUUUUCUUAACGUUGGUUGAUCCAUUUGCUUUAAUUAUCCCUUGGUCGGGAUGAUUGGGUAGUAGAUUUUUACUCACAUUAGGCGCUGAAGAAUCAUCAAACCUUAUAGUUCCCAUUUUGGUAAAUUUAUCGAUUGAAUUCUUGAGGGCAAUGUAAUUUUCAAUCGAGUGCUCUAUUAUCCUCGUAUGACAUUUGCAUUGAGCAUGUGUCAUACCACUUUGAGAAUGGAGGUUGCAUGGGCUUUUGGUAAAACGACGAUAUUAUGUGAGCGUUGAACAUGUUUUGGUAUAGUUCUCCAUACAUCAUUGGGAUAGGUGUGAAUUGAAUUUUUUAUGUAUUUGGCUCGAACUAGAUUCUUGUAUCGGAGGGCUUUGAUGGUUGGACGUUAUGGUCUUAGGCUGUGCUACUAUAGCUGGCUUUGAAUAGUUCAUAUUGUAUACACUCACAGUAUUUACUUCAUUUUGUUUUUUUAGACAAACCUUUUAACAUUUUAUCAUAUAUCUAUCUUUUCGCUUUUAACGCGUUGUCGAUCAUCUCUUUGGACACAGUUAUUUUCGAGAAGCUCUUGGUAGUACUACCCAUCAUAUGAUUAAAGGGGCCUGCAAGGUGUUGUUAAAUAGCAUCAUUGUUUCCUUCUCUAAUAUGUCCUAAUGCCAAAAUUAUUGGGACAUGAGUGACCUUUUUGUCGAGUUGGUCGAACAAAUCAGAAAUCGCAUAUUUUAUAUGUCCUAAUGCCUUAGAGAAGAUCACUAACCUAUAAAUACUUAAGGCAAAGGCGUCAAUCUUUUUUCUUGUGUUUGGGUAUACCAAGGCUAAGUCCCGCAGGCUCUUCCAAGUGAUGCAUUUAUUAUCCUUUUUUUCUUAAUUUGGGUCGCGACUUAUUGCUCGCCCGUCCCUCAUUAGCUUCUUCAAGAAGGUUGCGACGUUGGCGACUCUAGAGUAGGUUUUAUCAACUUGGAUCUUUGGGCAACAGAGUAAAGUGGUGUACUCUUCUAAUGUGGGUACCACGGUUACCCACAAGUGAAAUAAUUGUAAGUAGGAUUCCAAUACUGUGUGAAAGCUUGGAAUAAAUGCUUAGCCACAUUGACAUUGAAUAAGUUUGCAAAUCACCAUAUUUGUGAUAGAAUAACUGUUUUGUUUUAUCAUCCCAUUGAUCCCAUUUUCUUUCAGUUCUUGCAAAAUAUUCUGAGUUACAUUAAUUCGGGUGAAAUCCCAUAACUCUAACAUAUACCCUUCUGGUAGGCUGUCACCAUUCUCUUGUUGUCUUUUCUCUGACCAUAUUUGUACGGUCACAUUGUCCUUUAAAUUAUUAAGAAGCCCUUUUCUCAUGAUAAGUUCUUUAUUUAGCAAUUGAACACGAAUUAACACCUUUUCCUAAGAUGAAAAUGUGGUGCAACCAAAACGAAAUAAAGUAAAUCAGUAUAAUAAUUACAAGAAUAAAACUUGAAUAUAGAUUGUAAUUAAAAACAAAAGUUAAAUGUGUCUCUUCUUUACAUUCUAUUCGGGCAAACUCUUAGCAUAUGUGGUUUGUUUUUAAAGUAAAGGUACCUGAAUCGAUAGCUUCUCCAAUCCUUACCCAUUGUAGGCUCAUAUGGAUUGAGUUCAGUUCAGGGGGAUGCAUUUUCCUAUGCCUGCACAAUAGUGAAGGCUUCACAAAGAUAGGUACAGAUAUAUUCCGAAAGUGAUGCAUUAUCUUGUACAGAGGUGAAGACCUCACGAAAAUAUAGCUUCUCACUCCCACUUAAGAAGGGCAGAAUCCAAGUAGAACGUUUAUGUCAUGCAAUACGUAUGAAAGUGUAUAAAGAGAAACUCUCAAACUUUUGAUUGAACAAAAAGUAAAACCAUAAGUUUAGGUGACUAUAUAACUUGAGAUUAUUAACAAAGACAUUCGUAUAAUUGUUUGCUACCAAAACAACACAUGACUGAACGAUGAAAUGCAAGGAAGGGAUCACAAAUUAAAUUAAACCGAUUCUCAAUUUCUAACAAAAGGACCAAAAAGUAAUCAACUUGUAGCUUGACUCUUUUUUUAGUCAUCAGUGAAGUCACUAAGUUGUCAAAACCUUUUUUUGUCCUGACUUAUAUAUAUAAUUUAAAAAAAAAGACGGAGUCGCCACUGAUCUUUUUUAAUUAGGUAUGAUUGGAUCACCUCGAAAUUUAAUUAUUUUAAUAGAAUAUUUACUAAAAUGACGAUUUUUCUUUUCGAGCUAUAAAAUCAGAAGAACGGGUUCUGGAAUUGGUUACGUAUGAGGAAGGAUUAACACUCUUAUAACGCUCAAAAUUGAUUACUAGGUGUCUCAUUAUUGGAAAUUGCAAUCUUAAGAAGAAUUUAAAAUACGACACUUAAAUGUACGUAAAUGGUAUUAAUUGAUGGCAUUAUUAGAAAUAUUAUUACCUAAUGGAACUUUAUAGAGAAGGUUCUUUUUGUCUUGAGCCGAUCAAAAAGUCAUGUCCUGUAAGCUAGGGGAACAAUAUCUUGAAUGCCCGAGAAUAAAAAAAUAUGUCAUUUGAUUGUUACAUAGAGCUUAUAUGUUCUUAAUUUUAAAUAGGAUGUUCGAUUAUUUCGGUUUAAAGAGAAAGUCAUGUCCUGUAAGUUAGGUGUACAACUUCUCGGUUUACCUACAUAAAGGAACAUUGCCUCGGUCUUGAGCAUUACUUAUGUGUUGCGCAAAAGCCGAUGCUACACUAAUGUGACAUGCGAUAAGCCUACUCGAAUGUGGUAUAUUGUACAAAGCAGAUGGGUAAAUGUAGGCAUAAUAUAUAAUAUAGUAAAAAUAACGAUAUUAUAAUAUUAUAAUGAUGGCAACACAAAUAAUAAAAUAAUACAACAAUAAAAUAACAAAAAUAAUGGUAGUAAUAUUCUUAGUUGAUUAAUAAUAAUAUUAUGUAAUAAUGAUAAUAAUAGUAAAAUAACAUAAGAAAGUAUGAUAAUGCUAUGAUUAUGAGUAUAAUAUUAGCAAUGAUAAAAUUUUAACAUAAAUGAUAUUAAUUUUUAACAAUGAUCAUCUAAAAAUAUCAAUGGCAUCAAUAUUUAAAAAUAAAAAACCAAAAUGAAAUAAUGAGGACAUUUAAAGAUAAAACUGUGAAUUAUAUAACUUAAACGGUAAAAAUGUAAAUAAUGAAAUUUAAAGGGUUGGAAAUUAAAUAACAAAAAGUAAAAAGGGCUAAAUUGAAACCUAAACGAAACUUAAAGUAUAAAUUACAAAGAAACAAAAAACAAAAGAUUAAAUUAAACUAAAACAAAGAAGUAUAGGGGACCUAGAGUGUUAUUAUCUCAACUCAAUAUAUGUGUCACUCUCUUAAUGGGUCAACAUUAGGUCAUGGAAUUGAAAUGUAAGAAUAAAAUUGAAGGGGUAAAAAUAAAAUAAAUAAAAAUAUAUGACGAAAUUGAAAAAGAAAACAUAAGUGGAAGGGCUUAGGCAGCAGUUAGACCCCUCUUUCAAAAACACACAGAUCCUAACAGAAUCUAGGUCAGGUCCUUGGGUCAUGUCUAAAACGAUGUUGUUUUGAGCAUCUAAAGUUACGCCCAAAACGAUGCUGGAUAAUGCACUCUAUAUAAGUUUAAAAAAAUUAUAAAAAUAUGUUCUCUCUUCUAUUUAGAAAAAAGGCUUUUUUUUUUCUCUCAAACACCCACUUGGCCGGCGAGUCGGUGAGUCUCCGACGUUGCCAUAGGCUAUUGGCGACGGAGACGUCGCCUCCGGUGGUUGAAGUUCCCAAAAGUUUCCUCUGAGCCUUUUCACUCGUAGAACGCGAAUCUGGGGUUAAUUCCCAGAAAUCCGGUCAAAGCUCAAUAAAAGGCCUUGAAAUUUUUUCAGUUUCUCUUUUUCCAAACAACGCCUUUCGAGUUAGAGGGGAUCGUCCUUCAUCGGGGAUAGAGUGCUUGGCCAUGACGGCGGUGGAAUAUGAAGGGUCGUUAGGUAAAUAAAAGGAACCGUAAUCUUUUCAUUUUUUUUUCUUUUAGAAACUUUAAAAAAACUAAAACUAAAAAUAUACCUUUUAGUCUGUUCUAUUUUCUUGUUUUUCUUUUUUAUUUGAUUCAUUCCUCAAAUUACAAGUGGUGGUUGCGGUUUUUAUAACCGCAUUGAAUAUACAAUUUUGUUUUUAUUUCACUGUCUUAGUUUUUACAGGUACUUUUGUGGUGUUGGCAAGGAGACUUUCAGUCAAUGUCGGUGAGAGUGGCGCCACUUGCCAUUUUGGUGAAAUGGUGGCAGAGUGCAGUCUUAGGGGGUGGGUAACCUCGGGUGGGGGCUAUUAGGCUUUGGGUUAAUGGGCUUUGGUUUUUUAAUUAAUUUUUAAAUGGAUUUUAUUUUUGGGCCAGACAAACUUGGGCCUUUACAGUGUAUAUUGUCAAUUACGUAGAAUAAUUCCUUCUCAAAAAGACAAAAAAAGGAAACUUGUUUAUUUUUCACGUGUAAUUUUAGAUAAGAUGGGAUCAUAUCUUACCAAACCAGACUGCUCUUGCAAACGUGCUCCCUCAGAAUAGGUGAAAUCAGAUGUUUCUAUGUCUAUUCAGUACAUUGGACAUACCUCAUUCCUAUGUAUCCAUGUAUGGAUUGUUUCCUCAACUCGACACCCAAGGGUAAAUAAUUGAUACAUGGAUCAUUGGAUAUAGUACUCGGAAGGAUUGUGUAUAGACACUUUUAACUAAAAACUUUCCAUAUGAACUUUGAGCUUUCUUUGGCCACACAACCCUGCUAGAUGCUUCGAAUCAUUCGAUCAAUUCUGUUAGCUACAUGGGUGCCUUGAAACAAGGCAUAAUGUAAGUAGUUAUAGAAGAUAUAAUUGAUUUAAUCAUUGUAUAUCUACCACCUUGAGAUACACAAGCUGAUUUCUAACUUAGUUUGUAUCUUCUUAGUUAUCAGUUAGGAAAAAAGGUUUUCUUCUUGUUCAAAUUUACAACCUACACCUUAGGAUGUUUUCUUAGUUUAAAUAUGAUAUACUCAAACUGUUUGGACAGAACAAUGAACCUACAAAUGGCCUAGCAAAUCCUUCGAGACCACAUCUUAGAGAUGUCCUUUGAAUCAAUCAACAAUUAAGGUUUCCACACAUUAAUUGUCAUAUUAGACUUCAUUAUUAUGUCCCAUCCGAGGUGAUUGAAAGCAUAUCAUAACGUAAUUGUAUGUAGGUUUAUAAUAGUAGACCACUUGGUUACUUACCAUUGACCCUCCUAUAAGAGCUCGAUACAUGAUACUUAAGGAUCAAUGCUAAGAAUUAUAAGGCCCAAGGACGAUCACUAAAGUCAAGCCCUCCUUACUCUCCUUCCACCAUCAUCAACUUCUACUUCGACUCUCCCUUUCUCUUAUCAUCUCUAGUUAUUUUACCUGGUGACUCUUUACCUUGUACUAAACAAGAUGAAUUGUAUCUCUUUGCUAUUCACUUCACAUUAUCUUGUUACACCAUCAACAAAAUCGAAGACAAAUAUAUCAUUUGUAAAUCAAAAGAUAGUUUUUUCUUCUAAAUGCUAAGUUAUAUAAAGAUGAUUUCUUGUUUUAAAUUCAAAGUUAUAUAUACUAUUUUUAAAUCAAAAAGAUUUUUUUUCGUAUUUUUAUUUAUUACAUUUAUUUUAUUCAUUAUAGAAAUGAUGAAAUACAUUCGUAAUUAUUUGCUACAUCAUUAAAAAAUCAUUAUUUAAUCUAAUUUUAGUAAUCAAAUAUAUGAAGAAAAAAAAGUUAGAAACCUUCUAAGAUUACAAUUACAUUCAAAUCCUAAUAUUUUUUUUCACCAUUUCGUACUCAAAACCACUUGUUUCUUUACACAAAAAUCCCUUCAUGUAAGCCUAUUUAAACCCUCUAAUCCAAAUUCUUUUUCAUAAUAUUACAUCAAAAAAUAAGAAGAAAAAAAAACCAAUUAAAGAAUCAACAAAACAGAGAUGGCCUCCAAGAAAAAUAGAACAAUAAUGGUGAUUUUAGCCAUAAUUUUAAUGGCAGAAAUUAGUUCAACCCUAGAAAUUGUGCGAUGUGUGAAUAAAUGCAUGCCAUUUCAAGUACCCCUUAAGGGUAAAACAAGUAAAGCCCUUACUUUAGGCCCCUGAAUAUAUAUUAGUCAUAAUUGACUAUAUAAUGAAGUAUUAAAAGUGGAAAAGUCAACAUCAACGAGGCUUUGGAAAGUAAUUUUUUAUGGACUUCUAAUUAGAAGUUACAUGUGGUUGUUAUAGUUUAAAUUUAGUACUUUGUGAUAUGAUUUGUUGUUGUUCUAAAACUGUAUCCUUUUUUGGAGUAUUACAAUCAAUAUAUUCAUUAUUUUCUUCUUCAACGCAAAUACGAAAAGUUUUACAAAAUUAUAUAUCAAGCCUAACUCUUAAAUUAUCAUCAUCAACACAUUGAGAAAGUCGUAUUGAAAGUUUAAAACUAUAAGAUUUAAGCUCCACAAAUAAGAGAUGUUUUGUUGAAAUUAAUAGAAGUUAGUGAUGAUCCUAAAAUCAAAAGUGAACCUGAGUUUGUUAAACGAAUUUGCAAGGUUGUCUUAAUAAACUAUUUUGACUAUAUAAGCUAUUCCAUCUUUAACAAUCUUUUUGAUAAUGUGAUAUUUGGGAUCGAUGUUUAGUCUUCUUAAAAUGCCUACUUUCCUUAGUAUUAGUUAUUGUUUUAUUGUUAUCACGAUACAAUGUAAUAACUUUUCUCGUAUUAGGAAUUAUUUCGAGGUCGAAGCCAAAUGUUUCCUUAGUUGAUUCUAAAGCAACCAUAUAUUUAGCUUCCAUAGUAAAAUCAACAAUACAUGUUUGCUUGACACUCCUCCAAACUAUUCACCAUAAUAAACUAUCAUAUUUUGUUUAUAUGAGCUUGCCUUUGGAGGAUAAGAACUAGGUUUGCCAAUAAUCGAGCCUCUUACCUACUAAAAUCCAUACAGAUAUAUAAAAUUUUAAAUAAAAAUAUAGAUAAAUAAUACGAAUAUAAUAAAAUAUUAUUUGAUACAUCGAUGGAAUCAGAUUUAAACUUUAUAGGCGGGUUAAAAAGUCACAUGUUCCACACAUUAUUUCUUUUUUCUACCCUAGAUAUUAUUUUAUUGGUGAAUGCACUUAGUAGGUCCCUCUAUUAUAGAGAUCGGAUCAAGUUAACCUUUAUACUAUAAAUUGACCGGUUUAGUUUUUGUAUUAUUAAAUAAAUAAAUAAGGUUAAAUUUUAACAUAGUUAACUUUUACCGCUUAAAAAAAAUAUAAUUUACUAUUUAAUAAAUGUAUGUUUUAAAAUAUUUUUAUGAUUUUAUAUAGAUGAAAUAUUUUGUUUGGAGUUAAAUUGUAAGUGAAAAAAAUUUUCAUGUCAUUUUUUUAAAUAGUAAAUGUUAACUCUAUUCUAAUCUGGGCUUAUUUGACUUUUUAAUAGUACAUUAAUUAAAUUGAACCAUUUACUAAUAGAUGGACAAAUUUGAUCUAUUCCUGUAAUGGAGGGACUUCACAGGUAUUUUAACAUUAUUUUAUGCUUAUUUUGAUAGAAAGACAAACCUUUAUUUUUUUUUAUUUUUUCGUUAUUAUUUCCAUUUUAUUUUUUGUAUACUAAUGUGCUUGGACACCGUACAAUAAUUGGAUGAGGGUCUUGGAAUUAUAAUUAUUAUCAUUAUUAGUUUUAUUUGCCCUUUUAUUUAUUCGUUAUAGUUUUGUUUUUUUAGGUUUAUUUUUAUUUCUAUAUAUAUAUAUAUAUAUAUGUAUAUCUAUAUAUAUGCAUUAUGCUUGUACAUAUAUUUUACAUACAAACACAUUUUUAUUUUUAAUACAUGUCUAUAUAUAUCUAUAUACCUUUUAUUAUUUUCCUAUAUACAUAUACAUACAUACAAGUAUCAUUUAUAUUUAUAAUUUCCAAAAUAUGUAUAUAUACACCUAUAUUUUAAAAUGCAUACCUGCUCGUACAUACACACUUUUUAUAAUGUACAUACUUAUAUUUUAUAUAUUUUUGUAUUUUAUAACCUAUUUAUAUAUAUAUAUAUAUGUAUAUGUAAAUACUUAUAUUUUUAUAUUUAAUAAUUCAUAUGUGUAUAUCUUUUAUUUAUUUUCUUCAUUUAUUUAUUUAUUUACAUGUCCAUUAUUAUUAUUUGUUAUGCUUUAUAUUUGUUUAUUAUUGUACAUACGUGAUUGAUUUUAUUUAUAUAUAUAUGACUUCUUAUUUAUUUAUAUUUUGUUUUCCUCAUGAUUAUUUUACUUACAUUACCAUCAUCAUUCCAUUACGCUCAUUUCUAUUUAGAUUUCAAAAAAGAAAUUUUAAAAAAUAUAAGUAAUAUUCGGUAUUUUGGAUCUUCGAGAGAAUCGAGCCCUAACGUAUUGGGUUCCGACUUUCUUCAUUGAACUUAAAUAAUCGAGAUUACUCUUUAAAAAUGAUAACAAGCUCGUUAUCAAGAAUUCAAUACGUUGUGUCCUAACGCAUUGGAUGUGACAUGUUGUUUUCUCGAAACGAGGAUUUUUCGAAAUAAAUGUAAUAUUCAGUGUUUAAUGUUUUGAUAAAUUGUGCCCUAACGUAUUGGGUUGCGAUUUCUUCAUUUAAUUUAAACAAUUGAAUAUUCUUUUAAACUUUAUUACACGAAUUUUUUUUAAACUCAAGUUUUAAACAAUAUCGGGAAUUAAAAAAGGAUCGUGUCCUAACUUACUGGUCGUGAUCCCUUUUUAAAUCCAAGGUAAUUAAAUAUCUUUUAAAUAAGCAUUUUUAUUCGCGUAUCGGGAAUUCGAGACAUUGUGUCUUAACUUACGGGAUAUGAUUCUCUUUCUCGAAUAACGUGAAAUAUCCCAUUUUUUCUUGAAAAUUUUCAACGUUUUAAUAAAAUGAUCGUAUUUUUAAAAUUCUCCAAAGUUCUCAAUUUUCAACAUUAAGACAUUAAGUAAUCAACUAGGUACCAAUUUUGGGCGUAUCGAGGGUGCUAAUCCUUCCUCGUGCGUAACCGACUCCCGAACCCGUUUUUCUAAAUUUCGUGGACCAAACUUGUUGUUUUAAUAAAAUCAAACUGUUUAUUAAAAACAAUCACUUUUCGAGGUGAUCCAAUCACACCUCAUAAAAAAGGAUUGGUAGCGACUCCCGUUUCAUUUUUCAAAAUCCAAGUCGACCCCAUUUUUCAUCCAAAAAAUGGUGUCAACAAUGUACAGAUGUGUUUGAAAAGCCAUAUGGUAGUUAGAAUUAAGUGUAAUUCUUUGUAAUUGCACACCCCCUAUAAGAAUUUAAAAUUGUAAUUGUAAUGCUUUAAUUAUAUUCAAUUCAGUAGGACCUGCUAAUUACAACAAUCUCUUAAACAUGUCACACCUAUGUAAUUACAAUAAAUUACACACAAAUACAAUUAUUAGGUAGCUUUCCAAAUAAUAUCUAAAUAAUGAUCAUGAUUCUAGCAUCAAUUAAGAAAAUAGAGGAUAAAAAGUUAAACAAUUAAAUAGUUUUAAUUAUUGAACCCAGUAUUUGGCUGAUUGGUCAUGGGUAUUCAUCUUAUAUUUCAAGUCUUGAAUUUGAGUCGUGGUGUGUGUGAAGCAGUGAUUUGCUCUAAUAAAAGGUGUGUGGAUUGUAUUAAAAAAAGUAUAAUUAUUAAUUAUUUAUUAAAUCAUACAAUCCCAUUUUUAAUAUUUGAAUAAAAAGGUUGAAGCCCUGUAAAAUUAACCAUUUUUCAUCCAAACCUCAUGUUCUUUCUCCAUUUCUUACUCAAAACCACUUGUCUUUUUACACCAAAAAUCCCUUCAUGUAAGCCUAUUUUAAACACUCUAAUCCAAAACAUUUUUCACAUAUUACAUAAAAAUACCAAAAAAAAAAAUUAAAAUUCAAUAUAAAAGAGAUGGCCUCCAAGAAAAAUAUGACAACAAUGGUGAUUUUUAUGAUGAUUUUAAUGGCUGGAAUUUGUUGAAGCCAAGAAAUUGCUUCAUGUGUGAACAAUUGCAUGCCUGAAUGCAUGGAAGACGAAGGUUCUAACAAAGCUGACUGCUUAAAAGCUUGUGAACAGAAUUGCAAUGAGACUAAAGGAAAAGGGGAUGCAAUUGAACUUGAGUGGAAAAUUACUAAUUGAUUUGUUUUCCUUUUUUUUUUUAAUUCUUUUUGGAUUAUUAUCAGAUAAAUCAAUAGGUUUUUUUUUCUUUUAACUUUAUUAAAGGCUAAUUGAGUCUUAACUCGAUUGACAUAUGCAUUGUUAUCAAUGUAGGAAGACGUUAGUUCAAGUACAUUGAAGCGCAUUAUCCUCCUAUUUAUGGGUUGUGUAGCAGCCAUAAGUAAUUCUAGCCAUUGUUUUUAAAAAGAACUGAUGUAAUUAAAAUCUAUAAUGAAAUUAUUUUUUUUUAAAAACUAUAUAAAAUAUGUUUAACCUUUAUAUAAAUUCUAUGACAAGACAUAGAGAUAAUAAUUUAUUUGACUUUUUAAUUUUUUAAAAAUAAAUAUUUUUAGUUAUUCAUUUAAUUUUUCGUCCAUUUUUAAUUUUUAAAUUUUCAUUAUUUGUCAAAUCAUAUCAAAAUAAAUAAAAAAUUAAUGUCUAUUCACUUUGUUGAUAUGACAUAUUAUUUAAAAAAUUAUAAAAAUAUAUCAAAUUAUUUUUAAAAUAUUUUAAAUUUUUUAAAAAAUAGUUAAUUGCUAACAUUACAUACGCGUGAGUUGCCACGUGGAUGCCAAAUAAAAAAAGUUAAGUUUGUUAAUUUUUCCAUUUAUAUUUGGGGUAAUUUGACAAGUAAUGUAACUUAUUUAAGUUCAAAAGCUAAAAGAAGCAAAAAAUUAAAUAAAAAAUUAAAAUAAUUUUUUUCGCCAAGUUAAAGUGUCAAAUAAAUUAUGGCAAUAUAAUUUUUUCUAUUAUUAAUAAUUAAUUAAUAUUUAGUUGAAUUCAACUUCAACUCAACUAAUAUGACUGAAUAAAACCUUUAUUAUUUUUAAAAAAAAAUAUUAUUUUAUAUAAUAUCAAUUUAGUAAAAUAAUAUAUUUUUUUUAAAACUUGUGCUUUUUAUAUAUAUAGAUAUCAAAAUAAGUCUCUAACUUUUAAGAAAAAGAUUGUAUUUAAUUGUGAUUCCACGUCAUCUCUAUCCCUUUUUAAUAGGAGAAUAGCAGAUCAAAUUUUUUCUCCUGAUUUUUAGUAUUUUUAGUUGGAUUUGUAUUUUUUCAAGAGAAAAAAUUUAAUGUUUUCAGGAGAAAAAAUUUAAUUUGUUAUUUUUUUAUUAGAAAGGGAUAAGGAUGACGUGAAAUAACAGUUUCAUACAAUCACUUUUGAACCUUUGUAAGAAAAGAUAUAAUUAGAUUUUUUUUAAUAUUUAAAUUAGUAUAUAAAGUUAACAAUUAAUAAUUUUGAUCUAACGAAGGAUGGCUUCUCUCCACUCUCUCACUAGCGAGUGGCUAGGUUCUCCACUCCCGGCGGAGUUGGAGAGAGCAACCAAAAAGGUGAAACGUAAAGACGUUUCCACGGCGUCUUGGAGAUGGUAUGGAUAGGGAGGGCACUUCAUUUAGGGAUAUUUUGAUGGCUAAGAAUGUGGGGGAAGACAAGGAGGAUACCUUUUUAGAUGAUAGUGUUUUUGGAUGGGAAAUACCCUGAAAUCUGUUUUUCUGAAAGAGUAUGUACAUUCCUGGAUUGAUAGAGCAUGAGCAAAACCCUAGUGAUCUGAUGCUUGGUCGUUUGAUUGGGUAUAGGGCUUUGUCAGGUGAAACGCUAUUUUAUGGGAAUUGAGCGGAUCUUGAUAACAAUUUCUUUCUGGUGAAAUUUUCUAAGCAACAUGAUUAUGAUGAAGUUCUUUCGGGAGGACCAUGGAUGGUUUGUGGGCAUUAUUUGGUGGUACAGCCAUGGAGCCAGGAUUUUUCAACGGAAGAAACCCAACCUUGGAAAAUUCGACUCCCGGGUCUACCAUACAAGUAUUAUACCAAGGGUCUCAUUCGGGCAAUAGCAGAAGUAUUGGGAACACCACCAUGAGCAAUAGGGGAAGAUUUGCUAGAACUGCAAUUGUCCUUGAUCAGUAUUGACGCGCCAUUGCCCAGAAAGGUGAAUACGAAGGCUUUACCAACAGUAUGUUACAAUUGUUGACGUUUUGGUCACACCAAAGAGAGCUACGGGAAGAACACUGAGGAGGAGAACAAUGGGAAACCAAAUACUCAACAUCUCAAUACACAUACAUAAACUGCAACGAGAGAAAUACGUACUCAAAAUGAAAAUUUACAUCCAAACCUAUUAAGACAACAUGAAAUUCCAAAACAUGUAAGAAAAAAUAACCUUGAUCAGAAUGAAACAAACACUUUAAAAUAACUGAGGACAAUAGAAUGCAAAUGACAGUAAAAUAAGUACUCACUUUUGUUUCAUGUUCAAGAAUACAAAAAUAUUAUUAUUUACGAAGAUAAUAUAAUUUUCUCCUUAAUUCAAAACCUAAAUUUAUUGUUACAUAAACUAAUUAACAUAUGAACUCAAUUGAAUGCACCAACAAUACACUUUUGUAAUGGAGUACUCUCCUGAGGGUAAUAUUAUAAGUGUUUUAGAAGUAUGCAAUUUAUAAGUUGAAAGAGCCCUUUUCUCGGAUGGGACAAGUUGAAGAUUGAUGGUGCGCGUAAACCAACUACGGGUAUGAUCACUUUUGGAAGAGUUACACGGGAUUGAAAUGGAAAAUGGAUUGUCAGAUUUUCUAGAUUUACCAGUUUCUGUUCGGCAUUGGAAGUGGAACUUUGGAGUGUCGUUGAAGACUUUCAGGUUACCUGGUGGAAUAGAUAGAGAAGAGUUAUUCUUGAAUUAAAUAAUAUUAACGUUGUUCAUAUAUUGACCGACAGUGCUAAGGUUGGGAAGCAUAACUUGAGUCGUGAAGCUCGUAUGUACAUGAAGAAGGAAUGGGAGGUGAUGAUACAACACGUCUACAAGGAAGGCAAUAAAUUUGCUGAUGGCUUAGCUUCGAUGGCUUAGGGUCAACCAUUGCAAUGUUUUGUUUUUUUUUUUUUUUUUACUUUCCACCCUAUGCAAUUUUUUAUUUAUUAUAUGCUGAUGCUCAUGAUUUUGUAACACCAAGAAUACUGUCUGCUUAAUAUUUGUUUUAUUUUCUUUUUGAAUAAAAAAACUUAUUAACUCAAUCAAAUAUUAAAAAGAAAAUAAAGCAUUAAAAUAAGGGAAGGGAAGAACCCAAAGCUCUCGUCAAAUUAAUUACACACUUCGAAAAUACCAAAACUAAAAUUCAAUCUAUUUUUUAGAGAAAAAUUAUUAAUAUAAAUAAAUCCAAAAAAAUAAUGAAAAUAAAAAUUAUUAAUGUUUCAAAUUAAUUGUAGUAAAAAAAAGCAAUAAAAAUAAUAACAUGUAACCUUUUUAAAGAAAAAAAACCACCUUUUACCUAUUUUAAUUUUUAAAAUACCCAUAAUCCCUUCCCGACCCAUAAAUAGAAAGAUAAUGCGUUUUAAUAAACUCAAACCCACAUGUUCCUAUAUUAGUAACAAUACUUAUGCCAAUCGAACUAAAACUCAAUCAGUAUAUUAAUAAAAAAUGUUAAUAAUAAAACAUUAUGGAAUAAUAUUAUUAAAACACAUUAUCCAAUAAUAAAAAAAUACACUAGAUAUUCAAAUUUAAUGACCCAGAUAAAAUAUAUUUACUACAAUUAAUUUAUGAUUUCAUCAUUUUUUAAAAGAAUUAAACAUAAUUUAUUUUCCAUUUUUGGGAAUAAAGUAUAGUUUUAUCAUAUAAAAAGUUAUAAUUUAAUAAUUUUAAGGGUGUUGAAAUGUAAUUUUUCAUUUUUGGGAGGCCCAAAGCCCUUGCCUCCCCCUUUUGCAUUCACCCAUAAGAAACAUAUACCCUAGAACCAAGUUAAUUUGAUAGCCUAUCGGAGAUUGAAGAAGGAAACUGUUUGGAUUUGAUUUGAAGAUUCGUGACAUUUAAAAUUGUUUUUAGAAAAAUUAAAUUGUAAAAGAGAAGGGGAAGAAGAGCUUUUAGUGGUACAAGUGAUGCGAACGGAAAAUGCCAUACAACAACGAUAUUAACAGCUUAGUGACAUAAAUGAAAACUUUCAAAUAAUUCAAUGAUCAUUUUGUAACUUUUUAAAGUUGAGUAACAAAAACAAAAACUUAUUAAUAAUUUAAUGACCUUAAGUAUAGUUUACCCUACUUUAUUUUGAAUCCAGUAAAAAUAAUAUAGUAAAUGUAAAAAAAGAAAAAGAAAAAAGAAAAACAAUAAAGCAUUGGCUAACCGAAGCAGAAGAAAAUUCCAAACUUGCAACCAAUCCCAAACCUUAUUUUACUCCAUGAUUCACUCAAAACCACUUAAUAAAUAUAUCAACUAAAAUCCCUUAUAAAUAUUCCAAUUCUUCCCACUUAUUUUCACAUCAUUGAAAAAAAAUUAAAAAAUAAAUAAAAUAAAUAAAAAAUGGUUACCAAAAAAACCAUUUAUUUGGUAGUGCUAAUGAUUCUGGGUUUGAUUGUGAUUGCCCAAAGUGACUGUGUAGACAAUUGCUAUCCAAAGUGCGUUGAAGAUGUUCGUGAAAAAGAAGGAUGCAAACAUGCAUGUCAAAGAUUUUGCUCCGAAUAUGACGGAAUGUUUUAAUGAUUAAGAGAUAUGUGAUUUUCAUCUACGUUACGUUAUAUUAAAUUUUAUUUUACUAUAUGCUCUCUUUUAUUAAUUUUACUUAAAAGAGAUUUUGUAAAGAAUAUAUAUAUAAUUUAAAAUAAAAUUUUAGAAAGGAUAUAUAUAAAAUAACAUGUGAAUAAUUUUGGAAAGAAUUUCUUGCAAUUGGUUUUUUAAUUGAUAAUUAGAUUUGAUUUUUCGAUUUAUCUUAAUUAAUGUAAGAUAAAGGAAAAUUUUGAUAUACUAUCAAUAGAGAUUUUACACUUUACAAAUAGGGUUAAAAGAUUAACAAGAAUUUUAUAAUGUAUAGUAAAAUAUUAAAAAAAAUAGACACAUAAUCAUUUUUAAAAGUUACUUGUGAAAUAAAAUAUAUAUACAGUCAAUAUACCGAAUAUUAACCCGUAAAUUUAAUAUAUAAAAGACUUUGUUCCGAAUAUGCUGAAAUGUUUUAUUAAAAUUUCUAACAUUUUAAUUGAACAUUUUGCUAUAUGUUCGCUUCUUUUUUGAGCUUACGAUAGAAUUUUGCUUAAAAUUUUUUGUAAAGAAUAUAUCGAAAACCUUUAUAAUCUAAAGUAAAAUCUUGCGAUUGUUUUUCUAAAUGAUGUUUAGAUUUGAUUAUUUUAUUCAUCUUAGUUAAUGUUAAAUACGGGAAUAUUUAGUACACUACCAAUAAAGAUUUUAGACUCCACAAAAGGAUUAAGGGAUUAAUAAGAGUUUUAUAGGGAUAUAAUAAAUUUUUUUAAAAAAAUAACACGACAAUUUUUUAACACUGUUUGUGGAAUAAAAAAUACACAGUCACUAACCCACAAAAUAAUAUAUAAUUUGUAAAAAAGAGAAAAUAUGAUAGAAUUAUUCCCUAACUAAUGUUAUAGACUUGAUAAUUUGUUAUUCGUAUUUUUUUUUGGUGAAUAUAUUUGAGAGGUCCCUCUACUAUAGGACCAUUAUAAAAUUAGUCUCUUUACUAUUAAAUGAUUCAGUUUAGUCCUUGUACUAUUAAAAAAUUAAAUAAUAUCAAAUUCAAAUAGAGUUAAUAUUUACUGUUUAACAUGAUUAAUAGUUUAAAAUUUUUAUAAUUCUAUAAAUAAAAUCUUUUAUUUGUAAUUUAACUGUAAUUGAAAAAGCUAAUUUUGAAGACAUUUGUUAUACAGUAAAUUAAUUUUGUAACAAUUAAGACUUGUUUGAUUCUUUUUAAUAAUGUAAAAACUAAAUUGAUUCAUUUAAUAAUAUAGAGACUAAUUUAGUCUCUACCAUAUAAAUUUUUUUGUAAAAGAUAAAAGGUGGAUUUUUUUCCUAAUUGUAGUAAUAAUACUAUUAAUUCGUAUAUUUAUAUUAUCUUUUUCUUUAAAAUAUUUUUAUUAUGAAUGUUUACAUAUUAAUAAUUCUCAUGGUCUGUAUUCUGCACAUUUUUAUAUUUUCUUAGAAUAAAUUUUUUAUCUUAAAAAAAUCAUGUUACCUUUUUUUUUUCUUCACACUUUUCUAGACCAUUAAACUUCUAUAAUUCCUAAAUGGAAAUGUUAAGUUUUCUGUAAAUGGUAAGCGUAGACAUGUUGUCCUGCGUGGUAGUUAACAUGUAUUCACCGAUGAUGUGACGCUAUUUUAUUAUAUAUAUCAUAUAAAUAAUUAAUUAAAUUUUAAUAAAUUAUUAAAAAAUAAAUAUUUAAAAUUAUUAAAUUAUAAAAAAUUGAAAAACUGUAAAAUUGAAAAAUUAUUAAAAUUCUCAAAAAAUUAGAAGUUAUAAAAAUAAAAAAUAAUACAAAUAAUAAAAUUAUUAAAAAUUGUAAAACAAUUAGAAAAAUAUAUAAAAUACAAAAAAUUAUUUAAAAAAAUUUAAAUAUAAAAAAUUAAUUCCUAUUACCGCAAGAUUCAAUCUUUUUGUUCAAAGCAAAAUAAAUUUUGUGCGUUAAUUUUCAUAAUUUUGAUUAUUGUUUUGAACUUUUUUGAACUGCCACAAGAAGUUAGCCAAAAAGUGAGAAUUCUUUCGUCCAGUUAUGAGUAAUUUGAUAAAUAAUAAAAAAUCAAAAAUUAAAUAAAAUAUUUAAAAAAUAGACUAAACUGACUUUUUUAUAUAAUUCAAAAUUGAUAAAGGUAUUAUAUUUUUCAUAUUAAUUAUUGUAUCUUAUUUUAAUUAUUUUAUCUAUUAAUAAUUUAACCUCAUUUUCUUCAAUGAUCUUAGACAUGAUCAUUGAAUUAUUUUUGGGAGGGAUACAUAUAUGGUCCAUUAGCAAGGUUGCUUGUUCCCAAUAGUCUUACAAAACAAUUGCAAUAGGGAUUACUCGAUUAAAGUGUACCUUUCUUUUUAAAGCUUAAGUGUAGCAUGGUCAGCUGAAUAGGAAUAGUGAUAUUAAUAUCAUACAUAAUUACUUAAAUCUAAAUUUUAGGUUAAAUAGAUCAUUCUUUUGCUUAAAAACAUUAUUCUAAUCUAAUACUUCUAUUUAAAUCUUUCAAAGUUUCGAGCAGACUCCUAAAGUUGACCCUAAAAUUGGUCUAGUAGAGACUACUUUGACCUAAUGACUAUUGUAUUUUCCACAAAUUUGAACCUACAACACCAUCCAUCAAACAACCAAAUUGCAAUAUAUAUUACUCAAUAGAAUACAUGUAUAUAUUCGACACAAGUAUCCUGAAAUUUGAGUUCAUAUUUUUAAAUAUAAAGUCAUUUUCUCAUACCCAUAUUCAGAUGUAUCAAGUAUAAUAAAAAUGAAAAUCUGAGUAAUAUAAAUUGCGGUAGCAUAGAAACAUUAACAUAAAUGACUCAAAAUGUUGCAAAUUUAGGUGCUCCAUUAAACAUUAUGUUCAAUGAGAGAUGAUUCUAUAACAUAAAUGACUACUGUAUUUUCCACAACUUGAACUUACAACACCAACCUCAUCCUCUGAACGAACAAAGUGCAAUCUAUGUUACCCAAAUUGGCAGUAAAUGCUAGAUACAAGCAUAUGUCCGACACGAGUAUUCUUACUUUUUCCUAAAUAUUUUAGAAGAUGAUACUACCAUAUCCAUGUUAGAGUUUAUGUCGGAGUAUAUUAGUCCAACUUUUCAUUUUUCUCUAAGCAUUUGUGCCCAACACUAGUGUCUAAUGCAUAUUACGACAUACUAGAGCCAGGCACAUAACCAUACCUAACACUCCCACUUGAAUUCAAGUAACAUAAGUGUAAGACACAAAUGUCGAACAUAAUUUCUUUUAUGAAAAUGAAAUUUUGAGUAACAUAGAAUGCAGUACCAUGCAACAUUAACAUUAACGACUCAAAUAUUGCAAAUUCGAGUGCUCCAACAAACAUUAUACAGAUGAAGCUUGUGCUUUAUUCUUUGAGUGCCUUUAAGAAAUAUGAAACAGAAAAUGCUUACCCGCCACUUAUAGGAGGAAUAAUGGCCAAUUCAUCUUUGUCUUUCACAACAGCUGACUCGGUUGUGUAUUCUUCAUUGAGAGCAAGAACAAUGCACUGACGAAUCUCGUCCAAGUUAGGAAACUUUGCAACAAGCUUGUUCAGACAAUCUUGAGUAGUGCUACCAGAUGAAACCUCCAUUGAUAACUCGGUCAACCCUGUUAUAUCUCGAGCUUUGGCGAAGAACAGCACCUUUAUCUGAACGAAUGAUCCAUCUUUGACAACUGAUUGCACUGCAGGAAGAUUAUCCUCCUUAGUUUUCAUGUUAACAAUGGGACGCAGCACUUUAUUUAUCACAAAUUGAACCUGUUGAUGCUGCAAAAGAAGAAAAUUGACUUUAAACCACCAUUAGUAUUCAGGGAAAAGGAAAAUUCAAAUCUUGUUCUUCAAGCACGGAUCAUAAACCAACUACCAAGCCAGAUACUGGCUCAGCAGUAAAUAUCUGUUAGGAACCUUGAUUCAUGUAAUACUAGAACAGAAUCAUAAGUACAUAAAUCAGGUGAACACUACAUGUCAGAAAUUCAAAUUACGGGGUCGAAACACGAAUUCAGUUUCUCUUCCAUCUACAUUCAAAUCAAUAGAUGAUAAUAGCAGUCCGUUGGAACAGCAAAUAAGCACCAAUAAUACACCAACUAUUGAUCCAAAUACCAAGUACAGCACUGAUAUCUACUAGAAAGCAGGAUUCAUGAAAUACUUGAACAGAACUACAAGUACAUAAUUCAGUUGAAAAAUAAAGAUCGGAAAAUUGAAUUAACGGGUUGAAACAUGAUACUACAAGUAUAGCAAUUUCUAUUCUCUCUGCAAUUAUAUUUAAAUCAGUUAGGGCAUCGUACAUUCGUAAUAAUAUCCCUAAAGUAUUGUCCUCUUUGAGUGCCACUGCACUGAACGAUGAUGCUCCAAUAAAAUCAAUUGGGAAUAAUAGCAUUUGUCUGCAUAAAUAAUCAGAUGAACAAUACAUAUCAGGGAUUUGAACUAACAAGUCGAUGGUUUUAUGCAGCAAUCAGACCACAAAUCGCCCCCCAAAGAACCUAAAAUUCAGCGUAAUCCACCAAACUUACAUAAAAUUUAAAGAUUCUAGAUUACGAACUCAUUUAACAGGAAGGCGAUUAUUGAAAACUAAAACCCGAAAUGGGUUUCUAAGGAAUUAACCGAUUAUGCAAGGAUUCAAUUCAAAUUAGAUUGUAAAUUCAGAUUACAAAAGAGCAAUUGGGAGAUUAGAAAGAAAUCGAUACCUGGAGAGAGUCUGAAAAUUACAGGAUUCAGAAUCAGAUCGAAUAUUGAUACCUGAUAGUGUUUUUAAACAGUAAAUUAGAAAUUAAAAGGUUGACCAAUGAUCUUAGGUUUGCUGCUAACACUGGAGAACUGAUUGGUAGAGGAUAAGAGAGGAGGUUAUUUCUGAAGGGUUCGUCCAGGUUCAGAUAUGGGAUUGGUGUAGACUACAAACAUUAACGGAAACCAUUCGUCAAUUUUGUAUAGGUCGGUUAAAUUGGUUAUAGAGUGGGAAUAUUUGAUUAUAUUGAUAAUAUUUUAGAAUUAAAUCCAUCAAUUUAAUCGAUUUAAUAUUUAAUAUUUUUAUAAUUAUUUAUAUUUUAUAGUAAUAUAUAAGUUUGUUAAGCCAUAUAUUUAUUUUAAAUAUAUAUUUUAUAAUAUAUUUAUUUUAAGUUAGUUCAGGACUAUUCAUGGGUUGAGUUACUCUUGACCCAAUUCAAAUGCAUACUUGAAAUUUAAAAAAUAUUAAGUCUAAAAAAUAGUUCAUUUAAAAUAUGAGUCAAUUUUGAGCUUAAAUAUUUAACACCUUGAGUCUGGCUUAGCUCGACCUGUUUUUCUGUGUAAAUAUUAUAUUAUUUUUAUAUAUUAUAUAAUUUAAAAUACAUAAAAAUUAAAUCUAUAAUAUAUAUAAUAUUACAAUGUUAAUACUAAAUAUUAAAAAAAUGUAUAUAAAAUUUUAAUGAAUAGAAAAAUAUACAAAAUUAUUAAAUAUUAAUUAAAAAGAAUAUAAAUACUUUUUAAAAAUUCAAAAAAUAUGAGUUUAAAGAAAUGAUUGUAUGAAACUGUGAUUUCACGUCAUUUUUAUCGCUUUCCAAUGAGAAAAAAUUUUGAUUUGUCGCUUUCCAAUGAGAAAAAAAACAUAAUUUGUCAUUCUCCCAUUGGAAAGGGAUGAUGACGAUGUGGAAUCACAGUUUUAUACAAUCCUUUCUGCAUAAGUUCAAGUAUUUUUAAGCAUAUCGGAGAUAAUAAACAAUUCUGAAAUCAUGCAAUAAAAUCCAUAAUUCGAUAUCUCAAAUGCAAUAUAUAAUUCUUCAUUUGUAUGUUUACUGAUUUUUGUCAAAUUUUGCAUUUACAAAAUGAAUAACAGUUGCUGACUUGCUGUCAACUCGAAAAAUCUCUUAAUCAAAGCUUAAUUAUGACACAAUUUCUCCUGCUUCAAUAUCAUCAUACAGAUCAUUGCCUUUGGUUUCGUCUUCUGUGUAGUCAUGUUUGAGGAACAAGCCUAGCUGAUGCAGUGGAUUCGGACCCCAAAGAGAGCCUCCACAUGGAAUUAGGAGCUCCUUUUGUUGGAAAUUAUAUAUUGCAAAUUAAUUAUUCAUGAGCACUAUUCAAAUUAAAAGUGAUGAUUUAUCAUCUUACAAAUUUAAUUGUUCAUAAACACUAUUCAAAUUAAAAUUGAUGAUUUAUCAUUCAAUGAAUACAUUUUCAAGGGACAUGUUUCCCUCAAGAAGUAUGUCCAAUAUGAAGGGUCGUGGCUCUUCAAAAUUGUAUUCAUUGAGUGAAUAUAAAUAAAGGCAUUAUGGUGCUCACAAAAUAUACAAUUACAAUUAGUUUUAUUUUCAGAAACUAUAGUAAGAGUUAGGGAAUUCCUUGAUUUUUCUAAUCAAAGGAAAUUCGAAACUUUGUUGUAUCUAGGGAGGACCUUUGUCUUAACCCUUUAGCAACUUUGUGUGGGGGCAAAUAGUUCUUUUUGGAAAUCAUCACCGGCGCCUCGAAGUGUAUUGUUUAUUUCUAUAUAAGUCUCUGAUUCUAUCGUCUCCACUCAAAUACCUAACAAUCAAAGAGAAUUAUUUUUGGAGAUGGCGACGGAGGCUAACAUCGCAUUCAAAGUGAUGAACCAAGAGUUUGUGAAACUUGACCGAUUUGAUGGUUCAAACUUCAAUCGUUUGAAGGACAAUAUGUUGUUCCUUCUUAUUGUAUUAAAUGUGUCGUACGUUCUGGAUCCAAACCUACAACCCGUGGAGGAUCCCGCCCCCAAUGCAAAUUCUGAGGAAAUCGCCAAAGUGGCUGAACUCAAGAAAAAACGCGAAGAAGACAAUUUCACAUGUCGAUGACACAUCCUCAACACCUUGUCUGAUCGAUUAUAUGAUCUUUAUAUGUCGAUGCAAUCCCCGGUGGAAAUAUGGAAAGCUCUUGAAGAAAAAUACAACACCAAGCAACAAGGUACUGAUAAAUUUUUAAUGAUGAAGUAUUUCAAAUUUAAAAUGCUUGAUAGUAUCCCGAUCAUGGAUCAAGUCCAUGAAUUACAAGUCCAUGAAUUACAAGUCCUUGUAAGCAGGCUUCGUGACUUUAAAGUUGUUAUUAUGGAAUUGUUACAAGUUGGGGCUAUCAUCUCGAAGUUGCCUUCGUCUUGGAAUAAUUAUCGGAAGAAACUUCUCCAUAUGGCAGAGCGUCUUGGACAUGUAAGCUACAACAAGUUGAAAAAAAUGAUGAAGAAUGACAUAUUAAGAGGACUUCAUCAAGUAGACAUCUGAACAGAUAUAGUCUGUGCUGGAUGUCAAUUUGGCAAGGCUCACCAAUUGUGGUUCAAGGAGUCAGAGCAUCAGUCCAAGACACCACUAGAGCUCAUACACUCAUAUGUCUGUGGCCUAGUGAAGCAAUCGUCACUUAGAGGUAUGAAGUAUAUGUUGACAUUUAUCGACGACUUUUCAAAUGAAGGAAAAGUCAAAGACUUUUAUGAAGCUCAAAGAGUUUAAGAAGAAGUUAGAGAAUAAAUUUAAUAAGAAAAUUCAGUGCCUAUGCACUAAUAAUGGGAUAGAAUAUCUAUCUAUUGAGUUCACUGUCUAUCUUGACAAACAUAAGAUCAGACGAAAAUUAACUUGCCCCAAUACUCCACAACAAAAUAGAGUGGUAGAAUGCAAGAAUCGUCAUCGUGCUGAAACUUGUCGAAGUAUGCUUCAUUCCAAGAAUGUACCAGAAAGAUUCUAGGCCGAGUGUAUGAGAACGACAACCUAUAUGAUUAAUAGGCUACCAUAAGCUAAGUUGGGAUUCAUUUCACCGUAUGGGAUACUAUGAAAGAUCAAGCCAACUGUCAACCAUCUCAAGGUAUUUGGCUGUGUAUGCUACGUUUUCGUGCCAAAUCACCUAAGGAGAAAAUUUGAUAAUAAGGCAAUUCGGUGCAUCUUCAUUGGAUAUGAUGGUGCAUGGAAAGGUUGGAGAUGUUGUGACCCAACUAUUAACAAGUGCCACACUUCAAGAAAUGUUGUGUUUGAUUAAACUUCUUUAUGGUGGUCCCCUCAGAAGAUUGAGCUUUCAGAAUCUCAUGGCUUACAAGAGGUUCUAGAAGAAAAAAAAAGAAGAAGGUAAAGAGAAAGCAUCAAAUCCAAGUGAAGAAAGAGAAAGCUCACCUUCUAAGGACAAGAGUCCAUGGAAGACUGGCAUACAUCAACCUAUAUCUGAGGAACUUUGUCCAAGACAACCGAAAGUCGAGGAGCCUAUAAAAGAAUUACAAAGAUCAACAAGGCCAAGGCAACCUAACCCAAGGUACGCUAACACUGCCCUUGUAGAUGAGUCUAUACCUAUUAAGCCAUAUACUUAUGAAGAAGCAGUACAAAGCAUUGAAUGGAAAAAAAGCUAUGGAAGAAGAGAUUAAGACAUUAAAAGAAAAUCAAACAUGAGACUCAGUACUAAAGCUAAAAGAUGUGAAGCCAAUAUCCUGCAAAUGGGUUUACAAGGUGAAAACCUGACCAAAUGGCUCAAUUGAAAGGUAUAAGGCUCCACUUUUUGCUUGGAUUUUCUCUCAACAAUAUGGGUUAGAUUAUGAAGAAACAUUUAGCUCGGUGGCAAAAAUCAUAACUAUUUGAGUCUUACUAGAAUUGGCCGCUAGAAAGUCUUGGAAGUUGUGGCAGAUGGAUGUCAAAAAUGCUUUCUUACUUGGAGAACUUGACAAGGACAUCUACAUGGGAUAGCCAAGAGGUUUCGAGAACAAAAUCCAUCCUAAGUAUGUUUAUAAACUGAAGAAGGCACUUUAUGGCUUGAAGCAAGCUCCAAGAGCAUGGUACGAGAAGAUCGGUAAGUUCUUAAUACAAAGUGGUUUUACAAUUGCUUCUUCAUAUUCUAGUUUAUUUGUGAAAACAAAUCAAGGAAAACUAGCCAUAGUGCUAGCAUAUGUGGAUGACUUAAUCAUUACGGGAGAUUUUUGCGAGAAAAUCCAACAAACAAAGGAAAAUCUUUCUAUUAGAUUCCAUAUGAAGGAAUUAGGAGAACUCAAACACUUUCUUAAACUUGAAGUAGAGCGCAUGAAGGAAUGAUUAUUUUUAGGCUAACAGAAAUAUGCAAAGGAUCUUCUAUAGAGGUAUGGGAUGCUUGACCGCAAGCCUAUCUCCACUCCAUGGAUCCCAAUAUAAAACUACGAGCAGAUGAAGGAAAACAUUUAGAAGAUCUAAUCAUGUAUUGACAACUGGUUGGAAGUCUUAUCUAUCUCACUAUAAGUCGACCAGACACAACUUAUGCAGUUGGGGUGGCUAGUCAAUACAUGAGUAAUCCUAAGAAACAUUAUCUCGAUGCAAUACGGUGCAUCCUGAGGUAUGUUAAAGGAACCAUUAAUUUUGGUAUUUUAUACAAGAAAACAAAAUAAUAUCUGGUGGUUGGAUAGACAUUGACUAUGCUGGAGACUAUGAUACGUGUAACGUGUAGGUUUGUGCAAGUGUACACAGUUGUUAUCAAGUAAUAGUAAGUAAAAGAGUUAUCGUUUCCAUAGGGACUAUAUAUUUAAUCAAAUAAUUGCAAAAUUAAAGAUUUACAAGUUGGUAAGAAAACACAAUAAUUUGGGGUGAUUGGCUUAAAAUUAAAUGAAUUAACUAGAUGCAAAUUAACCUAAAUACAUAUAAGAUAAUAAUGUAGUGAGAUGAUUUAGCAGUAAUUUCAUAUGUUCAAUAACAAUAACAUGAAUAAGCUAGAAUAAUUACAACAUUUGACUUAAUUCAUUUUCAUCAUGUUUAAUAAUGUUUGGAAAAUAUUCUGUGGCAACUCGACCAUUCAUUAACUGGGAAUCUUAUAUAAGUUCAAUCAAAUCUUAUACUUAGAAAAAUAUGCAUAAACCAAUGCCAUGAUUUAAAUAAGGAUUUCUUAGAAUUUAUGUGAAGUAACAGGGAUGGAUUAGAUUUGAAACAAUUUAAUCACAUAAACCUAAAGUUAUGCAAGGUAAUAAGUUCUCUUAGUCUAUUACAAACCUUUAAUUUAAUCAGAUUAGGAUAUAAAUUAAGCAUGCACCUUCCAAUUAUUGUGUCCAUUAAUUGCCAUCUGAUUAGGAUCAAUCAACUAAUUCUAAUGCAUUCAAACAUAUUUUAAUGCAUGAAAUACACACAUGAUUUUAAUUGGAAGAAUGAACAACUUGAGGCUCAAACAUCAUAAACAUGAAUCAAACAGAUUCUAUCAAAUUAAUGUAAUCAUUCCAGCUAAAACAAUGUAAUCAUUGUCAAUGGAAAAACAUCAAAGAAAUUUGCAAAAAUUUUAAACAACAAAGAACAAAAAUAAAGAUUAAGGAAAAAAAAACUCUUUGAUGGGUUCGGCGAUUCUUCGACGACCAAUCAUAGUGGCUUCCUCUGAUCCUUGUGUUUACUCCUUCGCAAAAUGCUUCUCAAGGUGGUCGGCCAAUAGUGGUUUUCCUAAAGGAAAAUGCUAGUUAAAGAAUAUGGAAAUGGGAGUGAUAUGCGUGAAAGUGAGAAAGAAAGUAAAGGUAGAAAUGAGAGAGGAAUAAAUGAUGAGGGAUGCUUAUGAAGUGAAAUUAAUGUGGUAUUUAUAGUAGAGAGUUAAAAAUAGCAUGAACAUCCCUUGAAUUCCUCUCAAGCAUGGUCGGCCAUGAAUUGUGGAGAGUGGGUUGAUUUUUUUCAUGAUUUCUUUGUUUGAUUCUUGCUUGAUUUGUGGCAUGGGUUGGACGACAAUCAAAGAGACUUUGUUAGGUUAAUUUGUAAUUCUUUCACACAUGUAGGGACCUUCUUCCAAUUGUUCCAAAGAUGGUUUGGGCUUCUCUUUAUGCCUUUGCCGAAUUUGGGCUUCUUUUCCCCUUAUUGGACGGUUUGGCAACCCAAUUUACAAUCAUAUUAAUUCUUUUCAGUAACAAUCUUCAAGCUGGGUCAAGGUAAUAUUUCUGAGCCCAAUUAUUCUUUCAGCUGCCCACAUGAAAUAGACUAUAGCUGAUUUGCAUGUGAAUUUAUUGACUCCUACAUGAAUUAAUUUAGUGGUCCAACUAUAGCAAAUUGAGUAAAUAUUAACAUGUAUCAUAAAAAAGUAAAAUUAUGUAAAAUUAAUACUAAAUUAUAUAAAAUUAAAAACUUUACUAAAAUUAUGUCUAAUGUCUAAAUAUGAACCAAAAUGACUCAAUUAGCUAUCCACAUGCUCGGAAUUUGCAUAAAGUAUAAGUAAAAAUGUGCUAAAUAAACCUAUAUAAUUUAAAUGUUACAAUAUACGAUGAUCGACAACUGGGUACAUCUUCAGACUUGGAUGAGGAGCAAUAUCAUGGUGUAGCAAGAGACAACCAACAUUGUCAUUAUCAAGUACCGAAGCAAAAUAUCAGUUAGUAGCAUUAGCGGCACAAUAAAAUCCUUGGCUGAAACAAUUUAUGAAAGAUCUUAAUUAGCUAACAAACUAACAAGUAAGGCUUCUCUGUGAUAAUUUAUCAACCAUACGUCUAGAAGAGAAUCUAAUCUUUCAUUCAAGGACAAAAUAUAUAGAAGUGCAUUAUCAUUAUAUUCACAAAAAGGUCUUCGAAAGGGAGAUCAAGAUGGUGCCAACAAAGAUAGAUGACCAAGUUGCAGACAUAUUCACGAAGAGUUUGAGUAGACCAAAGUUUGAGAAGUUCAGAGAAGCACUCAGUAUAAUCUGCAAAUCAUCUGUGGAAAGAAGUUUGCAUUGAGAAAGAGUUUUGAAAGCCAAUGCAACUUCUAGAUAAAAGCCAAACUUAACCUUUAAGAGAGAGUUUCUUUGGAAUAUUCUAGAAUAUAAAAUAAAGAAAUAGGAUAUUAUCUAGAACACUAGAUAUUAUACAUGAACAUUCUAGUUAUUAGAUAUUUGUAAAAUUAAUGAUAAGGAUGUUGACAAGUGUCAACAAUCCAAUGGCCACUAGACUCUAUAAAUAAGGGUAAGAGCUUUCAUUUUUGUAAGUGUGUGCAAUAGAGAAGUGUGCGUCAUGUUAUAAUUGUAUUGUGUAUUAAUAAAAGUGUUUUAUUCUCUCGUAAUUGUAAGUCUCAGUUAAGCCUUAGGUUUCUAAGCAUUUAGUGCACUUGGGUUAGCUUCUAUAUAAGGUCAGCUCUGCCGCCUAAAUAAUAUAUGGUCGACCCUGUCGCCUGAGUAUUAAAGUGCACUAAGAAGUUAGAAAAUAAAAGGUUAAUAGACUUUAACGAGUUGGUGUAACAUUACUUGUAGGUCUUAGGUCCUCUGUAGUGGGUGUGUUGGGGUCAUCGAGUUCCCAACAUGUUUAAAGGUUGAAAAGCUUGCCUGCAAUCAGAUAUUUCUUCAGUUCAUCGAGUAGAGCAUAGCACUGGUGAAUCAUGUAAGCGUCCAUCUUUUGCUUCUUUUUAUUCGGAUUGUCCGUGGCCAUCCCUUCUCUGUAGGCAGCAGUAUUGUUUAAAUCACUUAGAAGGUUACAUUUACACUUAAUGCACCCAUAUGAACUGCAUUUUUCGGCGCCUGCACGGGUCAGCGGCAGACUAGAAUUGGCGUUGUGGAUCAAUCGCUCAGCUCCCCCACUUCUACCUUUACCAGUCAUGCCAUUCCUUAAGUUAUUUCUUGCCAACUUUUUCACACGGAUUUAAGAAGCCUGAUUUUCAAUGCAGACGUGGUCAGUUUUGACUUUGGUUUAGGUGUUAGAAUCAUAAAUUAAGAUAUGAUAUAAAACUUAAGAAAUCAUAAAUCAGGAUUUGUCAUGUCAAAUCAUCAAGAACAAAACAAGAAUAAAACUAGAUAUGGAAGCGUACCUGAAUCCCUGAAUUCCUUGAAGUUUUUUUCUGGAUCUUGGGGAUUUGAUUUUCCAAAUUGGCAUACAAGAAAUUCAUAGAAUAUUUGCUUUCUCUUUCCUACGGAUGAGAUAUUAGAAAAGUUAUCUUGUGUGUUAUUUGGGGAUCAUAACCCUAAUAUAUAUAACUUUGACACAUUAACCCUAAUUUCUAAUUAGCCCAUCAUUAAUUAGAAAUUAGUUACUAGAGUAUCUACACAUAUUUCACCCAUACUUUAUUUAAUAAUUAAAGCUCAAUAAACCUUAACCAAAUUAGAUCACUUUUAACUUGGGCUAACCUAUCAUAAUAGUAAAUAAUAACUUGUAAUUAUCCUUAUUAUAUAUGUGGUGUCCAUAUUUUCCAACAUUAAGAACCCUAAUUUUCAAUCUAGUCAUUAGUUAUUGAUCUUGGGAUUUCCCUUCAAAGUUUUCCUUCUUUCUCCAAAACUUUCGCUCACUUCAUCUGCCAUUGUAAUAACAUUAGUUAAAGGAUAAUCUAUAUAUAUAACAUCAUAUUAUUAAACCCCGAACUGAGUUUAUUAGAAUCUGAAAAUGGGAUUCCUAACUCUAGUAAAAGUAUAAUAAGGGGAAUGUUAUGAUCAUCAUAACUUACCUGCAAGUGGGGUGUUUCCAGUUCGUCAAUUGAGGUAAAGGAUUGCUUGUUUACUAUGUAAGGCUCCUCCAUCUUCCACCGCCUUUCCAUCGGACCUUCGACGGCCACCAUUUCUUGUGGUGAUUUCCAUUUGCGACAACCUGAUGAAGACUUUUGUUUUGGUUUUGUAAGAGAAGACAUUUUCACAACCUUAGAUUUUCAGAGAGUGAUUAUGGAACAAUAAGUUGGAGAUAUUGAAGCUGGCAGCAAUUUAAUUUAAUCUCUCUUACUUUGACUUUCAAGGAUAAUUUUUUUUAUUUUUCUUUUCUUUUUUAAGUUUUGAAUUACAAUAAAUGUUCUAAUUCAUGCAUAUCUUAUAUUAAAUCAAUUUAAAGCUUUUAAAAGUUUAUUUUUUAUAUUUUUCAUUUUAAUAAUUAGAAUAUUUGUGAAUGUUAAAUUUGUUUUUUUAUAAGUUUAGAUUUAGAUAAUAUUUAAAUUCGAGUAUUAUAAUUAUUAUAUUUAUGGAUAAUAAUUAAUAUUUGGAUAUUUGAAUUUAUUAUUCAUUUUAUUUUUAAAAUAUUAUAUUUUAAUAAAUAUUUUAUUUCAUUAUAAUUCGUAAUAGUCAAAUAGUUUAGGUUUUUUUUUCUCGUUUAGAUUUAAGAAAAGCAAAUCAAUUACAGAUUAAUUGCUAUUAUCUAUAAACAAUAUAUAAAGGUAAUUACAAUGAAAUAUUACAUUUUAAGUAAAUUUUUAAAUUUUAUUUUCCAACUUUCUAUUUUUUAAUUAUAUAACAAUGAUCAAAUUUUUGUGAUUAAAUUUUACUAUUAAUUUUCUUAUUUUACGAAUAUUGUAAAUUUAGUCAUUUUACUUUAAUUUAGUCAUUUUUAAUUUUUGUAUUUCUCAAAUUUUAAAAUUUUAGUCAUCAUCAAACAAUAACUAUUAAAUUCAUUCAAUUACUAUAUGUGUAAUGUCAUGCCAGCUACAAAAUAAAACUUAAAAAAAAUAAGUUAAUGGAUUAACUGCUAUCAUUUGCAUCAAAACUAAAAUUUUAAAAUUUUAAAAUAUAAUGGCUUAAAAUGAUCAAAUUAGAGAAUAUGCACUAAAUAUACAAUUUUACACAUAGUACAUGACUAGUAAUUGAAUCUAACUGAAUAAAUUUAACUGAUAAUGUUUAGGUUAGGACUAAAAUUGACUAAUUCUAAAAGUAUAAGGACUAAAUUAAUCAAAUUACAAUGUAAGGACUAAAUCUACAACUUUCACAAAAAUACAAAGACUAAUAGCAUGAUUUAUCAAUUUUUAUUUUGAUCUCUAUAUUACUCAAAAUUUAAUCUCUAUACUUAAUUUUUAUAUAACAAGCACUUUAUUUUUUUAUAUAAUUUGUUACCUAAAGUCUUCCUUAUUUUUUCUAGUUAAAUAAUAGAUCCAUGUAAACGUAACAUUAAAUGUAAAUAUUAAGAUUUGUUAACUCGAUUCAAUUUGACUCGAAAUUUUUUUAUUCAAUUCAAAAAAAAUUCAAAUUAAAUUCGAUUACUAAUAUAAGAUUCGUUAAUUCAAUUAACUUGAAAUUUUUUACUCGAACGAAUAUUGACCUAAUAGGAACCUAACCUAUAACUAACUCGUGUUGAUGUUGUAGUAAUUGAGAUACAUGUCCUUUUACCAAUUGAAUUUAAAUAUAAAAGUCAACAUUUUGUAAUAAUAAUAAUCCAACAACCCAAAAUUGUGGAAUAAUGCUGACGAUGAAGAUCAUCGUGGUAAUAAUAAUUGGUAGAAAGGGACAUUUCGGUAAAUUCGGAUAGAAUAUUCCAAAAUCGUAAUCAUCAUCGGACCGCUUCCCAACGCCAUCACCUCCCAACUAUUCUCUCUUUCUCUAAUUCAUCUCUCUUCCUCUACCUACCGCAAUGUCCGCAACCGCCACUCGCCUCCGCCGCGUCGCCGCCGUUGCUACAGCGGUAGCUGUUACUGCCUGCGGUGGUGCUGUUCUCUUACCUCCGUCUGUUUCUUCCAAUGACCGCGGCGUUGGCCCCGUCGUAGAGUCCAUGAGGCGGACGAUCAGUGAUCCAAACGCCAUUGUUCCUUCCAGAAGUGUCCAGGAAUCGACUCUGAUCGGUGCCAGCUCGACUAGUCCACUCGACAUCCUGGUCGUAGGCGGCGGUGCCACCGGCUGCGGCGUUGCUCUCGACGCUGCCACUAGAGGCCUCCGUGUCGGCCUUGUUGAGCGAGAGGAUUUCUCUUCCGGAACGUCUUCUCGGUCUACGAAGCUAAUUCAUGGAGGUAAGCAUAAAUGGUUAAGUUGUCUGUUUGAUAUCUAUUUUCACUGUUUUAAUGGAAACGUAAGUUAACAAUUAAUUUAAAAAAAGUGAAAGAACUUUAAGUUGAUUUGCGUGAUCAUAUAUGCAUUUUCUUGGCUACUUGUUUGAUUGCUGAUUUUAACAUUAGAAGAGGCCAAAUCCAAAUGAUGAGUGCAUUGAUUCGAAAUUUUAGAAAGAGAAAAGGCUAAAAUUUUAGGAACUCGCUCCAUGUGGAUGUUAAGGUCUUUGCUGCUUUGGGAUCUAGCAAUAUAGCUCUUGACAUUUUAUUUUUUUAUUUUUUACUUAGAGAGCAAAGAGUUAAACACAUAAGGACAUCAAAUAAUCCUUUUAAAAUUUUAUAUCCAAUAUUUUGGUAUCAUAUACUAUUUCCGAUUAGGUAUUGCAUCCUUGUAUUAAUUUGUUAAUACACAGGUUUUCUUUGGAAUUUUGAAGUGAUUUCUGCAGCUUGUCUUUUGAUUAAGGUUAAAAGUUUCAAGUCUGGAAAAUCUUUGUUUUGAAUCAUAUAAAAUGUUUGACGAAUAGCAAUUGAUGCUACAAUUUUAGUUCCCCACCUUUAGGCCGAACAACACUAAAUUGUAUUCCAUAAAAUAGGUAUAUGAAGCUAAUUCCAUUUCUUCUUCAUAUGCUUGUUUCAGCAUUUAAGCUAAUGCAUUUGCUAAAUUCGGUUAGGGGUCCGAUACUUGGAGAAAGCUGUCUUUAACGUUGACUACGGGCAAUUGAAGCUGGUUUUCCAUGCACUUGAGGAGCGUAAACAGGUUAUUGAGAAUGCGCCUCAUCUCUGCCAUGCCUUGCCAUGCAUGACACCUUGUUUUAACUGGUUUGAGGUAGUAUACUACUGGAUGGGCUUGAAAAUGUACGAUUUGGUCGCAGGACGCCAUAUAUUACAUUUGUCCAGAUAUUAUUCAGUGCAAGAAUCUAUUGAGCUCUUCCCUACUCUUGCAAGAAAGGGUAAAGAUAAAAGCUUGAGGGGCACAGUUGUGUACAAUGAUGGGCAGAUGAAUGACUCUCGCCUAAAUGUUGGAUUAGCUUGCAGUGCUGCACUUGCUGGAGCAGCAGUGCUUAACCAUGCAGAAGUUGUAUCAUUUCUUAAAGAUGAAGGUUCCGAGAGGAUAAUUGGUGCAAAAAUUCGUGACAAUCUGUCAGGUACAACCUGCAUCUCCUUUGAGCAAUAAAAAAUUCACACAAAUUAUUAACCGAUUUGAGCAUAUGACGAUUUACAUGUCUGUCUUGAUUAGUCUGUUUUCUAGGUCUUCAACAAAUACCUCAAGUUUGCAAUGAAAGAGAAAAAAGUCUAAAGGGCUAUAAAAUUUAAUAAUUACUUGUUAAUAAUCCUGUAAGCAGUUGAUUUCUAAGUGCAGAAAGCCAUGACACUUACUGUUGUUCAUUCACGCACAUUUUAGUUUUAUUUUUUGACAUUCAAAAGUGCCUUAUGUCUUGAACCUACCAAUUAAUUUCUGUCCAAGCAGCUGAUUUUGAUAUUGUAGUUGACUUGCUCUAAUUAGUUAUAACUCGAAUACAUGAUUCAGCUUUCCCUUAUAGGAUCUUGAAUUUCGAAAUAUACCAAAAUUAAGAUAGAAAAUUGUAUAGUUUGAGUGUUUAGCUUAUCCUAAUUUCUUAGAAUUGACAGCAGGGAUGCUACAGCAGAGAAAUGCUUGAGAACGAAAGUUUUCAUCGAACUUGAAAGCUUUCCAUCCAAAUCAUAUGAAGUACUUAAUUUUUUGUUUGUUAUUAAAAUCUUAAAAAUGUAAGAUGCUGCUGUUCUGUGGUUGGAAUAAAUAAGCAUUUUUCUUCCAGUUUACACCAUUUGUUAUUUGAUUUUUACAUUCCAAAAUAGUUGAUUUCCUAGUCAAUUUAUCUUUUUAUUUCGGCUAAUCUCAUUUACUGUAAGGUUAAAGCAGUGUUAAGUAAUUCUUGAUAUUUUUAUUAAGAUGAUGAGAAGAAUAAAAUUUUUUGUUCGUAUGUAGGGAAAAUGAUUUUGCAUGCGUAUGCACCAAAACAUGUUUGCAACAAGAUUUGCACUUUAAAAAUUUCUUUCUUCAGCAUAUCGCUGCAUACCAAUAUUGGUGUAAUUAGGUAGCGUGGUGAUCUGUUUGAUCUUUUUGUUCAUUAAUAUAUAAACAGGCCAAGAAUUCGAAACCUAUGCAGAAGUUGUUGUGAAUGCGGCUGGACCAUUUUGUGACUCUGUAAGGAAAAUGGCUAACAAGGAUGCACAGCCCAUGAUUUGUCCUAGCAGCGGUGUACAUGUUGUUCUCCCUGAUUAUUAUUCUCCUGAAGGAAUGGGUUUGAUUGUCCCUAAAACUAAGGAUGGACGUGUUGUUUUCAUGCUUCCAUGGUUGGGGAGAACUGUAGCUGGCACUACGGAUUCUAAUACUUCCAUCACUGCACUUCCAGAACCACAUGAGGAUGAAAUACAAUUUAUACUUGAUGCUAUAUGUGAUUAUCUUAACGUCAAGGUAUAAUCUGGAUUUGUCAAUGUUUGAUAUGUUACUUUUUUAUUCUAGUUUAUUUCUAAUUCUGUCUCGUUUUUGGGUAUAUGUUUAGUCUAAUUUUCAACUAAAUUUGUGACUUAAAACUCUUAGGUACGACGCACAGAUGUUCUUUCUGCUUGGAGUGGUAUUCGUCCAUUGGCAAUGGAUCCUACUGCAAAGAACACUGAGAGCAUCUCUCGAGAUCAUGUUGUUUGUGAGGAUUUUCCUGGUUUGGUCACAAUAACUGGUGGAAAGUGGACUACUUAUCGAAGGUAAUAUUUACUUUGGUUUUGGUAAAUUUUCCUUUUAUAUUGGUGGUUUACAGUAGAUCUGACAAUAUUAGACACAACACGAAGACAAGAUGGAUAAAUACCUAAAACACGACACGACAAAAGAAAAACAUCACGAACACGACAAGAUACAUGAAUGUAUCAAUAUUUAUAUAGUACAAAUUAUUAAUGUAUCAAAUUUUAUAUAAAUAUAAAAUACCUUAAAUACAAUUAUGAAUGGUAAAAUACGAGAAUGAUGCAGAUACACAAAUAGUUAGGUCUAGUUUAUAGUCGUUCAUCAAGGCCGAAUUUAUUUUUAUUGAUAACUAAUGUUGGAGAAUUUGGAGGGUAAACUGUUGAACUACAAAUUAAUUGAUGGGCAUACUCUGUAUUCCCUUGAUAUUUGGGCACGACAUCUUGUUCGUUUGAUCUCCUUUAUCUGUUUUCUUUUCAGUACGACCUUUCAAACUUAAUAGAAUUAUUUUCAGCAUGGCAGAAGAUGCGGUGAAUGCAGCUAUCAAGUCCGGUAAGCUAAGCCCUAGGAAUGAAUGUAUAACAGGCAACCUACGGCUGGUUGGUGGAGAUGGAUGGGAAAGCUCAUCUUUUACUGUACUUGCUCAGCAGUACAUACGCAUGAAGAAGACACAUGGUGGGAAAGUUGUUCCAGGAGUAAUGGACACAGCUAGCGCAAAGCAUUUGUCUCAUGCUUAUGGGACCUUAGCGGAACGAGUAGCCACAAUAGCUCAGGUUGGUUUGCUAUGCUCUCACAAGUCAUAAGUGUUAAUUAUUUGUCUCAGUAGUUGGUCUGUGAUUAUCUUCUCAAAUCCCAGAGUUUGAAACCAUCCUCCCCAAAAUAAAACCUCUAUCGAUCUAACAUAGGGUGGUUUGGGAACAAUCAAAUAUGGCUAAGUCUUAUCUUCUUUGUAUUCGGUUUAACAAUUUCAAAUCUGCCUUUGAAUUUCUAGAAUGAAACACUGGGUAAGAGGCUUGCCCAUGGUUACCCAUAUCUGGAGGCCGAGGUUGCAUACUGUGCUCGAAAUGAGUACUGUGAAUCUGCUAUUGAUUUCAUUGCCAGGAGAUCUCGCCUUGCUUUCCUUGACACAGAUGCAGCAGGCCGAGCAUUGCCGCGAAUUAUCGAAAUACUUGCUAAGGAGCACAAUUGGGACCGGUCCAGGCGGAAGCAAGAAAUGCAGAAGGCUAGAGAAUUUUUGGAAACUUUCAAGUCAUCGAAGAAUGCACAGUUCCAUGACGGGAAACACCAGUAGUGACUAGUGAGUAUGAUUUCCUAUCCUGUUAACCCGCGCAAAUACUUCUAAAAGUUUCUUAUACCAAAUUAACGAUAUGUCGCAGUUAACUUUGCUUUUAGGGUUUUCGAUAUCGAUGAAACAGAAUUUUAAAGCUCAAAGACUCUCUGUUAAGUUUUCCAAUGCUCAUACAGGUAUGUAUAUCAUCUUCAUUCUACUGCACAAGCGGAAUGUCAUAGCAUGAACAUACUUCGAAGGCACUCGGUUUUAUUGAGCUUGCUUUACAUAUAAUAAGUAAUAACGCAACUUUUUCCUUAAUUAAUGCAAGUGUUUAUUGUAUUAUGUGAUUUGUUUAUUAUAUGCUUAUUAGUUUUUUCUUUUUAACAUUAAUUUUAUUAUAGGUUUUUAUAAUAUCCGUUUUUUUUAUACAAUGUUUAGAAUUACUCAUAUUCCUUCCCUAACCAUUAAAUAAUAGGAUAAUGCGUUUCAUGAUAAUACUUAAUAAAAUUAAAAUAUAAAUAAAAAUUACUAUGAUAAGAAUUUCACCUUAAUUGUUUUAAUUUUCAAUUAUAUACAUCGCAUAGGAAUGAUCGACUUAUUUGAAGAAAAAAAGAAGUAAAAAGUUUUUGUUCAGUGGCAGAUUUAUUUUGCUUAAAGGGUUUAUACUUAUAAGUAUUAUGGUAACUAUAAUUAUGAAUAAUAUGUUCUAAUAAUUACAAUAAAAUUUUAAUAUGAUGAUCAAAUUAAUAAUUGAAUAUAUAAAUUUUGUAAUAAAUUUAUUAAACGGCCAGAUGGUUGUACGAAUUUUUAAUUUUUUAAAAUUUCGAUUGUCACAUUUCAAUUUUUUAAGUACUAUUUUCCAUUAUUAAUUAAUAAUAAAACAUAUUAUUUUAUUUAAAUUUAAUUAUAAUAAGUAUUAUCAAAUCUAAUUGAAUGGGUUCAAUUCAGUUUAUUAAUAAAUUAUCUUUCCAACUACAUAUUAAUUUUCAUAUCGACUUUUAAAGUUUUUAUUUAUUUAUAAUAAAUGGUAUUUAAAUUAUUUUGUUUCAAUUUAUAAAAAAAAAAAAGAAAAUAAUGCGAUCCAAUAAAAAUGUGCGACACACGGCAUGUUUGCACGUUGCAUAAACUCUUGUAUAUUUUGUUUAUUUGAUUCUUAUUUUUUAAAAUUAAAUUUAAUAAAUAAUCUUUCAAAAGAAUUCAAAUUGCUUUUCGUUAAAUACAUAAAACUUUAAAUUUUUAGUCAUAGUAGUUUACGUAUAUUUCAUGUUAACGUGAUAUUAUUUUUUAUAUGCACAUCAACAAACAAUUUAAAAAAUCAUAAAAAUGUUCAAAGAAAUAAAAAAAUUCAAAAGAAUUAUAAAAAGUUUACAAAAAUUCAAAAAAAAAACAUGAAGUAUAUAUAGAUUACCAUGCAAGUUGUCUUGUUGAAAACUUUAACAUUUUAGUUAAUAUUUUGGUUAAAAAUAAUAAUUUGACUAUUUAUAAAAGGUUGAUGGCUUCAAAUAUGACUCUUUUUAAAAAGUUAAGAGUCAAAUUUAGCAAAAAAAAAAAAGAAUAAUGGUCAAAUAAACAAAAAUAUAAAUGUUAAGAGUUAAAAUUGACAUUAUGCCUAUUUUAUAAAGAUGAAAUUUAUACUUGUUAUAUUCCUCCACCAAGCAAACACUGUCAGCACUAGAACCAUCUCUGAAAGAGCAUCCCAACAAACUUCUUAUUCACAAUACCCUUGAAUGUGACCAUCCGUUCUACCUCAAAGGAGUCCUCCACCCGAGCUUAAAUGUGGAUAUUAUUCUAAGGUGAAUACACUUCCAAGGAAAACAAGAACCUAUUUAAGUUAAACUACCUUAUAUUGAUAGAAUCUCAUGACAUGUGUAUAUGAUUAUCCAUUACAUAUUUAACGGGGCUAAAUGUAUUUUCUGACACGUUAUACUCACUAACAAUGAGACCUCUCGGUCUUGUAGCACCCUAGAGUUAUUCUAAACACUUUUUUUCUGAUCAAUAUGUUCUUUUAUCCUUGUUCUGGCUCUCGGCCUUUUUAGGUGAAUCGGCCUCCACUCUACCACUUUGAUCUCUUUUUUGCUUCAUCUUGUUCACCUCUCUUAUUGUAUUUUGUAUCAACAAUAGUUUAGGUAUUACUUUUGAUAAAUUUUAUUUUUGAUAAAUUUUAUUGACAAUGACGUACUUUUUUUAAUAAAAGAUGAAAUUAAUAAUUUAAGUAUUACUUUUCAAAAAAAAAAAAACUUUGAGGAACAAACUGAAAAACAAAAUAUAGUGCAAGGGUCAAUUUAUGAAAAUCCAUUAACCUAUGCACAGAGGACGCCCUCGCUGGCUUGGCCAUGACGGCUACUCAGUUACAACUUGCAAGUAAUUUUUAUUAUUUUUAACAAAACGACAAGUCGUUUUGAGUUGCGGUUCCUAUUAUCAACUGAAUGCUGUUCUAGUAAAAUUUUUCUCAGGAAACAAACACUACUUUUUCCCCCGCCAUCUCUACCCCUUUACGCAGCCCUCCCUCUCACUAUAUAGUGUGAAAGAAAGCUCAAUGAACUCACCAAAUGAAACCCCUGAUCAAUUCUCCCAAUUCCCCCUUCCGCAUUUCACUCUCACUCCACCUUUACCAAACCCUAACCCUAAUUUCCCUCCAACCCCAAACUCAACUCCCCCAAACUCAACUCCAACACUAACCCCAGUCCUCGAUUCUAACACCAAUGCUACACCUUCUCUCGAUGACCAACUUCUACCCUUCCCAGUUCCCAAAAAGCGACGACGCGGCAGGCCCCGACGCACUGCCUCAACGUCAUCGUUUCAACUCCUUACCUUCCCCAAUGAUUCAUUCAACCCCAAUGUUCCAUACUCUGACCCUAACCCUUAUUCGAUUCCCUCAUCAGUAGCGGCGUCGACACAAACUUCACAACCCAAAAUUGCCGACGAGAUCAUUGUUAUCAAUAAAGAAUCGACGGCUGAGGCUCUCACCGCUCUUUCCGCUGGAUUCCCUGCUGAUUCUCUCACUGAGGAAGAAAUUGACUUCGGCGUAGUUUCCUCUGUUGGUGGCAUCGAGCAGGUAAAUUACAUUCUUAUUCGAAAUCACAUUAUUGCGAAAUGGCGUGAAAAUAUAUUCAAUUGGGUGACUAAAGAAAUGUUUGUUGAUUCUAUACCACAACAUUGUCGUACGCUCUUAGAUUCUGCUUAUGAUUAUUUGGUUACUCAUGGAUAUAUAAAUUUUGGGGUUGCCCCAGCAAUCAAGGACAAAGUUCCUGUCGGUCUUAGUAAAGGUAAUGUGGUUAUCAUUGGUGCUGGAUUGGCGGGGCUGGCUGCGGCUAGACAGCUAAUGAGGUUCGGAUUUAAGGUGACGGUUUUGGAAGGGAGGAAGAGAGCAGGUGGGAGGGUUUAUACAAAGAAGAUGGAAGGAGGGAAUAGGGUAAGUGCAGCUGCGGAUUUAGGUGGGAGUGUAUUAACAGGUACAUUGGGGAAUCCAUUAGGGAUCAUGGCAAAACAAUUGGGUGCUUCGCUUUUUAAGGUGAGGGAUAAGUGUCCACUUUAUCGGAUGGAUGGGAGUCCAGUGGAUCCAGAUAUGGAUAUGAAGGUGGAGACGGCUUUUAAUCGGCUUUUGGAUAAGGCUAGUAAGCUUAGGCAGUUAAUGGGGGAGGUUUCCAUGGAUGUUUCACUUGGGGCAGCAUUAGAGACGUUUAGACAGGUUUAUAGAGAUGCAGUAACUGAAGAGGAGAUUAAUCUGUUCAAUUGGCAUCUUGCAAAUUUAGAAUAUGCAAAUGCAGGAUUGGUUUCAAAGCUUUCACUUGCAUUUUGGGACCAAGAUGAUCCAUAUGACAUGGGAGGGGAUCAUUGUUUCUUGCCUGGAGGGAAUGGAAGGUUGAUUCAGGCUCUAGCAGAGAAUGUGCCUAUUUUAUAUGAGAAGACUGUGCAUACUAUUAGGUAUGGAAGUGAUGGAGUGCAGGUUACGGCAGGAAAUCAGGUGUUUGAAGGUGAUAUGGCACUAUGUACUGUUCCUCUUGGAGUUUUAAAGAGUGGGUCAAUAAAGUUUGUUCCUGAGUUGCCUCAGAGGAAACUUGAUGGGAUAAAGAGGUUGGGAUUUGGGUUGUUGAAUAAGGUCGCUAUGCUUUUCCCUUAUGUAUUUUGGGGUACAGAUCUUGAUACCUUUGGGCAUCUUACCGAAGAUCCAAGUCGCCGAGGGGAGUUUUUUCUAUUUUAUAGCUAUGCAACAGUUGCUGGUGGUCCUCUCUUGCUUGCUUUAGUAGCAGGAGAAGCUGCACAUAGGUUUGAGACUCUGCCUCCUACAGAUGCAGUAACCCAAGUUCUCCAAAUUCUCAAGGGUAAUCAAUUUUGAUUUCAUGUGUUGAAUUAUUUAUUUGUUGCAGCUUCUUUUUUUCCUGUAAGCUUGAAAUAUAUCCUGUAGUCUGAAAUACCGAAAGACAGUCAUUAGCUGCAAAACGUAUAUUAAUGUUGCGGUGCAUUCUUAGCUUCUUUAUGUACUGGUUGCUCAUAUGGCUUAAAUUCAUGGCAGCUUCUUUGAAUAUUUGAAUAACCCCUAGCACUUUGUCAUUUAUUUUAUUUGAAUGUGCUACAAAGAAAGCAUCAACAUUUGAUACAUUUUUAAAAGAAAUUUUAUAUGUCUUGGUUGCUUGUGUGGUUCAUUUUAAUUGCAAUAUGCAACUUUCUUGGGUUUCUCAUUGUCUUAUGUGCAUAUUCUACAAAGAAAGGGCGAAGUCUCCUGUGGAUUUGAACCAGCACCGAUUGUAUCUUGUGUCCAAAAAUUUAAUUGUUCUCGGUUAUGUGAGUAUUCUGAGACUGUGUUUAAUUGUCUGCAGGUAUAUAUGAACCGCAAGGAAUCACUGUCCCUGAACCCCUCCAAACCGUCUGUACUAGAUGGGGUGGUGAUCCCUUUAGCCUAGGUUCAUACUCUAAUGUUGCUGUGGGAGCAUCUGGAGAUGACUAUGACAUAUUAGCAGAAAGUGUGGGGGAUGGAAGACUUUUCUUUGCUGGGGAGGCCACUACACGUCGAUACCCUGCCACCAUGCAUGGAGCUUUUCUUACUGGGCUCAGGGAAGCUGCAAAUAUGGCUCAAUAUGCCAACGCUCGGACUGCAAAGAAAAAGAUAGACAGGAGUCCUUCAAAUAAUGUUCAUUCUUGUGCUUCCCUCCUUAUGGAUUUGUUCAGAGAACCUGAUUUGGAAUUCGGGAACUUUUCUGUUAUUUUUGGUCGAAAGAAUGCUGAUCCAAAGUCACCAGCAGUGUUGAGGAUAACAUUCAGCGAGCCCCGAAAGAAGAAUCAGGAAGGUUCAAAGACAGAUCAGCAACAUUCUAAUAAGGUGCUUUUUCAGCAGCUACAGUCACAUUUUAAUCAGCAGCAACAGCUACAUGUUUACACAUUGUUAUCUAAGCAACAGGCACUUGAGUUGAGAGAAGUGAGAGGUGGUGAUGAGAUGAGGUUGAACUACCUCUGUGAAAAUCUGGGAAUUAAGCUGGUGGGACGGAAGGGUUUGGGACCUAAUGCUGAUUCUGUCAUUGCAUCUAUAAAAGCACAGAGGGGUGUCCGGAAACCCUCAACAACUCCUGUGGUUCUAAAAUCUGGUGAGAAUCAUUGUUUAUUCUUUGAUUUAUAUUUCUCUCCAAAAUAUAAGAGCUUGAAAUAACAUUUAUAUGGUUUUGGUAAAGGGGCAUCGAAGAUGAAACCAGGCACUUUAAAGCAAAAAUUCAUUAGGUAAGAGCCGAAUUUUCAAUUCUUUCUUCAUAUGCUCAUUAAAGAUCUCUGUAUGAUCAAAUGAAGGACUAUUACCUGAUCCCCUCUGUUCUCCAUUUGUUAUUCUUAUUUUCACAGGAGGGCUAAAAUAGUCCGCAACACUAAAGGGUUGAUUCCAGCUCUGGUUCCGAAUGCAGCAAAUGGCAAUAUGCCAGAGGAAAUGAAAGUGAUAAAGCAGGCUCCUCCUGACUCCUCUGCUUCGGGUAUGUCUGAAGGCUUCUAGUUUCCUUAUUAGUCUCAUCUUCUGUGUUACAUUUCUAUUCCAUGCAGUUAAUUGUUCUCGUUAAGUUUUCUUUCUUUUUGUUGCUAUUUCGUUGUCAAAUCUCUUGAUUGUUCAAUUUCUGCCUUUGUUCCACCUUUCUGUAAUUCACAUGGUGUGUGUUUUUCUCUUUAUGAAAGUUGUUGGGGAAAUUUGCACGUGUUUAUUAUUGAUUUGAUUGUGAUGACAAAACCAAGAUGGUAACCUUGAUCCGAAUAUCCUUAUAUCAUCUGUCUGUCAAUGUAGAAUGGGUAAAUAUUUUCAAAUGGGAAAUCUGAAUAUAAGAAAGUUCCAUUUUGUUAGGGCAAAACCAAGGUGAGAUGUUGAAGCAAUGAGCUGGGUAUGUCGGUGUGUCCUUUUCUGAAGAUCUUGAGAGUUCUUGGUCAGUGACAUUGCCUAAGCCUGACUAUUCUGUUGUCCCCCCCCCCCCCAAAACCCCAAAAAAAACUAAAUGCGUAGAGCUUGCAUUAUUGCUGUUCCCAUCAUUGGUUAAACUCUCAGCUCAAUCGGUUUUACUGUGAAGUUGUCUUUUCCACUUGGCCUAUAUCCUCAAAGGUUAUAAAUGCUACAGUUUGCUAUACAUCAAGCGAGAACCUGUUUUUGGCAAUGGUUGGGAUGCAUUUAUCGAGUGUCAAGUUCCCCAUCAAAGACAUCUCUGCCACCUUCUGCAGCCCCAACUUGACUUCAGAANNNNNNNNNNNNNNNNNNNNNNNNNNNNNNNNNNNNNNNNNNNNNNNNNNNNNNNNNNNNNNNNNNNNNNNNNNNNNNNNNNNNNNNNNNNNNNNNNNNNAACAUUGUCAACAAAGCUUGUGAUCACAGUUUGGCUAUGAUGACAAACUGUUUAAUAUUCAUGAAGCCUGUUGCUACCAGAUCCGAGGGAGAAAUGUUCUGCUGUGGCUGAGGAUUUCCAGUAAGAUGCAGUGUGAGAAAAAGAACAGGCAAUGGUUCUUUUAUAGAGUUCACGAUUGACCUCACCCCAUCAAACAAACUGAGAAAAUCGACCCAAUAUCGCCAUUUACAAGAAUGGCUGAUGCUUACUAUACCCUCAAGUUGUAAGAGUUAAAAUUACAUUGGCCUCAACGUUACUUGGAUUUGGAUGGAAUAUUGAUGUGUUUUAACACGGUAUGUUCAACUGCUGCUUUCUAUACCCUCAAGGCUGGAAUUCUAGGAUCUCUGAUCAACGGUGACUUGUAAGAGUUAAAAUUACAUCAGCCUCAACGUUACUCGGAUUUGGAUGUAAUAUUGAUGUGUUUUAACACGGUAUGUUCAAUUUUCUUAAAUAUUUACUUGCAUUUGGGCAAAUAUCUAUUUAUGUAUAUCUUCUAGUCAAUACCUAAUUAUACAUCAGGAGGUAUAGGAAGUUUUGGGCAAAUAUGAGUAAAGAAUGAUGUACAUGAAUGUUGAAUAUUGAGAGAUUUUAUUUUAAGUUCAACUUCACUAUAAAUAUUUUUCUUUUAUUUGUGUUGGCUUUUAAUUCCUUAUAUAUGUUUUGUUUCAUUGCGUUCCCGCAAGAUUAGGGGCGCACGUCCAAGGGCGUGGUGCUCAUUUUUAAUUUGGGUUUUUUUUUAAUAAUAAAAAAGUAUGAAUAUCAAAAUUAUACAUUAAUUUCGAUGUGUAAUUUGAUGUAUGAAUUUUAAUCUAGUUUAUACGUAUGAAAUUUCAAUUUAGGUAUGAAGGUUUGAAUUUGUUUCUAUUUUAAUAAUCCGUUAUUAAAUUGAAAACGGUAAGUCUUUUUUUAACUCGUAUGAUUACAUAUUUAGUCUUCAAUAUUUAUACAUUCUGUCAAUUUAAUUCUAAUACUAAAUAAUUUAACAAGUUUAACUUUUUACAUUUAUAAGUUCUAUCAAUUUACUUCUUAAAUACAUCUUCAUCAUAAAGCGAAAUUAUAAAAAAACAACAAAAAAAAAAUUAAUUGGAAAUUGUUUGUAAUGUAUUGUUUUUGGUGAGAAAUUGUUGUUUUUUUCAUUUUUUUUAGCUGAGAAAAUUGGUAAUCUCUUUCACGUUGAAACGUAUCAAGAAAAUAAUUUUUUUUAUUAGAUUGAAAUCAUCUCAUGAAAUUGAGCUUGAAACAAUCAAAUCACAUUGGAAAACAAAGACUUCGAGAACCUCUCAAAAUUGAUUAAGUAAAAAGAGGAGAUUGUGCUUAUUUUUUCAUUAAAAAACCGAGAAUAAUAAUCUUUCAUUGUUAUUGUUUUUUUUAUCUCCAAUUUAUUAGCAACAAGAAAAAAGUGAUGAUGGGCGAUGUUUGAAAUUAGAAUGGUUGCUUCUAUCGAACAAAAUAAAUUUUUUUUUUUGUGUUCAUUUAAGGUGCCUUUGGAAGGGAGAGACGUUAAUUCCAUUUAUAUAGAUUAAGGAAGCGGUGGUGAAAGAAUGAUUGGCUUCGACCUAUCCCGCUGGAAAAACCUUUACCAUUGCCACAUUCUCACCAGGUUUAGAGGCUCGAAUUGUAAGAACAGUCCCGGCCUUUCUUUCUUCUUCUUCUGUUUUUGUUUGCUUUUUUUGAAUAAAGAAUAGGUUUGGUUUUGUUUUGCUCGUAAAAAUGUGAAGGAUGUUCAAGAAAUGUGCACACUCAAACGAGAAGUAAAGGUUGCAGUUGAAUAGGGAGUUGGGAUUGGCACCGAAGCAGAUCAAGUUUUGAUUUCAAAGUAAGACCCAAACGAAGGUGCUGUAUCAUCGCUGUAAUUAUGGCCUAUAGGGUUUUCUAUUUUUUUUUAUUCUUGUUCAUGCACAUUCUUUUUAAAUGAUAUUGUUCAGGCACAACAAGAAAGAGCUGGAUAAUUACACUCUUUUGAUUUUGAAAAGGAAUUACGAGCAAUAAGCUAAAAACAAUCAAUUGAAAAAAUAAUUUCCUAAUGUGCUUCAACAACAAUGACUAUCAAUUUAAUCCGGAAAAGGAAUGAAAAAAUAAAUAAAUUCUUUACACAAAAACAAUGACACCUUACCUAAUUAAAUUUUAUUUUUAUAAUUAUUUUAAAUUAGGAUCAAAUUAAUAGAAUAUGUAAGCAUUGAGCACUAAAUGUAUUAUUAUAAUUGUCUGUAGGUAUAUAAGAACUUCAAGGAAUCACUGUCCCUGAAUGCCUACAUGCUUGGCCUAUAUGGCUCCACAUAGCCUAGCACACGCCCGUGUGCCUGCCUGUGUGUCUCAUAUAGUUUGACACACGCUCAUUUCGUCGGUCCGUAUGGGUCUAAUUUGUAAAUAGUAAGUCACACGGCCUGGACACACGCCCAUGUCUCUAGCCUAUGUGGUCCCUAAUGGUGAACAGUGAGUCACACGGCCUGGACACACGCCAGUGUUUUUGGCCCGUGUGGUCCCUAAUAGCAAACAGUGAACCACACAGUCUGUAAUGACCCAAAAUUCACGGCAAUCAGAAAAGUGCAAUAUCGGGCCUCCAUCUUAGUGAAAUGGGUUUGUAAAUAAUUAUUAGAAAUAUUUAUGAGACUAGGGUAUAUGUAUAUAUAUAGUUGUACAUGUAUAAAAUGAGAACUUAGAAAGUUAGAGUUUUUAAAUGAAAAGUUUGGUACAUUAAUAUAAGUUUAGUUUUUUGGAAGUAGAAGAGAUAAUAGAAAUAUGAGACGUAGAAUAAAAUAGUAAUAUUUUUCAAUUAUGAAGAUCAGAAAAUGAAUUUUUUUAGAAAGAAGUAUAGAAAGAAAUAAAAACCUUAGUUAAAAAAAAAAAGAAAAAAUAGCAAAGUUGUAAAUUGUGUAAUAAAAGAGGCAAACUUUGAAAAGAAUAGUUACCUCGAAGAGACUGUUAGCAGCGGCCGAGCCAAUAUAUUUCUAAGAGGUUUGGAUUAGGAGUAAUAACUCUGAUCCAUAACUGGAAUAAUCAUUAUUUGCCUCAAAAAGAGAAAGGAAAUGAAAAUGAGAAAAUAAAAGUAUAACAAAGUAGAGCCUAAAAUAUAUAUAUAUAUAUUUAUAUAUAAUAUAAAAUAUAUAUAUAGGAUUGUAAGAAUAACUCCAAAGAUAAUCUACUAAAAAUUUUCGAUUCUUAUGGAAAGAAUAUUGCCAUUUAUAGUGAUGAUUAUUGAACGGUUUUAGUCAUGUUUUGAUGUAAGACUAGAAGUAAUUGCUUAUGCAUCUCGUCAGCUAAAAAUGUAUGAACGUAAUUAUCUGACACACGAUUUAGAAACUAGUUGUUGUGGUUUUUGCUCUAAAGAUUUUAAUACACUAUUUGUAUGAUGAAAAGUGUUAUAUUUAUACCGAUCAUAAAAGUCUCAAAAAUCUUCUAUCUCAAAAGGGAGUUGAAUUUAAGACAGCGUCGUUAGAUAGAGCUUUUGAAAAAUUUUGAUUGCGUUAUUAAUUAUUAAUCUGAUAAAGCUAAUGUUAUAGCUGAUGUAUUAAGUAGGAAAGCAGCAAUUGAAUUGCGAACAAUGUUUGCUUAGCUUAGUAUCAAUGACGAUAAAAGCUUAUUGGCUAGAUUAAAAAUCAAAUCAGUGAUGUUGAUCAGAUUAAGUCAGUGUAGAUAGAAAAUGACAAAUUGGUGAAGAAAAGAGAAAUGGUUCAGAAUGAUAUAUUAGAAAAUUUCAGCCUUGAUAAUUGUGGUUGCUUGAGAUUUCACAAUCGAAUUUGCGUUCUGGAUAUUUCUAAAUUGAAAAAGUUGAUACUUCACAAAGCUCAUAAUAGUCCUUUUGUUUUGCAUCCUAGAGGAAUGAAAAUAUAUUACGAUUUACAAAAAAAUUUAUUGGUGCUCAGGAGUAAAAAGAAUGCUAUUUGGGUGAUUGUUGAUAGCCUUGCGAAAUCAGUUCAUUCUGUAGUAAUCAGAACUGAUUGAUCACUUCAAAAAAGAAACUUGUUGAAGUUUAGAUUCGGGAAAUUAUAAGGGUGUGCAGUAUUCCUAUACAUUGAAUGAAAGAAAAAUGAUAAGGCUAGAAUUAAUCCAAGAAACGAAGGAAAUUGUUAAGAAGAUUCGAGAUAGACUAAAGGCAGCUUCAACGGAUAGAAAUCAUACACAGAUUUAAAACGCCAGGAUAUUGAGUAUUCUAUUGGUGACAAAAUAAUUUUAAAGUAUUGCUUUGGAAGAAAAUAUUGAGAUUAGGCUAAAAAAAAAAAAACUGAGUCCUCGUUUUAUUAAGUCGUAAGAAAUUAUAGGAAGAGUUGGGCCAAUUGCCUAUUGCUUAGUAUUGCCUUUGAAAUUACAAAAGAUUCAUGAUGUUUUUCAUGUUUUUAUGCUAUGGAGAUAUCAAUUAGAUCAUUCUCAUAUUAUUUCGACAGAGAAUAUUAGCUCAGAAGGUAAGGGAGUUACGAAAUAAACAUGUUUCCUUAGUGGAAGUGUUGUGAAGAAGUCAUAGUGUAGAAGAAGCAAUUUGGAAACUGGAAGAAAUUAAGAGAUCUCAGUACCCCAUCUCUUUUCAAGUAAAUUUCGAAGACGAAAUUUAUUAAGGGAGGAGAAAUGUAACGACCCAAAAUUCAAGGGCACCAGAAAAGUAACAUAUUGGGCCUCUGUCUUAGUAAAAUGGGUUUGUAAAUAAUUAUUAGAAAUAUUUAUGAGACUAGUGGUGUGCCUAAUUAGGUUCUAAUUAGGUGAAUUUAGCUAAAUUAAGAGUAAUUAGGAAAAAGGACUAAAGUGAAUAAAGAGUAAAAGUUGAAUUGUAGAUUAAAAGAAAAUAAAAAGGACCAAAAUGACAAAUAAGCCAUUUAGCAUAAGUUGAGGCAGCAAACAAAACAAAAAUCUUAUUAUGUUAAAUUAAAAGAUAUUUUUGUUUGUAAUAAAUAUAUAAAUAUUUUUAUAUAAUUAAAAGAUAUUUAUUAGAUAUUUUUGUUUGUUCGUAAUAUAAUUAUUACAAUUACACAAAUUUGAAAUUUGAAGCAGUUUCAUCUUUAAAUAUAAAUUUCAUUGCUUACUCUUUAAUAUAUGGAAAAUGAAUUUAAGUCUUGAAGCAUAAGGCAUGCUUCCUUUUACUUACCAAAACUAACAUUCUUUGUGUUACAGUGAAGCAAAGCACAAUCCUUUAAUUUUUUCUUUUUAAAUGUCUCUGUACCUUACUUCCUACCAUUUACUCUAAUUUAAUUAAUCCAUCAUAUGAAAUUAAUUCAUAAUUUUUUAAAAAAUAUAAAAUUUUUUUAAUAAAAUUUAAAAACUAUUAAAAUAAUUAAGUUAUUAAUAUAAAUAAUGACAUUUUUUUUUUACUAUUUUCAAGUUCGUUUUAUUGUUCAUGUUCUAGGCUCAUGAUUGUCUUUCUUAAUAAUGUGACCUUCAAGGUUCAAAUCUAUGUUCUUCGCUUAAGAGUGUAAUGUGUCUUAUGAUAGCACCCAACAGUUAUUGGUAUGAUAUACUUAAAUUACUAAUUGUAAUUCUAUACUAAAAAAAUAUUUAUUUUGGAUUUCAAUGAUUAGAUUUACAUUUUUAAAAAAUUGUUUUUUAUUAUUUAACUUACUAAAUUUAUAUAUUAAUCAUAUUUGGAUAAUUAUUAUUUUGGAUUCAAAUAGUAAUAUUUAGAUUUAAUUCAUUAAUAAACAAAUUAUGAAAUUUCAUAUUUGGAUUUUAGAACAAAAAUGGCAUAUAUGUGAUCUAUUAUCAUCUUUAUCCAAUAUAUAUAAUCAUCUUUAUUAAAAUCAUACAGUGGUGAUAAUAUCUCUUAAUUCUUCAUUUCUUCCUCUUUACAAUAUUUUUAGUUAUCACUCAUAGUCAUAAAAUCUAUUCAAGUUUUGUAGUCUUUCCUUUUAAUCAUAUGUCAACUUAACAUCUCUUGCACCAGCAUGCAAAGAAGAAACAUGAAAUAGAUUAGACAAAUGAGUAAAUUUUGUCAUGUUCUAGGUUCGUGACUGCCUCUCUCAAUAAUAUUGUCUUCAAGGUUCAAACCUACGUUCUUCGCUUGAGAAUGCAAUGUAUCUUAUCACUGCACCCUACACUUGUUAGUAUGAUACACUUAAACAACUAAUUGUAAUUCUAUACUAAAAACAAAUAUUAAUUUUAAGAAACAUAUUUAAAUUUGAAAUAUUCGAUAAUUUAUAUUAUUUUUUUAACUUACUAAAUUCAUAUAUUAACCAUAUAAACAAUAGAUGAAAUAGUAAUAUUUAGAUUUAAUUCAUUAAUUAAUAAACAAAUUAUGAAAUUUGAUAUUAGAAAUUUACAAAAAUGACAUGUAUGUUUUUAAAUUAUAAAAUCAUCUCUUAAUUCUUCAUUUCUUACUCUUUAGAAUAUUUAUGAUUAUCUACUUAAGUUUGGUAGUCCUCCCUUUUAAUUACCAAAACUAACAUUCUUUGUGCCCAUAAUACUUUAAUUUUUAUUUUUAUUAUUAAAGAGAUAAGCUUUGGAUACUUCAACAUCUUUAAUAAGUCACUUUGGCAUAUACCUUACUUGCUACAUUUAUAUAAUAUGAGCAUCAAAAUUCCUUUUGCCAUGAAUGCAUCAUUAUGUAAUCUUAAACCCAUAAACAAUCUAAUUUGCAAAUAAAAGAAAACAACAAAUUUUACUUUUAAUUUAAUUGUCUUUUCUUUCAUGAAAUUCCGUAUUUUUUUAAAAUCUAUAUUUUCAUUAAAUAUUUUCUUCUUUAAUCACAUUAAUCGUUAAACUCAAUUGAUGGAACAAUUAGAUAUAUAAGAAUAUAUAGAUAACAAUUUCGUAUGAUUGUGGAUUAUUAUCCAUGUAUUCAUUGCAUGAUUAAGUAAUUUUAGACUCAUAAAAACCAAAGUAAUUGCCUAAUUUGCAAGAAAAGAACAAAAUUUACUUUAAUAAAGAAAGCAAAGUAUUAUUAUUGUAGAAAUACUUUACUUUGUUAGGAAUUUUUUAUAACAUAUAAACUUUAAUUUUAAUUUAAUUGUCUUUUUUUUAAAGAAAAUUUAUGUUUUCGGAUCAAAUUCUUUUAGUAUAUCAUAUCUUUAAUGCAUUGAAAAUUUUAAAUGAUGAUGUAAAAAUUAAGGCUCAAGGGUCUUUAAAGUCCCUAAUUUUUUUUUAAAUAUCAAUUAAACCCUUAUACAUUUUUCUUUUUUGCAUUCAAUCAAGCUAUUGAACGUUAAAAUUUCAAUUUAUUAAACCAUUUAACCAUUCAAGUUAACGGUCAACCGUUUAAGAGUAACGGCAACUAUUUUUAGGGGUUGUCGCACACCAGAAUUUUGCCAUGCAAUGAAAUAUGAUAUUUUAUAAUAAAAAUCAUAAAAAUAUAAAAAUAAUUGAAAUAUAUACAAAUUAAAAAUAUUAUAAAUGAUAUAUAAAUUAUUAAAAUUAUAAAAAAUUGCAAAAAAAAACAUUAAUAAGUUUUAGAAUAAAAAUAUAUAUUACAAAAAAUAAAAAUUUUAAAAUUAUGAAAAAAUAUUUAAAAAUAUGGAAAAUUAUUAAAGUUGUUAAUGAAAGUUACAAAAUAUUAUAAAAAGCAAAAAAAAAAUUGUUAAUAAAAUAUUUAAAAUAAUUAAGUUGUUAUUAUAAAUAAUGACAUUUUUUUACUAUUUUUCAAAUUCGUUUUAUCAUUCAUGUUGUGGGUUUAUGAUUGUCUCUAUCAAUAAUAUUGUCCUCAAAGUUCAAACCUAGCUACGUUCUUCGCUUAAGAGUGCAAUAUAUCUUAUCACUGCACCCAACACUUGUUGGUAUGAUAUACUUUGACUACUAAUUGUAAAUCUAUACUAAAAAAUUAUUUAGUUUAGGAAACAUAUUUGGAUUUGAAUUAUUUGAUUUACAUUUAAAUUUUUUUAACUUACUAGAGAUUCAUAUAUUAACCAUAUUUGGAUAACCAGUAUAUAAUUAUUUAUUUUGGAUUCAAAUAGAAUGAUUCGAUUUACAUUUAACUUACUACGUGGAUAAUUAUUUAUUUUGGAUUAAAAGAGUAAUAUUUAGAGUAAUAAAAAAAAUUGAAUUUUGAAAAAUCAUCAGUCGUAACUAUUUAAGUUUGCUUCCUUCUUAAUUAGCAAAAGUAAAAUAGUUUCUUACAAAAUUAAAAAAAGGAAUGAUAUGAAAGAGAAGAAAGUUGGCAUCUUUUCUUUUUUAUUAAAUAUGAAUUGCAAUGCCUUCCACCUAGACUUGUCCAUGGGCCGGGCGGCCUGGCCCGGCCCGAUGGCCCGUCCGAAAUAUGGGAGGGUUUGGGUAAAAAUAUAGGCCUGAAAUAUGGGCUUGGGCAAAAAAUGAGGCCCAUUUAAAAAAUGGGCCGGGCUCGGGCUCAACUUUUUUGGCCCGGACCCGGCCCUGCCCGGCCUGAAUAUAAUAAAUAUAUAUUUUUUAUUUUUAUUUUGUAAUUUUAAAAUACUUUUAAAAUGUUUUUUUUUUAAAUAUUUUUUUGUGUUUAUUAAAAACCGGGCCGGGCCGGGCCAAAUUUUAGGCCCAUAUUUCGGGCCGGGUCGGGCCAGCCUGGGCCUAAGAGUCGGGUCAAAAUUUUUUUUGGGCCCGGCCCGAACCUAGCCCGGCCCGGCCCAUGGACAAGUCUACUUCCACCAUCUUCACCCUUCUUUUCUUUCUUUUCUUCCUACCUCUUUCUACCCAUCUCUUUUUCUCUCUUUCCUUUCUUCAUCCUCUGCCUUUCUUUCAUUCCUAUCAUCUCCUUCAUCUCUUUCAUUUCUCACAACCACACUAAUUAAUGGAGAUGAAGAACGAGAAUGAGAAUGAGAGUCACGACGAGUCGGUGCAACAGAUUCAACAUCCUUUUCAUAAGGAACAUCCCUUGGUGUUAGUGGCAGAGCAAAGCAAUAAAGGUCUCAAAGCUCACUGCCAUGGAUGUGGGGAACUGCUUUCAGCUCCAUGCUUCACUUGUAUUCAUUGCAAUUAUCACCUUCACAAGCAAUGUGCAGAGGCACCCAUUAAAAUUCAUAAUCACCCACUCCAUCCUAAGCACUCAGGCAUAGGUCUUUUUCUUCGACAAAGGCCAAUUUCUUCUAGCAGGGUAUAUGGUUGUGCAUUAUGCAAGGAAAAACGUAACAUGUUUUUUUUAUGAAUGUGAUUGGUGUUAUUUUUCCAUUGACAUCAAAUGUGCUCAAUUAUCCUCUUCAUUUAAGUUUAGCCAACUGUCCAAACAUGACAUCCACCAACAUCCAUUGACCUUCAUAGAAAGUCCCAUGGCCAUAGAUGUACUCAAAAGAUUGAACUGCUGCUGGUGUCAUGAACCAUUGACAGAUGCUAUAUUUUUUUGUUUCGAUUGUCCAUCAUUCAUCAUUCACAAGAAAUGCCUUGAUGAGUUACCCACUGAAAUUGAUCACCCUACACAUCGCUUACACCCUCUUAUUCUUAACCGUAGUAAUAGUGAUUACUUGUGCAACCUAUGCCAAAAGCAACAAUCCGGACCUUUUUACAGUUGUUCUCUUUGCCAUUUUAACAUCAAUGUUGAAUGUGCUUGGCCGAGGUCUACUGUUGAAGAUAAAAGCUGCCAUCAGCACCUAUUCUCCUUACUUUGGAGACAAGGUUCAUUCAUUUGUGAUGCAUGUGGCACUGAGGGAAAUUAUAUUUCUUGUAUAUGUUUGAAAUGUUGCAUCGAAGUCCACAAGAAAUGCACUUCACUCCCACACAUUAUCAAAUUUUCUCGACAUGAUCAUUGCAUUUUUCACAAAUAUUUUCUUCAAACACAAGAGCUUACAAAGCAAGAUUGCAAGAUUUGUUUCAAUGAAGUGAGACUAGAGCGUGGGAGUUACUCUUGUGUAAAACAAGGUUGCAAUUACGUUGUCCAUGUGAAUUGUGUCUUAGAGGAUGAAGAGUUGUACGAGUUAAUUGAGGACGAAAAGCAAUGUGAGGAGCUUGAAGAAAAAUCUAUGCAGUCUUCCAUCAUUCGUGUUAUUGAGGUGAAUGAAGCUGGGGAAGCUACAAAGAUUCAACAUUUCAGUCAUCAACAUUGCUUGGUGUUAGCAGACAAGAUGGAGGAGGAAAUUGAUAGAAAAUUUGAUGGGUGCAUGCUACCUAUCUCAAAUAUUUUCUAUUAUUGUUCAGAAUGCCCCUUUUUUCUUCAUAAAACCUGUGCUGAAUUGCCAAGAAUCAAGCAACAUUGGUUUCAUCAAAGCAAUGCCACCCUCAAUUUCGACAGCUUCAAGAAAUGUAACUUUUGCAGUCAAUAUUCUAGUGGUUUCUUCUAUAGAAUUAGAUAAUAUAUGUACAUGUGCACAAGGUGUGCUAAAGUUGCUGAUAUCAUUGAAUGUGAAGGACACCAACACUUUCUCUUUUUUGAUUUCAAAUACAAGGAGAAAUGUAAUGGUUGUGGCAUCAGGUGUUGGCGUGGUGCAUUCAGAUGUGGAAAGUGCAGAUUUGCUUUGGAUUUUGGAUGCUUAACAUUACCACAUUCAGCUCUUCAAAAAAUUGAUGAACACAAGCUAAAGCUUACUUAUCAUGAUGAUAAUGAGCAAAGUUAUUGUGAUAUUUGUGAGCAAUAUAGAGAUCCAAGGCUUUGGUAUUAUUCUUGUUCAAUCUGUGAUACUUCUGCUCAUCCCGAAUGUGUUCUUGGACAAUUUCCAUUUCUCAAGGAUGGGAGCACAAUUGCUUUUUAUAAACACAGCCAUGGUCACCAUCUUAAAUUUUUUAGGAAGGUUGAGGGCUUCCCUAAAUGUUCUAAGUGUAGUAAGUUUUGCCAAGAAGAAAUUUUCAAAUGUAAAGAGUCUACAUGCGAUUAUAUUGUCCAUUGCAAAUGUCUGGAUUUCUACGUUUAAAGCUUUGUGGUAAGUACUUUAGAUGAUUAAAGAGCUAUUGUUUUCUUUUAAAUCAUCAAUGCAAUUAAUUGUUUUUAUUUCAUGAUUUUUUUUUCAUUAUUAACAUCAGUUUUAAUUGUCUUCAUGGCUACAGAUGUGUUUUGCUCAAAUGGAAAGCACUAGAGGUUUUAUCCGAUCCAAAGAGUUCGCAAAGGAUUUGACAUUUCAUUCCUACUUCUUCGAUGAAGGAUGUUCUAAGUGUGUUUUGAUUUAAGUGUUGCUUUGUUUAAAAUUUGUUUGAGUUUAUAUGAUUUGAACUCACUAUUACUUUGUUAUUCAUCUAUGAUAUAUUUGAGUUUGUAAAAUUUGAUUUCAGUAUUAUGUUGUGAUUUAUUGGAUUUGAAUUUUGAAAAUCAAUAAUUAUUUGAUUUAUUUCUGCAAUGUUAAUUAAUUAUUUUACCCCAUAUAUAAUGAAACUUUUGGAAGCCACCAAAUUCGCUUCAUGCUACAUGCUUUUCUACUGCACCUUGUUUAUUUGACAAGUAUAAUUAUAUGAAGUUUUGAAUACAAUAAUAUAAAAAGAAGUUACGGGAAUUAAUUAUGUAAAUAUAAAGCUGAAUUGAGUUCAAUCUCAACUAUAAAUAAAGUUAAUUUCUGCUUCAAUUAGACAUCUUAAUUUCAAAAAUAUAAAUAAAAUGCACAUUCAGAACCAUUUGAAAAUUAUAGAGUUAAUUCCAAUAUCCGGUACCUUCACCAUAAUCAGGUUGAAAAUUUUAAAUAAACAACUAAAAUAACUUUUUUAUAAAGUUCAUGAGCUUGAUGGCAGCAUAGAAAUUGAGGAUACAGUACCACUUUUUAAGUAAAUAAAAGUUCAAACAAAGAACUUUUAUGUUCUUGUCUCACUCAACACCAUCACCUUAACCAAAAUAAGCACCCAAAAAACUUUUAUGUUCUACAAUAAAUAUAACGUCUCACGUCGAAAUAUUUUGGACAGAUUGACAAACUUGAGGGGCAUUUUAGCAAUUAUUUUUAAAGGUUGUUUUUCGCCACGUGGCAUACGAGGAUUGUGAUAUGGAGCAAAAUAUAAUAUUUUAUAUUAAAAAUAAUACAAAUAUAAAAAUAAUACAAAUAUAUACAAAUUUAAAAUAUUAUAAAUUUAUAAAAAUAUAUAAAAGGACAAAAAAUAUAAAACAUAUUAUAAAUGAAAUAAAAUAUAUAAAUUUUUAGAAAUUGCCAAAAAACAUUAAUAAUUAUUAAAAUAAAAAAAGUAUAUGUAAAUUACAAAAAAAAUUUUAAAAUUAUGAAAAAUAUAGAAAAUUAUCUAAUUUGCAAAUAAAAGAAAAGAACAAUUUUUACUUUUUAUUUAAUUGUCUUUUCUUUCAUAAAACUUCGUGUUUUUUUUAAUUGAUAUGUUUUCGGAUCAACUUCUUUAAGUAUAUUGUACGCUUGAUACAUUAAAAUUUUUUAACUAUGAUAUAAAAGCACAAAAAAAUAAUAUAAAAACAUAUUAUAAAUGAAAUAAAAUAUUAAAAAUUGCCAAAAAAUAUUAAUAAUUAUUAAAAUAACAAAAAGUAUUUGUAAAUUACAAAAAAAUAUUAUAAAAUUAUAAAAUUAUAAAAAAAUAUUAAUUAUAAAAUUAUAAAAAAAUAUUUAAAAGUAUAGAAAAUUAUUAAAAUUGUUAAUAAAAUUUAGAAAACAUUAUAAAAAGCAUAAAGUUGUUAAUAAAAUAUUUAAAAUAAUUAGGUUAGUAUCAUAAAUAAUGACACUUUUUUUUAACUAUUUUUCAAGUUUGUUUUAUUAUUCAUGUUCUAGGUUCAUGACUGCCUCUCUCUCAAUAAUAUUGUCUUCAAGGUUUAAACCUACGUUCUUCGCUUAAGAAUGCAAUAUGCAAUUGUUUUUGGCUUAUCAAUUUAAUUGGUUUCGUUAGAAAAAAAUCAAUUAAAUAUUUUCUUCUUUAAUCACAUUAAUCGUUAAACUCAAUUGAUGGACCAAUUAGAUAUAUAAGAAUAUAUAGAUAACAAUUUUCUGAUGUCCAUGUAUUCAUGUCAUGAUUAAGACCUAUCCAAAGUAAUUGCCUAAUUUGCAAAAAAAAGAACCAAAUUUACUUUAAUAAAGAAAGCAAAGAAUUAUUCUUGUAGAAAUGCUUUACUUUGUUCGGAAUUUUUUAUGACAUAUAAACUUUACUUUUAAUUUUAUUGCCUUUUCUUUUAAGAAAAUUUAUAUUUUCGAAUCAAAUUCUUUGAGUAUAGCAUAUGCAUUGUAAUUUUUUAAAUAUGAUGUAAAAACUAAGGCUAAAGAGUCUUUAAAGUCCCUGAAGUUUUUCCAAAAAAAAAAACCAAUUAAGCCCUAUAUAUAUAUAUAUAUAUAUAUAUAUAUAUAUAUAUAUAUAUUUUGCAUUCAAUCGAGCUAUUGAACUUUAAAAUAUUUAAAAAUAUAGAAAUUAUUAAAAUUGUUAAUAAAAUUUACAAAAUAUUAUAUAAAGCAUAAAAUUAUUAAUAAAAUAAUUAAGUUAUUAUUAUAAAUAAUGACAUUUUUUAUACUAUUUUUCAAGUUUGUUUUAUCGUUUGUUAUUAAUAAAAUUUACAAAAUAUUAUAAACUAAAUUGAAAUUUGGAAAAGAAGAAGAAGAAAUCAUGAGUGGUAACUAUUUCUUAAUUAGCAAAACUAAAAUAGUUUGUUACAAUAUUAAAAAAUGAUUGAUAUGAAAGAGACUUUCAAUUAACCAAACCACAACGCUUUAUUAAAUAUGAAUUGCAAUGCCUUCAACCAUCUACACCAUUCUUUUCUUUCUUUACUUCCUACCACUUUAUACCCAUCUCUUUUUCACUCUUUCCUUUCUUCUUUCUUUUCUUCAUCCUCUGCCUUUCUUUCAUUCCUAUCAUCUCUUUCAUCUUUUUCAUUUCUCACAACCACACUAAUUAAUCGAGAUGAAGAACGAGAAUAAGAGCGCGAGUCACCACAAGUCGGUGCAACAAAUUCAGCAUCCUUUUCAUCGGCAACAUCUCUUGGUGUUAGUGGCAGAGCAAAGCAAUGAAGGUCUCAAAGCCCACUGCGAUGGAUGUGGGGAACUGCUUUCAGCCCCAUGCUUCACUUGUAUUCAUUGCAAUUAUCACCUUCACAAGCAAUGUGCAGAGGCACCCCUUGAGAUUCCUGAUCACCCUCUCCAUCCCAAGUGUUGCAGGCCAUUUUGCCCGGGGCCCAAUAAACUCAAAAUAAAAGCCCAAAUUACAGUCCAUAAAGCCCAAUACAACACAACCCAAACAAAUAGCCCAAUAACCCGAUACCCAACCACUUACUUAAAACAGACCUAACCCAGCAGAACCAGCCCAAUAACCAAAACCCUAACAGCCCACUAGACCCAAAACAAGGAAAAUCUAGCAGAAAGCAGAAGAACCCUAGGCGCCGCUCCUAGGGUCUUCUGACCUUUGGUCUUCUGCCCACCUGCUCUGCCAGCAACCACCGCCAACUGCCACUGUCACCUCCACCCACGUGCGCCCAUGCCUGCAAUGACAGAAAGGAAGCAUUAGCAUGGAAAAUAGACUAAAAAAAUCCAUGUAAAUCGGCUAUAAAGCCACUAAAAAUCUUUGUAAAAAGGGUUCGAUUUUUUUUAAGCAAUAUUGAAGUAAUAGAAAGAAAAAAUCAGUUUAAAGGUGAUAUUUUAGUCUCUUUUUCUUCUUUUCGAUUCGCAUUUUUUUUGUUGUUAAUAAGUUUAGAAAAUAAUAAAAAGAAACAUACCUGAACGCCGAGUUUGGGGACAUCGCCGGAGUCCUUCAGGUCACCGAAAAUGGACAAGGAUGGCAGCCCUUGUUUUUUUUUCAUUGGCUUCAGGGGUAGGAAAACCAGAUCUAUAAAUGGCUUCUGAAACAGGGCUAAAAAUCGACCUUUCGCCUUCUGACCGCCGCCUAAGGCGGCGCCGGCGCCGGUCGGCGCGGUGGCUUGCGGUCGAGCCCCUUGGCCGGAAAGGAGGGGGUUGGGGAGAGGUUUUGGAGCUUUUUUUUUGUUUUAAACAGCAAAGAAUGAAAAAAAUCAAAGAAAAUGAACUUAAAUAGACCCCUUAAACGGCGUCGUUUUGGACUGGCCUCCAUAGUCUCAAAACGGCGUCGUUUUGACUGGAUCAAGUCGACCCGACCCGUGCCGCCUGGGAUCCGCGUGUUUUUGGACCAGAGGGUUAAUUUGCACCCUCAGUCCUCCCGCUUUUGAGGCCGUUUUCAAUCGGGUCCUAUUCCCUUUCAUUAUUUGUUUUAAUUUCGCCCUAAAUUUCAAUAUUUCUUGCAAUUUGGUCCAUAGACCGUCUGCACAAGCGUUAUUAGAAUGACGCCGUUUGGUCAACGUGGGAAUAUUUCCCUUUUGAUCCUCCUCCUUUUGCGCGUGUUUGGAUUCAAUUUUUUUUUUGUUUCCUUAUUUUCUUUUUUCAAAUCCGCCCCAUAUUUUUCAUUUUAAUCCAAUUUGGCCUUUUUUUAUUUUAUUUAUUAUUUUGGUUAUCUUCUUAUUAAAAUUAAUAAAGUUGACGUUAUUAUUAUUAUUAUUAUUAUUAUUAUUAUUAUUAUUAUUAUUAUUAUCAUCAUUUAUCAUCUUUACUAUUAUUAUUAAUAUUAAAGUUAUUAUUAUUAUCAUUACAUUUAUAUUUAUAUUUACUUUUGUAUUUUUAAAUAUAUGUGCUGUAUUAUGUUAUUAUUAUAUAAGUGUUUCAUAUAUAGUUUAUUUAAUAUAUAUUAAAUACUUUUUAUGUGUAUAUCUAUAUGCUCUUUUUUCUCAUGAAUAUAUGUAUACAUAUUCAUAUAUAUUUGUAUUUUAUUUUAUUUUAAUAAUUUCAAAAUAUACAUAUACAUGAUUUUCAUAUUUUUGUAAAUUUAUUUGUGUAUACAUGUUUUUAUAACAUACAUACUUAUAUAGUAUAUAUAUAUUUUGGCAUUUUAUAAUCUAUAUACAUAUAUAUAUAUAUAUACUUAUAUUUUUAUAUCUUAUGAAAUACAUAUAUAUAUUUUCAUAUUCUUAUAAUUUUAUGUAUAUAUAUACAUAUACAUUUCCCUUAUAUGUACAUGUGUGUCCAUAUUUUAUAAUUUUUAUCUAUAUUCCAUUAUUGUUUUUUUUUUUUUUGUGUUCAUUUAAGUAUUUAUUUAUAUGGCCAUUCUUAUGCUUUAGUUUAUUUAUUUAUUUAUUUGCUAUGACAUAUGCAUGAUCGAUUUAUUUUAUUAUUCACUUUUUUGUUCAUUUUUUAUUCACAUUAUCAUGUUUAUUAUUUCAUUAUGCAUAUAAAUAUCAUAUUUCAAAAAGGGAAAAAUUUUCAAAUAAGGCAAUGUUUCGCAUUUGGAAAUUCGAGAAAAACGUGCCCUAAGGUGCUGGGUGUCAAUUUUUCUCGUUCAAUCCAAUGGCUUAAUAUCCUUUUAAAAAUUUUAAAAUAAGGCAAUGUUUUGCAUUUGGAAAUUCGGGAAAACAUGCCCUGAGGUGCUGGGUGUCGUUUUUUCUCGUUCAACCAAAUAGCCAAAUAUCCUCUUAAAUUUUAAUUCAUGUCAUUCGAGCGUUUUUUUUAAGGAUCGUAUUUUAAAUUCUUCAAAGCUUUCAAUUUUCGACAUUAAGACAUUAAGUAAUCAACUAGGUACCAAUUUUGGACGAAUCGAGGGUGCUAAUCCUUCCUCGUGCGUAACCGACUCCCGAACCCGUUUUUCUGAAUUUUGUGGACCAAAAUCAUUGUUUUAAUAAAAUUAAAUCGUUUAGUAAAAAAAUAACCACUUUUUGAGGUGAUCUGAUCUCACCUUAUCAAAAAGGAUCGGUGGCGACUCCCGUNNNNNNNNNNNNNNNNNNNNNNNNNNNNNNNNNNNNNNNNNNNNNNNNNNNNNNNNNNNNNNNNNNNNNNNNNNNNNNNNNNNNNNNNNNNNNNNNNNNNNNNNNNNNNNNNNNNNNNNNNNNNNNNNNNNNNNNNNNNNNNNNNNNNNNNNNNNNNNNNNNNNNNNNNNNNNNNNNNNNNNNNNNNNNNNNNNNNNNNNNNNNNNNNNNNNNNNNNNNNNNNNNNNNNNNNNNNNNNNNNNNNNNNNNNNNNNNNNNNNNNNNNNNNNNNNNNNNNNNNNNNNNNNNNNNNNNNNNNNNNNNNNNNNNNNNNNNNNNNNNNNNNNNNNNNNNNNNNNNNNNNNNNNNNNNNNNNNNNNNNNNNNNNNNNNNNNNNNNNNNNNNNNNNNNNNNNNNNNNNNNNNNNNNNNNNNNNNNNNNNNNNNNNNNNNNNNNNNNNNNNNNNNNNNNNNNNNNNNNNNNNNNNNNNNNNNNNNNNNNNNNNNNNNNNNNNNNNNNNNNNNNNNNNNNNNNNNNNNNNNNNNNNNNNNNNNNNNNNNNNNNNNNNNNNNNNNNNNNNNNNNNNNNNNNNNNNNNNNNNNNNNNNNNNNNNNNNNNNNNNNNNNNNNNNNNNNNNNNNNNNNNNNNNNNNNNNNNNNNNNNNNNNNNNNNNNNNNNNNNNNNNNNNNNNNNNNNNNNNNNNNNNNNNNNNNNNNNNNNNNNNNNNNNNNNNNNNNNNNNNNNNNNNNNNNNNNNNNNNNNNNNNNNNNNNNNNNNNNNNNNNNNNNNNNNNNNNNNNNNNNNNNNNNNNNNNNNNNNNNNNNNNNNNNNNNNNNNNNNNNNNNNNNNNNNNNNNNNNNNNNNNNNNNNNNNNNNNNNNNNNNNNNNNNNNNNNNNNNNNNNNNNNNNNNNNNNNNNNNNNNNNNNNNNNNNNNNNNNNNNNNNNNNNNNNNNNNNNNNNNNNNNNNNNNNNNNNNNNNNNNNNNNNNNNNNNNNNNNNNNNNNNNNNNNNNNNNNNNNNNNNNNNNNNNNNNNNNNNNNNNNNNNNNNNNNNNNNNNNNNNNNNNNNNNNNNNNNNNNNNNNNNNNNNNNNNNNNNNNNNNNNNNNNNNNNNNNNNNNNNNNNNNNNNNNNNNNNNNNNNNNNNNNNNNNNNNNNNNNNNNNNNNNNNNNNNNNNNNNNNNNNNNNNNNNNNNNNNNNNNNNNNNNNNNNNNNNNNNNNNNNNNNNNNNNNNNNNNNNNNNNNNNNNNNNNNNNNNNNNNNNNNNNNNNNNNNNNNNNNNNNNNNNNNNNNNNNNNNNNNNNNNNNNNNNNNNNNNNNNNNNNNNNNNNNNNNNNNNNNNNNNNNNNNNNNNNNNNNNNNNNNNNNNNNNNNNNNNNNNNNNNNNNNNNNNNNNNNNNNNNNNNNNNNNNNCCCACUUAAGCUAUUGAACCACGAUUUAACAAAUUUUACGCUAUUCGCAGUCCCCUCUAAAUCAGACCCUUACUAAACUGGGAAUAGUGUUUAUUUGUUAAUUUGGAGAGCAAUAGGAUAUCAUAUCGCACUCUUUAGGGUGAGAUUGUCGUGCCCGUUUGAUAAUCCUAUAGGCCCCCCUAUUUUGUUUUUGAUUUUAAUUAUUUUAAUAUUUAUUCCUAGUACACUAUUCACUAUUUCAAAAAUUUUCCUAACUUCACAUUUAACUUAUACUUACUAAAUUUAUAAUAUUUUCUACUCGUUUGUCAGAUUUAGUGAUCUCGAAUCAUCAUUCCGACACCACUAAAAAUUCAGGUUAUUACAUAUAUGGUUGUGCAUUAUGAAAGAAAAAACGUAACAUGUUUUCUUAUCAUUGUAGAAUUUGGUGGUGUUCUUUUUCCAUUGACAUCAAAUGUGCUCAAUUAUCUUCUUCAUUUAAGUUUAGCCAACUGUCCAAACAUGACAUCCACAAACAUCCAUUGACCUUCAUAGAAAGUCCCAUGGCCAUAGAUGUACUCAAAAAAUUGAACUGCUGCUGGUGUCAUGAACCAUUGACAGAUGCUAUAUAUCUUUGUCCUGACUGUUGAGUUUAGUUUCCAUGCAAAGGUGGCCAUCCACGACAUGCAAAGGUGGCCAUGCAGGAAGAAAUGGCAGCAGGCAAUCGAGCCAUGGUGUGCAGCAGCUGAAGCUUCAAGUUACCGAACUACUUGUUGUUUUAGUUUUAUUUUAAUCAUUUUGUAAUCUAGUUCAUAUUGAACUAAGUAAGUGAAUGUUUUGGUGUAAUUUUGAUGUUGAUUGACUGAAAAAUCAGCAAUGCAAUGUGUGCAAGCAAUCCUGUAAGUUUCAAUGCAUAUUAGUGGUGUUAGGUAAUUGAUUAGGUGUUUACUUGUUCAUUUGACAAGUUGACUAAUAUAUGUAAUGGCUUAAUGCCUUGUUUAAUAAUUAAUGAAAAACUCAGCUUGUUUUUCAUUCAAACUCUCUUUGUUUUUCUGUUUUUCCACUUGCAAGCUUCAUUUUUGUUUUUCUUCUGAGAUUGUUUCUUCUGCAAGGCUCGAGGCUUGCUGUAUAAGCAAGCUUAAAUCAGUUUGCUGUUGCCUCUUUGCACCAACACUGGCUGUCCAUCAUUCAUCAUUCACAAGAAAUGCCUUGAUGAGUUACCCACUGAAAUUGAUCACCCUACACAUCGCUUACACCCUCUUAUUCUUAACCGUAGUGAUAGUGAUUACUUGUGCAACCUAUGCCAAAAGCAACAUUCUGGACCUUUUUACAGUUGUUCUCUUUGCCAUUUUAACAUCAAUGUUAAAUGUGCUUGGCCGAGGUCUACUGUUGAAGAUAAAAGCUGCCAUCAGCACCUAUUCUCCUUACUUUGGAGACAAGGUUCAUUCAUUUGUGAUGCAUGUGGCACUGAGGGAAAUUAUAUUUCUUGUAUAUGUUUGAAAUGUUGCAUCGAAGUCCACAAGAAAUGCACUUCACUCCCUCACAUUAUCAAAUUUUCUCGACAUGAUCACUGCAUUUUUCACAAACAUUUUCUUCAAACACGAGAGCUUACAAGGCAAGAUUGCAAGAUUUGUUUUAGUGAAGUAAAACUAGAUCGUGGGAGUUACUCUUGUAGGAAGCCAGGUUGCAAUUACGUUGUCUAUGUGAAUUGUGUCUUAGAGGAUUAUACGUUGUACGAGGUAAUUGAGGACGAAAAGCAAUUUGAGGAGCUUGAAGAAAAAUCUAUACAGUCUUCCAUCAUUCGUGUUAUUGAGGUGAAUGAAGCUGGGGAAGCUACAAAGAUUCAACAUUUCAGUCAUCAACAUUGCUUGGUGUUAGCAGACAAGAUGGAGGAAGAAAUUGAUAGAAAAUGUGAAGGGUGCAUGCUACCUAUCUCAAAUAUUUUCUAUUGUUGUUCAGAAUGCCCCUUUUUCUUCAUAAAACCUGUGCUGAAUUGCCAAGAAUCAAGCAACAUUGGUUUCAUCAAAGCAAUGCCACCCUCAAGUAUUUCGACAGAUACAAAUGGUGUAACUUUCGCCGUCGAGUUUGUACUGGUUUGUUAUACGACAUUAGAGGAUACUGGAACAUGUGCUUAAGGUGUGCUAAAGUUUCUGAUAUCAUUGAAUGUAAGGGACACCAACACUUUCUCUUUUUUUAUUUCGAAUGCAAGGAGAAAUGUAAUGGUUGUGGCACUAAUAGCAUCAGCAAUGGUGCAUUCAGAUGUGGGAAGUGCAGAUUUGCUUUGGAUUUUGGAUGCUUGACAUUACCACAUUCAGCUCUUCACAAAAUUGAUGAACACAAGCUAAAGCUUACUUAUCAUGAUGAUAAUGAGCAAAGUUAUUGUGAUUUUUGUAAGCAAUAUAGAGAUCCAAGCCUUUGGUAUUAUUCUUGUUCAAUCUGUGAUGCUUCUGCUCAUAUCAAAUGUGUUCUUGGGCGAUUUCCAUUUAUCAAAGAUGGGGGCACAUUUCCUUUUUUUUUCUUUAUUUACAAAAUCAUCAUCAUGAUCUUAAAGUUUUUAGGAAGGUCGAGGGCUACCCUGAAUGCUCUUAUUGUGGUAAGCUUUGCCGAGAAGAAAUUCUCAAGUGUGAAAAGUCUACAUGCAACUAUAUUAUCCACUAUGAAUGCUAUUAGGGUGACUAAGCCUAAAGCGUUGUGGUAAGUACUCUAAAUGAUUAAAAAAUUAUUUUUCAAUCAUCAAAGUUGUUGAUUGAUAGUAUUUCAUGAUUUUGUUUUCAUUAUCAACAUCAGUUCUAAUUGUGUUCAUGGUUGUAGAUGUGAUUUAUUCAAAUGAAAAGCACCAAAAUAUUUAUUUGAUCAAAGAAGUUCACAAAGGAUUUGGAAUUUCAUUCCUACUUCAUUGAUGAAAGGAUGCUCGAAUUCUAAGUGUGAUUUGGUUUCAUUGUUACUUUGUUUAAGAUCGACUUGGAUUUGUAUGAUUUGAUUUCAAUAUUACUUUGGGAUUCAUCUAUGAUUUGUUUGGAUUUGUAAGAUUUGAAUUAUUUCUUAUUUAAAUUAUUUUAAUUAAUUUAAUUAUUCUCAACAGUAUUGAUUUAUGGGUUUUAGAAGCCACUAAUUUCUGGAAUGGACUUCCUACUUUUCGGCUUGGGUUGUAAUGUAGAGUUGUAAUGUUUUGGGAUAAAUUUAUCAUUUAAUAAAAAACAUGAAUGUGGUAGGGAGUUGACUACAUUCCGUGAUCAAUCAUCUAUCAUUUUAGAUAGUACUCGUGACAAGAUAAUUAAUUAUUGUUGUUACGCUCAUGAUGAAUAUCUUAAUUUCUUUAAAUAAUUUUAACAAAUAUGAAAAUUUCUGAUUUUUAUUGAAAUAAUUAGUUUCUCAAAAGCCUACAUUCUAUUAUUUUUUGUAUUAAUCUGAAUAAUGAUUUUAAGUAUGGUUAAUAUUGGACUAAUAAAUAUGGUUUUGAAUGUUUUAUAAAACUUAUAAAGUAGUUAAGUAUUUUCUUAGAAAUUUUGAAAUGAAUUUUUGGACUAUUUCAAAACUUAAGUAUCUUAAAUAAUUAAAUUAUAAUUAUAAAUAAUGAUAAUUUUUUAAUUAUUUUUUAAGUUCUUUUUAUUGUGCAUGUUUAGGAUUCGUGAUUAGAUUGAAUUGAAAUUUUAUAUAUAUAUAUAUUAUUUUUUAUAAAUUUUUAAUCAUUUAUUUAAUGAAACCAAAUGAAUUGGUGGUUUGAUUAAUUGGAUCAUUAGUCCGAUUUUGCAAACUUUAGUGGCAUAAUAGGUUAGACUUUUUCAAAUUUUGUUCUUUGUUUGUGACAUCUACCUCGCCCUCUAAAUUAAAAUUUUAAUAAUAAACUUAAUAUUUUUUAUUUAUAUUUAUUUAUAUAAAUAUUUUUUGAGUUUUUUGUAAUGGUAAAAUGUAUUAAAUCUUUCAAAAUUGCCGUAUAAAAAUAUUUUUUUAUAAAAUGCUCAAAUAAAAGUUAUUAAGUUUUAAUUCUUUGAUAUCUUUUCAAGUAGUAUUUGAUUUAAUUAUCAUUUACUCUUUUAACAUUUAUUGGACAAUUUUAAAGAAUAAUUUUUUUAUGUGAAUAAUCAAAAGUUUAAUCUUAAUUUCAUUAUGUAAUUUUAUCAAAAAUAUUUUAAAAAAUUAUAUAUAACAAUAGAAAUAGAGAAUGAUAGAAAAUCAGCACCCAUUUCUAAAUUAUAUACAAAUAUUUAACGGCAAUGAUUAUUUCACCUAAUUAUAGUAAUUAGAAUAACUAAAUUGAAAAAAAGAAUUAGAGUGAUCAAAACAGGACAAAUUUUAUUUUAAAGUGACUAUUUUAUAUUGUUUAGAUUUUGAUUCACAUUUAAAAUUAUUUUACAGAAAAAAAAACUGAACAAUGGAAUGCAAACAAAAAAGUUGUACAGUAAUAGUUUUGACACAAACAUUUUGAAUAAUUAAGUGACUUAAAUGAAAACUUUAGAAUAAUUCCAUAAUCAUUUUAUAAUUUUUUAAAGUUGAAAGGUCUAAAUUGACUAAUAAUUAAUAAAUUUCAACCUACUUUCCCCUAAAAAAUGAUUUAUAUAUAAUAAUAGAAAAUCAUGGGUAAUUUCUAUACCUAUUAUUAUCAAAUGAUUAAAUUAUAGCUCUCAUGGUCAAUAAUUUUAGAAUUGGAUCAAAUCAAUCACCAAUUCUUAAUUUCAUCAAAUCUAUCAAUACAAUUCAUAUAUAUAUAUAUAUAUAUAUAUAUAUAUAUAUAUAUAUGAAAAGCAUGUAUGAGGAAAUGCAUAUAUACAACAAAAUCAUAACUAUAGUUCAAAGGUGUGAUUCUUGAUUAUAUUAAGGUUUACUAUCAAUUAUUUUGUCAUAUUCUUGUUUCUUAUUUCAACCCCACAUCCCUGUUUGAAUAUAUAUAUAUAUAUAUAUAUAUAUAUAUAUAUAAUACAAUAAAAAUAAAUAAAUCAAUAAAUUUUAAGUAUAAGAACAAAAACUUGAAUAGCACCAUGUAUUUUAAUACUGUUAGUCAGGUUCUCUCAUUUUGAUCUCUCGUUUAGUCAUAUCCGACGAUCAUAAACCACUCAUAUAUAUUGAAUAUAUGAAUACAAUUCACAUAACUUAAGAGCACAAUGAAUGAAACAUAUUCAUAUCCAACAUAUCGAAUAUUCGACGCUCACUCCCUAAUACAGAGCUACUAACAUUUAACAUAGGAUUACACGGAGAGAGUUGCAUGAUUACACAAAGAUAAAAGAAGAUCUCACAAGUCUCCAAUGAAAGGAUGCGAUAAUCCGACGACUCUCUAGAUACAUGAAAAUCUACUUGCUCUCAGAAUACAAAUGCUUAAAGCUACUAGCUAUCCCCUCUAAAUCACACCCUUACUAAACUGGGAAUAUAACCUCACCAAGCACAACUCCAUUUGGAAGAUAACGAUUGUCACCGGUUCCAACAUCAAACAGCCUGGAAUCUCAUGUUGCCAGCUUUCAACACUGCAUGUUAAACAAUGCCGGAAUUCGACUCGUUCGCCUCUUCCAUUUGACUAAGCUUUUCUCCUGCUAGCAUCAAACCUCAAAAGCACAUUUUUCUACUUAUUCUAUGUUAACAUCUUUAUUGUUCAGACAAACUAAUUCCAGGAUUGAAACUAACGGAUCCUCAGGACGAGCUUCUGUGUUUAUCCAAUCCGAUCCAAUUUCUUCAAAGUUAGGAAAACAUUAGAAAAACAUUUUCCUCAAUACAGUCCAAACAAAACUCCUAGAUAUGUUGUUAUAAACAGUUUAGAUAUUAAGAAUGGUUUUGCAGUCAUCAAAGUAUUAGCAAGAAUGAAAGCCUAAAGAUUUUUCUUAUAAAAAAUUGCCAACUUAAUAUGUCAAAUUUCUGAGCGGAACAAUGUCAGGCAGCAAUAGACACUAGCUUUUCUUAAGCAUUUUAUCAAAUAGUUUCUAUGCGCAAUCAGGCUUCAAGCCAACUUGGCCGCAAGAUAAUGUCUGCCUCACGCUUCCACAAGUAUCGCUUCCAGGUGACACAACACAUUCCCAGGUUGAUACAGAUGCAGCAGAGCCACCCGAGACAGGUUCACUGUUUAUCACCUAUUCAAACUAAUAAAUAUAUUACAUUUUUAGAGCAAUAAAAACGAACUUUUUAGAGCAAUAAAGAAGAAGCUAAGAACUUCUUCCUAAGAAGCUAAGAACUUUUCGAACCGGUCAAAUUCGGUUAGUCGGUUUGACAUUUUUAGAGCAAUGAAAUAAGUUAUAUGGCUGGCAAUUUAAAUAGGAUGCUGGAAGUCAUUAAUCAGAGAACCAAUCAGAUAACCAAAUUUUAUGCUUUAUGCUCUCAACUCUCAAACCAACUGUAGAAAAGUAUUAUCUGACACUUCAGCACAACUAUCUAACCCUUGAUCGUGUUCUUGCUGGUGCUUCAAGAGCCGGCCUAGAGGGACUAGUUGGUGCAGCCUGCAAGAUUCAAAUAUCAGAAACAAUUUAUUUAUAACCGUAGUGAAAUCUUGAAACCAAAGAAAGAAAGAGAGAUAAAGGAGAAGAUAUGGUUCAUUGCAGUCCAUGAUUAUCCAGUAGAUGAGAGAUUUGACCAUUACUCUUGGAGGCUUGUCUUUAGAAGAAAUCUUCGAUUGGGAAGAGAUGCUUAAUGAUCUCCUAGACACACCAUCUCUAUUCACGAGCUGGUCUCCUAGAGAGCCGAUAAAAUCAUUUGGCAGCUUGAUGACUAAAGCAAUUUUGUAAGGAAUCAUCUUGGUGGUCAAAUCUUGGUGGUAUAAUCAUUUUGGACCGCCUCGGAUGUUAGUUGGGUAAAGUAUAACCCGGACUCACUUUGCAGUGGCUACCUUGCAAGACUCAUCUGAAGCAGCUUCUCCGCUUGAUCUGGGAACAAAGUUAUAAACAGAUACGCGCCUGCGCCAUUUCAUGAGGUUAGAUUAAAAGAGAAAAAGGACUUCAACGGAAGUUUUUUAUGGCUAUUGAAUCACUAACAAAUGUGUGCAGUUCCAAGCACGGUUGAAUUCUUGCCUUGAAUUGUGACCAAACCAGCUUUGCCAGCAUCUUGCAACUUAGUUGUACCUGCAGAAUCAAACGUACCUGCAAACACAAGAACUAUUUCAUGCUUUGCUCCCUGCAUACAUCACAACCACGGUCAUUACAACAGCAAGCAGUUGAUGUUUAACCUGGUUUUACAGUUUGAAGCCCUGGUGUUAUACAUGCUAUUCUGAAAACCAGCUUGCUCCAAUUUAUUGGCUGCAGAAGUCCAUCUUUUCAUUAAGCAUGUGGGACACCCAUGUCCAAUGCAUACUCAACAGAGUAAAACAGACUGAACCCAUAAAACCACUUUUAAGUUGCAAAUUAAGUGAGCAUAAUCCAUGAAGCUAAUUGUACAAAUGCAAAGUAAACAGGGAAGGAACCCGACCUCCAAAAUUGCACAAGAAAAUCAGGAUAAAAUGAGUGAACCAUUUGUCGAUUUUCCCAUCAUGCUAAUAAUUUAUGCCGUAUGUUGGUUUCUAUAAUAAAGGGUUGUAUUUAAUGAAGUAAUAAUCCACAUGUAGAUCAAGUUACAAACCUGCAUCUGAUGACCAUGCAAUUCUGAUUCAUUUAACAGUAGAGCACUUUGAACAGCAUCAACUUCAACCGAUUCAACAUAGGAAAAUCCUUUAGGUUGACCAAACUUGUCUGUCAAAAUUGUUACCCUGAGCACAAGAUUGGAAUUGCUGGUGAACUUCCUCAGGUGUACGUGCAUAGUCUACCUGAUGUUACAAAGACAUAUAAAGAAAUAGAGAGUAAGAGAGAUGUACAAAACAUUGAGAUCAUUUAUUAAUUGUACACCUAAACAGUGCCAAACUAAAUUAAUGUUUCCCCUGAAUAAGUUGUUAACUACAUAUGGGUGAAAUUAGUUCACAUUGAACUCGCCAUCUGUAAUAACUAAGAUUUAAUUGUUCAUGCACAUGCACAUGGACAAAACAGAGCAUUUCAAGCCACACGUACACAAGCAUAAAACCAAAUUGGGUUGAAGGGAUCAAACUGGUAGAACUACUCCUACAUCCUUUGGCCAAACUAAAAAGCAUGAUCCUAAUUUUAUUUGAAUAAAGAAGGAUAUCAAAAAAAUUAUAGAGAACAAGAUCUCAAAAACAUCCUGACAAAGCAAAUUCCAAGCACCAGCAGGAGGGGAAACAAAAAUUUGCAGCUCGAAACCCAUGUUAGCGCCCUGUUUUGCCAGCCACUUGAUUCGCACUCCAAGGGAGAUGGACAAUGCAAAUAUCCCAACCAGUUGAUUCUUAAUUUCGGCAAGAACACUCCAAAAAACAAUAUGUACAAUUCAACAACAAAAUUUAGCAAAAACAUGGCGAUAACCCAGUGAUUAAGGUAUUAGUCUUCCAGUGAUAAAGCAGGCUCCUCCUGACUCUUCUGCUUCGGGUAUGUCUGAAGGCUUCUAGUUUCCUUAUUAGUAUCAUCUUCUGUGGUACAUUUCUAUUCCAUGCAGUUAAUUGUUCUCGUUAAGUUUUUGUUGCUAUUUCGUUGUCAAAUCUCUUGAUUGUUCAAUUUGUGCCUUUGUUCCACCUUUCUGUGAUUCACAUGGUGUGUUUUUCUCUUUAUGAAAGUUGUUGGGGAAAUUUGCACGUGUUUAUUCUUGAUUUGAUUGUGACGACAAAACCAAGAUUGUAAGCUUGAUCCGAAUAUACUUAUAUCAUCUGUCUGUCAAUGUAGAAUGGGUAAAUAUUUUCAAAUGGGAAAUCUGAAUAUAAGAAAGUUCCAUUUUGUUAGGGCAAAACCAAGGUGAUAUGUUGAAGCAAUGAGCUGGGUAUGUCGGUGUGUCCUUUUCUGAAGAUCUUGAGAGAUCUUGGUCAGUGACAUUGCCUAAGCCUGACUAUUCUGCUGUCCCGCCCCCCACCCCAAACAAAAAAAAUGCAUAGAGCUUGCAUUAUUGCUGUUCCCAUCAUUUGGUUAAACUCUCAGCUCAAUCAGUUUUACUGUGAAGUUGUCUUUUCCACUUGGCCUAUAUCCUCAAAGGUUAUAAAUGCUACAGUUAGCUAUACAUCAAGCGAGAACCUGUUUAUGGCAAUGGUUGGGAUGCAUUUAUCGAGUGUCAAGUUCCCCAUCAAAGACAUCUCUGCCACCUUCUGCAGCCCCAACUUGACUUCAGAAUCACUUCUCCGUAACAUUAUCAACAAAGCUUGUGAUCACAGUUUGGCUAUGAUGACAAACUGUUUAAUAUUCAUGAAGCCUGUUGCUACCAGAUCCGAGGGAGAAAUGUUCUGCUGUGGCUGAGGAUUUCCAGUAAGAUGCAGUGUGAGAAAAAGAACAGGCAAUGGUUCUUUUAUAGAGUUCACGAUUGACCUCACCCCAUCAAACAAACUGAGAAAAUCGACCCAAUAUCGCCAUUUACAAGAAUGGGUGCUGCUUACUAUACCCUCAAGGCUAGAAUUCUAGGAUCUCUGAUCAACGAUGACUUGUAAGAGUUAAAAUUACAUUGGCCCCAACGUUACUUGGAUUUGGAUGGAAUAUUGAUGUGUUUUAACACGGUAUGUUCAACUGCUGCUUACUAUACCCUCAAGGCUGGAAUUCUAGGAUCUCUGAUCAACGGUGACUUGUAAGAGUUUAAAAUUACAUCAGCCUCAACGUCACUCGGAUUUGGAUGGAAUAUUGAUGUGUUUUAACACGGUAUGUUCAAUUUUCUUAAAUAUUUACUUGCAUUUGGGCAAAUAUCUAUUUAUGUAUAUCUUCUAGUCAAUACCUAAUUGUACAUCAGGAGGUAUAGGAAGUUUUGGGCAAAUAUGAGUAAAGAAUGAUGUACAUGAAUGUUGAAUAUUGAGAGAUUUUAUUUUAAGUUCAACUUCACUA
rnacentral:lncRNA from 1 species